CCUCGAGAAAUCCCCCGCGAGCUCCGGAUCAGGUACAGCGACGGCUCCCGCUGCGUCGUCCCCAUUGAGAUCCUCAGGGUUUGGGACCGCUCCGAGUCCCUCGACGCCAAUGGGGAACACGUGCCUUUCUUCCAGCCUCCGGCUGCGGCGGCUUGAUUUUGGUAUCAUCAGUUGGCUGCUGUUGUUGCUGCUGCAAGUGGUGCCCGAUGGGAUUGGCAGCAAGCUAGCAGUAUUCACCGAGUCCUUAAUAAGAGCAAUAGUCGGCUUUAGUCUCGUUCAUGUUUGUUAAUUAGUAUGCAUAGCUACUAUGUCAGUGCGUGAUUUCUGAGAACUGCAUCACUGUAUGAUGAUGUAGAUGGUUACAUUGCAAAGUUGAUCUUACUUAUUAUUACUCCCUUCGUUCGAUCGAAAAUAAGUGUCGUUGGUUUAGUAUAACUUUAUGACACUUAUUUUGAAACUGUUGAGUACUUGCUUUAGUCGCUAGGUGCCUUCCAGGUCGCUCCCAAGCGACUCCGGAGGCACCGCCGCCGCCCAACAAGUCGAUCCUAGCCACCGAAUCCCCCUGCCACUCCUGGAGGAGGCAGACUCUCGGCGAACUGUGACGGCGGGGCCGUCCUCGCUACUUCCUCUCUCCCCGGAUCUAGCCUCUUCUCCAACCCCCAACCCUCCUCGCCCAUCAGCUACCAGCAGGUCCCAGCGUUGGGAUGCUCCAGCGCCUCCGCACCGGUGUUUGGAGGCAUUCCUCGACCGUGGCGUCAGAUUCAGUGGUUGGCUGUCUGAUCUGCAUGCAUGUCGACCUGAGGCUUGGAUGUGGCACAACAGGAGACAACUUCUCCGCUUUCUUGUGUGCAUCUUCAGAUGCAGCGGUGGAUGUUUGGGUGAUGUGCCGGGCCUCCCUGUGGGGGCCGGUCUCUAGCCAGAUUCUAUUGGAUUUGGCGUCGGGACCUUGGUGUGCGUAGGGCUUCCCGCUGGAUGUGGACCAUGGCGGCAAGGUGUUGGCCUUCCGUGCAGGCGGUGGCCGGCUAGCCGCGCUAUGGUGAUGACUACAAAGUAUUGCGGCGACUUCCGACCGCUCCACGACGAGGAUGGUCAUCGAAAGGUUGGGAGGGGUUAUCUCUCCUGAUUUGGUGGUUGACUUCAAUGGUGCUUGAUGCAGAGGGAUGGUUGUGCAGUGGUGACGGUCACAUCACAUAUAGCUACUGGAAUUGCAGAAAAAUGGUGACGACAACACAUGAGUGACUUUGAUAAUGGUGCUACUCAAGCACCCGGUCUUGAGCUUCGGGGCGAAACCCUAGGUCAGACCCGAGUGGUUAUACCUCGCAAUGGCGACGUUUUUCUUACGUCGUUACCUUCUUGAAGGCAUUGCUUGGAUCGGCUCGGACUGGCGCGGACUGAUCUUCAGGGUGAAAAUCUAGAUUUCGGACUUGUGGUUGGAUCCGAUGAGGCGGCGUCUGAGUGUCGCUCCCUUCCAAAAGGCGUUGCUGUUGAAGAACCUCGUUAUCCAUGUGAUGUCAUGAGAUGGUUUGUGCGGAUAUGGUCAUUAUUAUAGUUUGUCGAUCGCAAAUUUGAUCGCCUUGAUUUUUUUUCUUUUUUCCUCACUUUCGUAUAGCUUUGGUUUUAAAUGACUUUACAUGUUGUUGUAGUUUUUUCGCGUCUGUGUGGGUUGGUGUAGACUGCUGUGUGCAUCUUAAUUAUGUAAAGGCCGGGUGUGUGCUCGUUAUGCUAUGUAUCUUCUUGAUGCUUCAUUUUUUUUUGAGAUCCAAUGAGUAACAAGCUACUCAAUGGGUAGGAUUACACUCAGCUAGAAACAUAUCCUUAAGAUUCUCUGGGACUGACCCAGCUAGAGCUUGGUUUCCUGCUGUUCUUGCUAGGAAAGCUAGCUCAUGAGCCAGUUUGUUGAGCUUCCUCCCAACCACACUAAUCUGAUAAUCAGCAAAAAGUUCCAAAGUUUGCCUGAUGUCCGUCAGUAUGUGGUAGCAUUUUGAAAUUCCAACUGUGGUACUUCUCAGCUCUCUACCAACUGAAGCGUUGUCAGUUUCCAAUAUGAUUCUUCCAUUGUAUCUCUUUGCAAAUUCCUUCAGACCACAAAGGAUCGCUCCUGCCUCAGCCUCCUCUAUUGAGCUGCAUUUUCCAGGCGUUGGCAAACUGAGAGAAGGACCAGACCUUGGGGGUCUCGGGCCACAGCACCGCACCAGCUGUCACCUGUGUCUGCUAAAAAGGCUGCAUCCGAAUUUAGCUUUGCCCACCCAGGGGCCGGCGGAGACCAGUGCUUGGGGGAGGCACCAAAGCUGUGUCCAGCCCGGUCUUCCUCUGCUUUCCCCCUGCUUUAGUUUCAGUGACUGUCUGGGCCUCCAAAAAUUCAGUUUCAUAUCUGACUACAAGACGCACCGAUCCAGUCACAGUCGCCUUCCCAGAAUCAUGAAUCACAUCGUUACGCAGAUUCCAUGCCUGCCAACAUAUAAGUAGGAUCCUCCGUUUGGUUGCCUCGCUUUGCGUGCCCAGCAUCAUUUGAAACCAAAGAUCUCCAGUACUUCAUUUUGAGCUAAUAAAAUCCACCAUUUGUCGAAAAAACUUGCUUAGUGUCGCUUCUUUGGAGGCUUGAUUUGUGUUAGAAGCUAAAUAAGAUCACAAUGCUAAAGCAGCAUGUUAUGUUAUGUGAUGGAGGCCGUGUGAUGAAGUCAUGAAACUGCUGCCCUUUUAUCUUUUCUGUUUUCUGCAGUACUUCGCAAUGUAAGAGCAUCUUCACCUGAUGUCUCCACGCGUUAUGCUGCCGAAUUUUUCUGUGAAGGUUUGCCGUCAAAAUUCUGGCCUCGUUUGUAAUGAAGCAAAAACUUUAGGGUGUUUUGUGUAAAAUGUUAGGGUCUUGGCUGCGAGGUUUUCUUAUUUUGUGAGGAUGGAAAAAGAAUAAUUAAUUAAUUUGCUUUAAAGAAGAAAGAAAGUGAAAAAAACAAUUAAUUCACUUUGAAGAAAGAGAGAACGAUCAGGGGGAAAAGGGUUGGACAACAAGUGCGUGCAUGCUUGAGAAUUCGUAUAUACGUUUGUUGGCAAAAAACUUGGUUCAUUGAUCUGAGCGCGUGAGCAAAGAAAACGACAUCUUCUCGUAAACGCAGAAAUGAAUUCCAUCUUAAGUUGGCUCACGCGCGCUCGGCUCAGCUGAAAAAUGGAGUAAUUUUUUCGCCUUGGCCAUGGAAAUGGAGAAAUGGAGCCUCAAAGUUUCUAUUCCGAUUGGAACUGCAUCUGCACGUCGAUAGAAAACAUUAACCGGAAUGCAUCCCCACUCAGACGCAGUUCAUCAAAGUACAAAAGUCAAGGUAGGGGCAGUGCGGCCAUUACUCCAGAAGGGUGAUAGACCUCCAGGAUGCAGCGAGCGGCCCAACCUUGGCGCUUCCGUGCUGCAUAGUGACAGCCUUGCUCAUGUCAAGGGAUAGUGAAUAGUGAUUCAGCCAGUACUCGAGUAGACACGGACUGGAACAGUAGCAACCAUAGAAGGAGGCUGAAGUCAAAUGCAUGCGGCAUGCCCUGCCCUAUCGCAGAACAAAGCUGCCACUGCCAUGCCAUCACUCCAAACCACACAGAAGAGAGCUGCCUGCGCUGCAGUAACGGCGAGCUACCAAGCACCACUCCUCGGGGUCAUCAUGGGUGUGUUUGGUUUCAGUUUGGAAGAGUAGUCACAUUGCAUACCCUUCCCAACCCAGCCUGAUUGAGAAAAAACAAGCCCUAAUACGCCAUAUGCAAUUUGUUUGGUUGCCUGCAUCCCUAGUCCCUGCAUUAGGUAAUACCCAAGUACACUUUGUUUGGUUGACUGCAUUGGCCCUAGCGGCACAUGAACACGGUGUUUGAUUGCAUACGCGAAAAUGUUGUGCUUAUCUUGUACCCUAGUUGGUGAGCUUACCCACAGCUAGCACACCAACGCCACAACACAGCAAUGGUGAUGAACUGGGCGAAGAUGAUGAAGUUCUUCAGCUUCAGGCCGAACUGACGAUCCACCUUAGCAGCUUCCACUUUGACAACUCCAACCUUGGCACUAUCGACACUGCUGCCUCUGUGCUUUCGCACCCAGGCGGAGUAAGCUUGUUCUGCUGCCUGCCUAGUCUUGAACCCUCUAUAGUUGCUGUUGCUAUACGAUGCCACUUGUGCAUUGGCUUCUUUCCAUGAACUAUAAACCCCUGGAACCUCACCGAUGAACACGGCAUACCACUUGCCCUAGCAAUGUACAAGAGCAAGAGUUGAAGCAGCAAAUCAAUGGAGCACAAGGAGCAAGCAAAGUAGCACACAAACAACAAUAAAGCAGAAGAGAAGUAAAGCAUGCAUGAUCAUACGGCAUAGCAAGUUCAACCUAGAACUACCUUGGUGUUAACCUACCACCAUAUCCAAAAGAGGGUGUCGUCCUACCACCCCAAGUUCACCAUCAACGUGAGGGGUUAGUAUAUACCACCUCACCAAAAUAUACAGACCAUCAAAUAGUUUUUGAGCCCUAGCUACACAAAAUGUACAUCAUCAUCGUCGUCGUCGUCGCCGCCGCCAUCGCCGUCGGGGAUCAUGCAUGCUCACGGGCAGCACUACUCUAGUAGUAGUGCUUGCCCAGCCAGCUCCUGAGCCACAACACCCUGUGAUCGUCAGUCAUGGCAACGAACCCAACACCCUGGGCCUUGUUGUCAAGCAGGUGACUGAGAGCUGCCAUGAGAGCCUCGUCGCUGAAUCCACCCUGGGUCAUGACAACGCCAUACAGGUCAGGGUGGACGUCGAGGGGCUUGCACUCCCUGAUGGCUGUUGCCACCUCCUUCACCGCCUCAGUCAUGCUGCAAAAGACAUUGAUCUCCUCUCCAUCAGGCCUCCUCUCUUCCUCUUCUUAUCAUGGUUGGGGUCAAAUGGCUUGUCGAAGGGCUUCGCAGCAGGCUUGUCAGGGCCAUCAAGGACCUCGACGUCUGGUGUUCCAGGGAAGUCUGGCAUGGGAGAACCAAGAGACUCACCCGAGCCCAUGUCAUGCUUCCCAGUUGCCAGCCCGAAAGAGAAGAUGUGCUGCAUCUGGUUGUAGUUCUGGAUGGGUGUGUUGAGGAACUCAGCGUCCCUUGGGUGGUCCUAAGAAUGAAACACAUGUGUUGUUAGUUGCGAUUAGGAGUAGGCAAUGGUGGGCAGUAUGAAAAGGAAGAAGGCUGUGAGCUAACCGCGACAUGGCCGGCGUAGUGCUCUGCGUCCAGAACUAUGGAGCAAGUGUUCUCAUCCCAUGAGGCGCCGCUAAGGUCUCUCAGCUUGGACACUUGGAUCCAUCGACUUCUCCACUUCCUCAGGUGGUUGUACACCUAGGUGGCAGACACCUCUUGCCCACAGAACUCGAACACCUGCUUCGCAACGGUGUUCAAGUGCACCUCCUUGAAGCCCUUGUCAGUCCUAACUCCACUAGAGAUGAGCUCACACAUCUUGUUCAGCACCAACGUGGACAUGAACCACUGCCACUUCAUGUUGUUCGACCUACCAUCCUUCUUUGCCUUUGCUGCUGCUAGCUCGAUUGCAGCGGCAGCAGCAGCAACAGGAGGAGUUGGCUCAACAAGCACUACUGGCACAUAGAGGGAAUCAAACUCGAACACCUCUGAAUCAGGUGCCAUCUCGGACAUAGGCUGCGAGUCCUCGACAAACGAUGGAGCAAACUGGCUGUCGGACAUGACAAUGGCCUGACUAAGAUCUUGCGUCUGUGUGGUCAUGUCCUACAAUCGUAGCAUGCAUUGACAGUGAGCAUAGCACACAACAUACCGGACAAUCCAUGAAAGCAGGAGCAUACAUGUACAUGGUUCAUCAUUAUCAUAGCAAGCGCAUGCUUCAUCACUAUCAUACUAAGCAUACCAGAGAAUCUAUGAGCAGAAACAUACAUCUACAACAAACAACAUGCUACAAAUGGACCACCAAUAGCUACAAAUAACAGAUCUAAGCAUGAUUCAACACAAGCACAAGGUUCAACUUCAAACUCUACUACCAAUCUAGCCUACCACAUGCUUGAACAUCUAGCCCUACCACAAAUUGCAACCGCAACAUAGCAACCAACCAUAUUAGCUCACAAAUCAGACCACUAAUCAACCAUGCAUCUAGAUCAAACCCUAGANNNNNNNNNNNNNNNNNNNNNNNNNNNNNNNNNNNNNNNNNNNNNNNNNNNNNNNNNNNNNNNNNNNNNNNNNNNNNNNNNNNNNNNNNNNNNNNNNNNNNNNNNNNNNNNNNNNNNNNNNNNNNNNNNNNNNNNNNNNNNNNNNNNNNNNNNNNNNNNNNNNNNNNNNNNNNNNNNNNNNNNNGGUGGUGGAAGAUGAACGCCGGCCGGUGAAGGAGCUCCGGCGCCGUGGACCGCCGGCCGAUGAAGAUGUGCCACUUACCUGCAAGUAGGUGCCGAUGCGCGUAGGCGGGAAGGUGCGAACGGAGGAAGAAUGGUGGCGGGAGUUGGGGCGGUGAAGGAUGGGCUAAAUAGUGGGUGGAGCGGCGGAAGGUGAGCCGAAAUCCUCCCGCCAAUUUUUCGGCGAUGCGGGCGAGCUCGCGCCAUCUCCCCUGCUCACACAAGGGGAGAAGCGCGUCGCCCUCCCUUGCCUCGCCCGAGCCAGGCUCGCGAGCUACUACCGAAUCGUGCAUUUCCCGUGUGCCUGGCCUGCAGGUGCUUUAAGUUUCAUGUGAUGCGGGCCGCACAAUGAAUGCAGGAAACCAAACAGGCUAAAUUCUUCCCGCUCGGGCCAGGCUGGGCCUCAUGCGGGCAACCAAACACGCCCUAGAGUAAUUGCAAGGAGAUACCACAUUUCAGCACCAUGUAACAAGUCAGUACCACACUUUGUGCAUGUCGCAAUUCAGUACCAUUAUUCGGCCUAAUCGUUACAAAAAGGACUGAUAGUCGUAUAACCCCAUAUUGACCAUGUAUCUGACCGUGCAACCCCACCUGUUGGGCGAGACGCUGGCAAAUCGGCGCGUGCCGGUGUUGGGGAACGUAGUAAUUUCAAAAAAAUUCCUACGUACACGCAAGAUCAUGGUGAUGGCAUAGCAACGAGAGGGAAGAGUGUUGUCCACGUACCCUCGUAGACCGUAAGCGGAAGCGUUAUGACAACGUGGUUGAUGUAGUCGUACGUCUUCACGAUUCGACUGAUCCAAGUACCGAACGUACGGCACCUCCGAGUUCAGCACACGUUCAGCUCGAUGACGAUCCCCGGACUCCGAUCCAGCAAAGUGUCGGGGAUGAGUUCCGUCAGCACGACGGCGUGGUGACGAUGAUGAUGUUCUACCGGCGCAGGGCUUCGCCUAAACUCCGCGACAAUAUGACCGAGGUGGAAUAUGGUGGAGGGGGGCACCGCACACGGCUAAGGAACGAUCCGUAGAUCAACUUGUGUUGUUAUGGGGUGCCCCUGCCCCCGUAUAUAAAGGAGCAAGGGGGGAGGGGGCGGCCGGCCUAGGAGGGGCGCGCCAAGGGGAGUCCUACUCACACCGGGAGUAGGACUCCCUCCUUCCUUGUUGGAGUAGGAGAAGGGGGAAAGAGGGGGAGAGGAGGAAGGAAAAGGGGGCCGCACCCCUUGUCCAAUUCGGACCAGAGGGGGGCUGCGCGCCUCCUUCCUUUUGGCCUCUCUCCUCUAUUCCCGUAUGGCCCAAUAAGGCCCAUAUACUCCCCGGCGAAUUCCCGUAACUCUCCGGUACUCCGAAAAAUACCCGAAUCACUCGGAACCUUUCCGAACUCCGAAUAUAGUCAUCCAAUAUAUCGAUCUUUACGUCUCGACCAUUUCGAGACUCCUCGUCAUGUCCCCGAUCUCAUCCGGGACUCCGAACUCCUUCGGUACAUCAAAACUCAUAAACUCAUAAUAUAACUGUCAUCGAAACCUUAAGCGUGCGGACCCUACGGGUUCGAGAACUAUGUAGACAUGACCUAGAACUAUUCUUGGUCAAUAACCAAUAGCGGAACCUGGAUGCCCAUAUUGGCUCCUACAUAUUCUACGAAGAUCUUUAUCGGUCAAACCGCAUAACAACAUACGUUGUUCCCUUUGUCAUCGGUAUGUUACUUGCCCGAGAUUUGAUCGUCGGUAUCCAAUACCUAGUUCAAUAUCGUUACUGGCAAGUCUCUUUACUCAUUCCGUAAUGCAUCAUUCCGUAACCAACUCAUUUGGUCACAUUGCUUGCAAGGCUUAUAAAGAUGUGCAUUACCAAGAGGGCCCAGAGAUACCUCUCCGACAAUCGGAGUGACAAAACCUAAUCUCGAAAUAUGCCAACUCAACAUGUACCUUCGGAGACACCUGUAGUACUCCUUUAUAAUCACCCAGUUACGGUAUAACGUUUGGUAGUACCCAAAGUGUUCCUCCGGUAAACGGGAGUUGCAUAUUUCUCAUAGUUACAGGAACAUGUAUAAGUCAUGAAGAAAGCAAUAGCAACAUACUUAACGAUCAAGUGCUAAGCUAAUGGAAUGGGUCAAGUCAAUCACAUCAUUCUCCUAAUGAUGUGAUCCCAUUAAUCAAAUGACAACUCAUGUCUAUGGCUAGGAAACUUAACCAUCUUUGAUUCAACGAGCUAGUCAAGUAGAGGCAUACUAGUGACACUAUGUUUGUCUAUGUAUUCACACAUGUAUUAUGUUUCCGGUUAAUACAAUUCUAGCAUGAAUAAUAAACAUUUAUCAUGAAAUAAGGAAAUAAAUGAUAACUUUAUUAUUGCCUCUAGGGCAUAUUUCCUUCAGUCUCCCACUUGCACUAGAGUCAAUAAUCUAGUUCACAUCGCCAUGUGAUUUAACACCAAUAUUCAUAUCUAUAUAUGAUUAACACCCAUAGUUCACAUCAUCAUGUGACCAACACCCAAAAGGUUUACUAGAGUCAAUAAUCUAGUUCACAUCGCUUAUGUGAUUAACACCCAAAGAGUACUAAGGUGUGAUCAUGUUUUGCUUGUGAGAGAAGCUUAGUCAACGGGUCUGUCAUAUUCAGAGCCAUAUGUAUUUUGCAAAUGUUCUAUGUCUACAAUGCUUUGCACGAAGCUACACUAGCUAAUUGCUCCCACUUUCAACAUGUAUCCAGAUUGAGACUUAGAGUCAUCUGGAUCGGUGUAAAAGCUUGCACCAAUGUAACUCUUUACGACGGGCUCUUUUAUCACCUCCAUAAUCGAGAAAUAUUUCCUUAGUUCUCACUAAGGAUAUUCUUGACCAAUGUCCAGUGAUCUACUCCUAGAUCACUAUUGUACUCCCUUGUCAAAUUCAGAGCAAGGUAUACAAUAGGUCUGGUACAUAGCAUACUUUAUAGAACCUAUGACUGAGGCAUAGGGAAUGAUUUUCAUUCUCUUUUCUAUUUUCUGUCGUGGUCGGGAUUUGAGUCUUACUCAAUUUUACACCUUUGCAAACAUAGGCAAGAACUCUUUCUUUGACCGUUCCAUUUUGAACUACUUCAAAAUCUUGACAAGGUAUGUACUUAUUGAAAAACUUAUCAAGCGUCUUGAUCUAUCUCAAUAGAUCUUGAUGCUCAAUAUGUAAGUAGCUUUACUGAGGUCUUUCUUCUAAAAAAACUCCUUUCAGACACUCCUUUAUGCUUUGCAGAAUAAUUCUACAUUAUUUUCGAUCAAUAAUAUGUCGUUCACAUAUACUAAUCAGAAAUGUUGUAGUGCUCCCACUCACUUUCUUGUAAAUACACGCUUCUCCAAAAGUCUGUAUAAAACCAUAUGCUUUGAUCAACUCAUCAAAGUGUAUAUUCCAACUCCGAGAUGCUUGCACCAGUCCAUAGAUGGAUCGCUGGAGCAUGCACACUUUGUUAGCACCUUUAGGAUUGACAAAACCUUCUGGUUGCAUCAUAUACAACUCUUCUUUAAUAAAUCCAUUAAGGAAUGCAAUUUUGACAUCCAUUUGCCAGAUUUCAUAAAAUGUGGCAAUUGCUAACAUGAUUCGGAUAGACUUAAGCAUCGCUACAGUUGAGAAAAUCUCAUUGUAGUCAACACCUUGAACUUGUCAAAAACCUUUUUGCGACAAGUCAAGCUUUGUAGAUAGUAACACUACUAUCAACGUCCGUCUUCCUUUUGAAGAUCCAUUUAUUUAACAUGGCUUGCUGAUCAUCGAGCAAGUCAAUCAAAGUCUAUACUUUGUUAUCAUACAUGGAUCCUAUCUCAGAUUUCAUGGCCUCAAGCCAUUUCAGGGAAUCUGGGCUCAUCAUCGCUUCCUCAUAGUUCGCAGGUUCAUCAUGGUCUAGUAACAUGACUUCCAAAACAUGAUUACUGCACCACUCUGGUGCGGAUCUUACUCUGGAAGACCUAUGAGGUUCUGUAGUAACUCAAUCUGAAGUUUCAUGAUCAUCAUCAUUAACUUCCUCACUAAUUGGUGUAGUAGUCACAGGAACAGAUUUCUGUGAUGAACUACUUUCAAAUAAGGGAGCAGGUACAAUUACCUCAUCAAGUUCUACUUUCCUCCCACUCACUUCUUUCGAGAGAAACUCCUUCUCUAGAAAGGAUCCAUUCUUAGCAACGAAUGUUUUGCCUUUGGAUUUGUGAUAGAAGGAGUACCCAACCGUUUCCUUUGGGUAUUCUAUGAAGACGCACUACUCCGAUUUGGGUUCGAGCUUAUCAGGUUGAAACUUUUUCAUAUAAGCAUCGCAACUCCAAACUUUAAGAAACGACAGCUUAGGUUUACUGCUAAACCAUAGUUCAUACGGUGUCGUCUCAACGGAUUUAGAUGGUGCCCUUUUAAACGUGAAUGCAGCUAUCUCUAAUGCACAACCCCAAAACGAUAGUGGUAAAACCGAUAAGAGACAUCAUAGAUCGCACCAUAUCCUAUAAAGUGCAGUUACGACGUUCGGACACACCAUAACGUUGUGGUGUUCCAGGUGGCGUGAGCUGUGAAACUAUUCCACAUUGUUUUAAUUGAAGACCAAACUCAUAACUCAAAUAUUCGUCUCCGCGAUCAGAUCGUAGAAACUUUAUUUUUCUUGUUAUGAUGAUUUUUCCACUUCACUCUGAAAUUCUUUGAACUUUUCAACUAUUUCAGACUUAUGUUUCAUUAAGUAGAUAUACCCAUAUCUGCACAAAUCAUCUGUGAAGGUUAGAAAAUAACGAUACUUGCCACGAGCAUCAAUACUCAUUGGACCGCAUACAUCAGUAUGUAUUAUUUCCAAUAAGUCACUAGCUCGUUCCAUUGUUCCGGAGAAUGGAGUUUUAGUCAUCUUGCCCAAAUGGCACGGUUCGCAAGUAUCAAAUGAUUCAUAACCAAGUGAUUCCAAAAAUCCAUCUUUAUGGAGUUUCUUCAUGCGCUUUACACCGAUAUGACCCAAACGGCAGUGCCACAAAUAAGUUGCACUAUCAUUAACUUUGCAUCAUUUUGGCAUCAAUAUUAUGAAUAUGUGUAUUACUACGAUCGAGAUCCAACAAACUAUUUUCAUUGGGUGUAAUGACCAUCGAAGGUUUUAUUCAUGUAAAUAGAACAACAAUUAUUCUUUGACUUUAAAUGAAUAACUGUAUUGCAAUAAACAUGAUCAAAUCAUAUUCAUGCUCAAUGCAAGCGCCAAAUAACAUUUAUUUAGGUUCAACACUAAUCCCGAAAGUAUAGGGAGUGUGCGAUGAUGAUCAUAUCAAUCUUGGAACCACUUCCAACACUCAUCGUCACUUCCCCUUCAACUAGUCUCUGUUUAUUCUGUAACUCCUGUUUUGAGUUACUAACCUUACCAACCGAACAAGUAUCAAAUACUCAGGGGCUACUAUAAACACUAGUAAGGCACACAUCAAUAACCUGUAUAUCAAAUAUACCCUUGUUCACUUUGCCAUCCUUCUUAUCCACCCAAUAUUCAGGGUAUUUCCGUUUCCAGUGACCAUUUCCUUUGCAGUGUAAGCACUCAGUUUCAGGCUUAGGUCCAGCUUUGGGCUUCUUCACGGGAGUGACAACUUGUUUGCCAUUCUACUUGAAGUUUCCCUUUCUUUCCCUUUGCUUGAAACUAGUGGUCUUGUCAAUCAUCAACACUUGAUGCUCUUUCUUGAUUUCUACCUUCGUUAAUUUCAACAUCACGAAGAGCUCGGGAAUUGUCUUCGUCAUCCCUUGCAUACUGUAGUUCAUCACAAAGUUCUACUAACUUGGUGAUGGUGACUAGAGAACUCUAUCAAUCACUAUCUUAUCUGGAAGAUUAACUCCCACUUCAUUCAAGCCAUUGUAGUACCCAGACAAUCUGAGCACAUGCUCACUAGUUGAGUGAUUCUCCUCUAUCUUUUAGCCAUAGAACUUGUUGGAGACUUCAUAUCUCUCAACUCGGGUAUUUGCUUGAAAUAUUAACUUCAACUCCUGGAACAUCUCAUAUGGUCCAUGACGUUCAAAACAUCUUUGAAGUCCCGGUUCUAAGCCGUUAAGCAUGGUGCACUAAACUAUCAAGUAGUCAUCAUAUUGGGCUAGCCAAACGUUCAUAACAUCUGCAUCUGCUCCUGCAGUAGGUCUGUCACCUAGCGGUGCAUUAAGGACAUAAUUCUUCUGUGCAGCAAUGAGGAUAAACCUCAGAUCACGGAUCCAAUCCGCAUCAUUGCUACUAACAUCUUUCAACACAAUUUUCUCUAGGAACAUAUCAAAAUAAACAUAUGAAAGCAACAACGCGAGCUAGUGAUCUACAACAUAAUUUGCAAAAUACUACCAGGACUAAGUUCAUGAUAAAUUUAAGUUCAAUUAAUCAUAUUACUUAAGAACUCCCACUUAGAUAGACAUCCCUCUAAUCCUCUAAGUGAUUACGUGAUCCAUAUCAACUACACCAUGUCCGAUCAUCACGUGAGAUGGAGUAGUUUCAAUGGUGAACAUCAAUAUGUUGAUCAUAUCUACUAUAUAAUUCACGCUCGACCUUUCGGUCUCCGUGUUCCGAGGCCAUAUCUGUAUAUGCUAGGCUCGUCAAGUAUGACCUGAGUAUUCCGCGUGUGCAACUGUUUUGCACCCGUUGUAUUUGAACGUAGAGCCUAUCACACCCGAUCAUCACGUGGUGUCUCAGCACGAAGAACUUUCGCAACGGUGCAUACUCAGGGAGAACACUUCUUGAUAAUUAGUGAGAGAUCAUCUUAUAAUGCUACCGUCAAACAAAACAGAAUAAGAUGUAUAACAGAUAAACAUCAUAUGCAAUCAAAAUAUGUGACAUGAUAUGGCCAUGAUCAUCUUGCACCUUUGAUCUCCAUCUCCAAAGUACUGUCAUGAUCUCUAUCGUUACCGGCACGACACCAUGAUCUUCAUCAUCUUGAUCUAUAUCAAUGUGUCGUCACAUGGUCGUCUCGCCAACUAUUGCUCUUGCAACUAUUGCUAUCGCAUAGCGAUAAAGUAAAGCAAUUAUUUAGUACUUGCAUCUUAUGCAACAAAGAGACAACCAUAGGGCUUCUGCCAGUUGCCGAUAACUUCAACAAAACAUGAACAUCUCAUGCAACAACUUAUAUCUCAUCACGUCAUGACCAUAUCACAUCACAACAUGCCCUGCAAAAACAAGUUAGACGUCCUCUACUUUGUUGUUGCAAAUUUUAUGUGGCUGCUACGGGCUGAGCAACAACCGUUCUUACCUACGCAUAAAAACCACAACGAUAGUUUGUCAAGUUGGUGCUGUUUUAACCUUCGCAAGGACCGGGCGUAGCCACACUCGAUUCAGCUAAAGUGAGAGAGACAGACACCCGCCAGCCACCUUUAAGCACGAGUGCUCGUAACGGCGAAACCAUUCUCGCGUAAGCGUACGCGUAAUGUCGGUCCGGGCCGCUUCAUCUCACAAUACCGCCGAACCAAAGUAUGACAUGCUGGUAAGCAGUAUGACUUGUAUCGCCCACAACUCACUUGUGUUCUACUCGUGCAUAUAACCUCAAUGCAUAAAACCUAGGCUCGGAUGCCACUGUUGGGGAACGUAGUAAUUUCAAAAAAAUUCCUACGUACACGCAAGAUCAUGGUGAUGACAUAGCAACGAGAGGGAAGAGUGUUGUCCACGUACCCUCGUAGACCGUAAGCGGAAGCGUCAUGACAACGCGGUUGAUGUAGUCGUACGUCUUCACAAUCUGACCGAUCCAAGUACCGAACGUACCGCACCUCCGAGUUCAGCACACGUUCAGCUCGAUGACGAUCCCCGGACUCCGAUCCAGCAAAGUGUCGGGGAUGAGUUCCGUCAGCACGACGGCGUGGUGACGAUGAUGAUGUUCUACCGGCGCAGGGCUUCGCCUAAACUCCGUGACGAUAUGACCGAGGUGGAAUAUGGUGGAGGGGGGCACUGCACACGGCUAAGGAACGAUCUGUAGAUCAACUUGUGUUGUUAUGGGCUGCCCCCUGCCCCCGUAUAUAAAGGAGCAAGGGGGGAGGGGGCGGCCGGCCUAGGAGGGGCGCGCCAAGGGGAGUCCUACUGCCACCGGGAGUAGGACUCCCUCCUUCCUUGUUGGAGUAGGAGAAGGGGGAAAGAGGGGGAGAGGAGGAAGGAAAAGGGGGCCGCACCCCUUGUCCAAUUCGGACCAGAGGGGGGCUGCGCGCCUCCUUCCUUUUGGCCUCUCUCCUCUAUUCCCGUAUGGCCCAAUAAGGUCCAUAUACUCCCCGGCGAAUUCCCGUAACUCUCCGGUACUCCGAAAAAUACCCGAAUCACUCGGAACCUUUCCGAACUCCGAAUAUAGUCGUCCAAUAUAUCGAUCUUUACGUCUCGACCAUUUUGAGACUCCUCGUCAUGUCCCCGAUCUCAUCUGGGACUCCGAACUCCUUCGGUACAUCAAAACUCAUAAACUCAUAAUAUAACUGUCAUCGAAACCUUAAGCGUGCGGACCCUACGGGUUCGAGAACUAUGUAGACAUGACCUAAGACUAUUCUUGGACAAUAACCAAUAGCGGAACCUGGAUGCCCAUAUUGGCUCCUACAUAUUCUACGAAGAUCUUUAUCGGUCAAACCGCAUAACAACAUACGUUGUUCCCUUUGUCAUUGGUAUGUUACUUGCCCGAGAUUUGAUCGUCGGUAUCCAAUACCUAGUUCAAUCUCGUUACCGGCAAGUCUCUUUACUCGUUCCGUAAUGCAUCAUUCCAUAACCAACUCAUUUGGUCACAUUGCUUGCAAGGCUUAUAAAGAUGUGCAUUACCGAGAGGGCCCAGAGAUACCUCUCCGACAAUCGGAGUGACAAAACCUAAUCUUGAAAUAGGCCAACUCAACAUGUAGCUUCGGAGACACCUGUAGUACUCCUUUAUAAUCACCCAGUUACGUUGUGACGUUUGGUAGUACCCAAAGUGUUCCUCCGGUAAACGGGAGUUGCAUAUUUCUCAUAGUUACAGGAACAUGUAUAAGUCACGAAGAAAGCAAUAGCAACAUACUUAACGAUCAAGUGCUAAGCUAAUGGAAUGGGUCAAGUCAAUCACAUCAUUCUCCUAAUGAUGUGAUCCCGUUAAUCAAAUGACAACUCAUGUUUAUGGCUAGGAAACUUAACCAUCUUUGAUUCAACGAGCUAGUCAAGUAGAGGCAUACUAGUGACACUAUGUUUGUCUAUGUAUUCACACAUGUAUUAUGUUUCCGGUUAAUACAAUUCUAGCAUGAAUAAUAAACAUUUAUCAUGAAAUAAGGAAAUAAAUAAUAACUUUAUUAUUGCCUCUAGGGCAUAUUUCCUUCAGCCGGUGCGCUGACUAGGACGAGGCCGGCGCGGUCGAUAUUAGUGGUCUCGGUCGCACCCAGCCAGAUCCCCCGACCCCCAAAAACCCUAGCUUUCGUUGUCCCCUCUUCUCUCACCGCGGAUUUGAGGCGAUGGCUGUGACGACUCCUAGCAGCGGCGGUGUCAUGGGCGGGUAUAGCGACCUUCCUGGCCUCGGGAACGAUGACCACGUGGGUCUGGACGGCUCUAGUUCGCCCAACUCUAGUGGCGAUGAGAAAGAGGAGGAGGAGGUGCCCCUGAACUGGGAACAACGAGUCUGGCUCGCUGAGAUGUGGUUGGCCAACCCAACCACAAGCCAUCACUGGACCAGUGGAGCGGGUGGAGUGUUCUAAGUCCCUCCAUUUUUCCUUAUGUUUGUUCAAAUCAUAGGGCUAGGGUUAGUGUUCUUAAAGCACUGGAAAAAAAAUUUAAUUUUGCCGUGGCUUGUAGGUUAGAUGAUGUUAUAUGGGAUGUUAGGAUUCACUUUGAUGCUGGGCACAAUUUGGAUAGUAAGAUUUGCAGCUCAGAUGUCACAUUUCUGAAUAUAUAUACACUGAUGCAAAUAGUAGGAUUUGCAUUCAGUGAUGAACUGUAUCACAUGAAAAAUGUAGCUGCAGGAGUUGAGAGAGAGCAUGGACUAGAACUGAUUGAGACAAACAUCAAGUUGCAAGAACUAAAGAAGCAGUAUGAGGAUUCAUUAGUUCUGAAUUUGUUAGUGAGGGUAAUAGGACCUAUCAGUUCUGUAUUUGUUAGUCAGGGCAACAUCAAUCACAUAGUUGAUGAAUUAGCUAUAGUCUUAUAUGAACCACCUGUUGUGUAUGAUCUCAGUGAUCCUGGUGUUUUUGUUGUUGAUGAUCAUGGUAUAUUUUUUCAAAGUCAGUGCAUCAGCAGCACUAUGCAACCUACUCAACAUACUGCUAUGUGCACACAAGAGAGUAGAAAUGUCAGUAAGGGGAAGAUGAAAGCUGUGCUGGAGGAAGAGGAGCUGGAGGGAUAUAAGAGUAGUGAUGAGGAGAUUGCAUAUGAUAGUGAUAACAACCCUUUUAGCCUGGGGAAGUACAUCAUUCCUGAUGCAGAAGAUGAAGAUUCAGAUGAAGAAUCAGAAGAGGAACACUUACAUUAUGAGGGUGACACCGAGGUUGAUGAUUUGUUUGAGGAGGAGGAGGAGGAGGAGGUUAAUGUUGUUGCAGCAGAAGAACAACCCAUGCAACGACCUGCAAGAAAGAGAUAGAAGCUACAUGUUAGAAGAGGUCCCACCACUAGGUCACAUUCUAGUGUUCUAUAGGAGGUGAAACCUGAUUUCAUUCCUUCAUCAGAAGAAGAAGAUCAUGGGCUGCUAUUUGACAGUGAGGAUGAUGGACACGAGGAACCAACUUUUGUCUUAAAGAAAUGCAAGAAAAGUAGGGCCAAGAAAAAUAAAACCUAGGAUAUGGUACAAUGACAAACUAGGGAAACCACAUCAGCAGUUGUGUCUACACAUGUGCUUCAAGAAUCAACAAUAAUUUAGAGAAGCAUUGUUGAGCUUGCACAUUAGACAGGCAAGAAAUUUCAGGUACCACAGAAACUCAGACAAAAGGAUAAUAGCAUGUUGUAAACAUGAUAAGUGCAAGUUCUGCAUAGUUCCUGCAGUUAUCGAAGGGGAAAAGACAUUUUCUAUUUAGAAGAUGAGGCUGCAACACACUUGUCCUUCCAGUACAGAGUCCUCUAGGGUUAGUGCAAAGUGGCUUGCAAAGACCUAUGAGUCAUUGUUCAUAUAUGAUCCAAGCACUAGCAUAGCCACUAUGAUUGACAAUUGCCAGGAGAAGUAUGGUGUUGAUGUGCCCAGGCACAUGGCCUAUAGGGCCAAGAACCUUGCUGUGAAAGCUAUAUCAGGAGAGCACAAGCAGCAGUAUCCCAGGUUGAGGGAUUAUGCUCAAACCAUCAUGGAUACAAACCCUGGAAGUAGAGUUGUUGUGGCAAUAGUAACUCCAAGACCUACAACUAAAAUACCACAUCCUGGACCAAGGUUUCAUGCUAUGUUCUUCUACAUAAAUGGAGCAAGAGAGGGAUUUCUCAAUGGAUGCAGGCCAUUCGUUGGUUAGUAACAUGUUUAUUUCCUUUCUAUAGAAUGCUUGUAGAUCACACCUUCUGAAUCAUAUAUGCUUACUUUAAAUGUUGCUUUCUUGUUAAAUUAGGUGUUGAUGGGUGCUUUAUUAAACUGAAUAUGAUGCUCAAAUCCUGGCUGUCACUCGGAGAGAUGGAAAUAACAACAUAUUUCCACUAGCAUUUGCUAUAGUUGGACAAGAGGACACAGCAAACUGGUGUUGGUUUCUACACCAGCUCAAGAUAUGUAUAGGAGGUGAAUACGGGAAAUUUGGCCCUUACACAAUCAUGUCUGAUAGACAGAAGGUAUGCAUGCAUCUCCAUUUAUGUUGUACUCCAUUAGCUUAGUAGAGUCAAUACUCCAGUAGCUUAGUAUGUUAUAUUAUGUGAUCAGGGCCUACUAAAUGCCGUAAAUCAGGUAUUUCCAAACUGCCAUCAAAGAUUUUGCCUUAGACACCUAUAUGCAAAUUUCCAGAAUGCUGGGUUUAGGGGGGGGGAGACCUUAAGAAAUGUAUGGAUAAUGCUAGCUAUGCUUAUAACCAACACAAGUAUAACAUUGCAAUGAAUAAUCUGGAAAAUGAGAGUGAGGAAUCUUGGAAGUGGCUGAGUGGAAUAUCAAAACACACAUAGGCCAGACAUGCUUUUGACACUAACUGCAAGACAGAUUUGGUUGUUAACAACCUGCGAGAGGUGUUCAACAAGUAUAUCUUAGGUUUUAGGAAAAAACCUAUUAGGACUAUGGUUGAUGGUAUUAAGGACAAGCAGAUGGUGAGGUGGCAUAGGAAUAGAGAGAGAGGCAAAGCAGCUAUGUGGGAGAUCACACCUCAUUAUGCUGAAAAGCUGGAGGUGGAAAAGGAAAGGGCCAGAUUUUGCAAACCAAUUCAAGCUGGUGUUAAUAUAUGGCAAGUGACAAGUGGGCAGCAAACUCAUGCAGUUAACCUGGAAUAGUUCACAUGUGGUUUCUGAAAGUGGGACCUGUUUGGCAUACCAUGCAACCAUGCUAUAUCAGCAAUUAAUAAGGUAAAAAGGUUUCCAGAGGACUAUGUUUCCAAAUUCUUCAAAAAACCUAUGUACCUGGCAUCAUAUGAACCUAUGAUAUAUCCUGUUCCUGGUGAACAUGAUUGGACAAAGACUCCUGGACCAGACAUAGAGCCACCUGACUUCCAUGUGAAGAGAGGAAGGAAGAAAGAAAAGAGGAUAAAAGGCAAGUUUGAAGUUCCAAAGUCAAAGGACACUUCUAGAAUGGCAACUAUAGCAUGCAGUAAUUUUGGGCUCCAAGGCCAUCGGUACACCAACUGCAAGAAAGCUUUGAAACCAGAGUUGGCUAUGAGGAAGAAUAAGCAUGUGGUAAUCCACUUGCCACUCUAGUUUAAUUUUUUGUAUUUUUGAAUUUUUUAGUAAAUACUAUUAUUUCUUUUGUUUGCAAGGCACCUGCAAGAUCACAGCCCUCAGCAGGAAGAUCACCUCCAGCAGCAAGAUCACAGCCUCCACCAGCAAGAUCACAGCCUCCAGCUGCAAGAUCACAUCCCCCACCUGCAAGAUCACAACCCCACCUGCAAGAACUUCUAGGGGUGGAAGUUCUGCUGGUGCAAGCUAUCAAAUACCAUUCUCUGCCCCAAGAGCUUCAACUUCUGGUGCUCCUACUGCUGGUGGUCCAAGAAACCAUUCUGAAUGGAUGUCUUUUUUACUACCAGUCAAAACAAACGAGUGGAAUGAGUUAUGUAAACAUCUGGGUGAUGUUUGUUGUUAGUUCUUGUUAGUAUGUGAACAUCUUCAACUAUGUAUGCUUUUGAACCCUGGUACUAUGUAUGUUGUUGGCUACUGAGUUAUUUGAGACUGAACAUCUAUAUUAAGUGAUGUUUGUACUAAGGUUCAAUUUGAUGUGAUGAGAAGUAAGUUGUGUGUGUACCAAUUUAUAGAAAAUCUAUAUCAAAUGAAAUCACUUGUUGCUAUCAAAUGCCAGCAUAAUUCUCACAAAUGGUUUCAUAGCAUAGCUCAUUACCAUAGAAUUCAUACAAAAUAGAUACUGGUGGCACAUUACAAACCCUAGGACUGCACCUAGCACAUUACAAACCAAGUUCCAGAUUACUUUAAUGAUCAAUUACAACCCAGUUUCUAGCACUCAGACUGACACAAGUAAAUGAACUUCAGUAUACUAGCAUUUUCCCUAAGACUACACCAAGCACAAAGACAACGAAAACCAUCACCAAAUUCAUGUACUUGCCCUUCAUUGCUUCCAGUUCUGCAUUCUUCUCCCUUAACUGCACCUGCAAAGACAUAACCCUUGACCCUUCUAAAGCUGCUUCAUUUCCAGAGACUGGCAGAUCUGGAUCUUCCGUACGAGCCACAAAUCAUUGACCCUUCAGCCUCCACACCUCAUCUCUUAGAUCUCCAAUCAUGUCAGUUAAAAACUAAGGCAAAGGAACAUCAUGCCAUUCAUGAAAGCCACAUCCACCAUGCUAUUCAACACAAAUGUGGAAAGAAAUAAAUCAAUGAGUAUGAGCAAAAAUGGCCAUAAGAAAAUGAUAUGAGCACAAGAAAUGGGGCUCACCAUUGCAUCCACACAGGCGUAGUACCUCCGGCUGGGGUUUUGACGGCUCCAGGAGAUCCAUCGCGGUGCCUUCCACGGCGGAUCGCAGUGGCACAUGUUCGGCGGCUCGUACGACAUUGGGCUCUGCCUGUAAGCAACAGGAAACCUCGAUUCCAUGUCCCUUCUUCCACUGGAGCGGCGGAAGCCGGGAGCGGAAGAGCCCGAAGACCAUAGUCUAGAGUUAUUACUUGUAAACAAUAGCAUACAUCAUAAAAGGUCAGCUAAGCAUGCUUCUCAUGUCAUGUUCAUCUGGAUCUUGCUCUUACAUCUUCUUCAUUCUGCCAAGAUGUCCUGGACCCCUUUAACUUCUUCAUGUUCUUCUCCUCUGACCCAAGCAAAUCAGCAAUGUGAAGCUUCAGUUCAGCCCUGCCUCCAGUGAGCUUCUCAUGUCCUUUCUUCAGGUCACCCAUGUGAAGCUUCAACUUUAAGUUCUCCUGUGUGAGCUUUUCCACUGACUUGUUGAGUUCAUCAACCUGCAACUGCAAGUUCCUACUAGCUUCACUAAGUUGCUCCUUAUCUUUCAAAUGGUUGAUCUUCAGGUUUUGGAUGACAGUGCCUUGAGCUUGUGUCAGAUUCAUCGGGAAUUUAUACUUCUCCUGCAGCUUGUAUAUCUCUGCAUCUUUCUUAUCCAUCUCUACAUUCAUAUCAGACACAACUGACUUGGUAACCUCAGCACCCCUCAUCUUAGCAUUCAAAUAGCUGAAAUCCAUCAUUCUGUCCUCUUGUGCACUGGAUAGUUCAUGCACAUCUUCAACCAAUUUGUCAUAGUUGGCCUCCAGUUUGUUUUUCUGCUCUGUCAAAUGGUGAAUAGUGAGUGAAUUCUCAAGCUUAUCCUUCCUCCUACCACUCCUGUUGUCUGAGUACAUCUCCCAUAGCUUCAACAAAGCAUUCUAUAGUGUGGGAGGUCUCUCUGGGUCAACCCAUUGAACAAAACCACAGUUAUCAGCUUCCUGCAACGUAAACAUCACAAUCAGAUUUAUUGUAAACAACCCAUUCAAACAGCUGAACCCUAGCAUGUGCAAUGUAAACAACAAGUUUAAUGUAAGCAACACUUGUAUUGUAAACAACUAAACUAUGAGCAUCCCACAUAAUAAAUUAUCUGAUCUAUGAGCAACUAACAAUUAACAAGUAACCCAAAGCGAGCUGCCCAACUACCUAUGAAAGUGAUUUGAAACUCAAACAGAACAUUUAUGAGGGACCCACACUGUAAGAUAAAUCUACUUUUGCCAACUAACAAUUAAAAAACAACUCAAACUUGAAGCAUCUGACACAAUCAGUGAGAUGCCUAAUUAAAGAAUGAGCAUCUACACUGCAAACUAAGUUGUUGACAAGUUAUAAAGUAGACAUCUACUUCCCAAAUUAAAUAUACAUGGAAAGCAUCAGCAACUGGCUAAACAGGUACACAAUCAGAUGCUGCCUACUUAAACAAUCACAGAAUCUGCAUCAGCGCAUGGGUAAACUAAGAAAUGACCAACAUAUCCACCAACAUAAAACUAUGGACUGGACCAUGUGCUCACUCACAUUCUUAAUACAAAAAAUAAAGCUAAUGUGUAGCAUCUGACCUUAUUAGCACACACUAAGAACCUCCUGCCCAUGUCAAAUCCUUCAAAGGCCACACGCCUCUCACCUACCAGAACAUGGUGCUCGCAAGGAACCAACAGUGUUGUCUCAACGCCCAUGUAGUCCUGGUCGUCAAUGCUAGCAGGGACCUAAAGGACCAAAAUGAACCAAGAAAUCCCCCAAAUCAAAUCACCAAUCCCCUAGGAACGAACAAAAACCCUAACCCUAACCCUAGUUUUGCAACUCACCUGGUACUGCAUGCUGUCGUCCGAUGAGCUGAUGUACAGGAGGCUCGAGUAUUCGUUGCUGCUCUCAUCCUCGUACACCAUGGCGUGACGGACGGUGGCGGCGGCGGGGGCGGUCGAUGGCGGAGGGGGCAAGGAGAGAGCUCAACGAGGAGGAGGGAGACUGGACUGGUCGGGGGAUACGGCUGGGUGCGACCGAGCCUGCAAAGACCGACCGCAUCGGCCUCAUCCUAGUCAGCGCACCGGCACACACCGAUUCGCCAGCGUGUCGCCCGACAGGUGGGGCCGCGCGGUCAAAUACAUGGUCAAUACGGGGUUAUACGACUGUCAUUCCUUUUUGUAACGAUUAGGCCGAAUAAUGGUACUGAAUUGCAACAUGCACGAAGUGUGGUACUGACUUGUUACAUGGUGCUGAAAUGUUGUAUCUCCUUGCAAUUAACUCCGGGUCAUCCAUACCUGGUGUGGGUGCCCAUGAAACCCAGCCACUCUUCGGCUCUUCCUCCUCCCAAGUCCCAACAUCAGACUCCAUUCCACAUUUCCAAUUCACUUCUCGCGUUGUCCAAAUGUUGCCUGCUGACGCCCUGCUGCCAGAGGGUGCGACGGCGCUGGAGAUUCCCUCCGAUCGUCCGGUCACCUUGUGCCAUUUCAAGGGCCCUGAGGUCCCUGCCGGCGCGACCGCGGUCCACGGCCUCACCGAUGUAUCCCUCCCGGACUCCAUCAUCAAUCUGUACUGCACUGGCAGUCACAAUGGUUCGAGGGCGCUCUACGCGGGGUGCAUCGCCUAUGUGUCCAUCAUCCCGAAGAGGACCCUGGGCCACACGGGCCCGGAGCCCUUCAUCCGCCGCGUCUUCUGCACCCUCGCGCUCGACCUCCCGCAGACCUUCUAGUUCCUCCGUCCCGCCUUGGGCUCCGAUGACAUUCUUACGUUAUUCCGCAGGCUGUGUGACAGAGAGGAGGCCAUGCGCAGGCAGCCGUUCCAGCUCGACAACGUCGCGGUGAAGCUCGUGCCCGUUGAAAUGAUCACUGAUGUCUCCCGCGACGGAGGCUACAUGGUCCAUGCAGUGAUGCACGACUACCCUAUCGAGCAGCAGACCAGGAUACACACCGCAGAUAACUGACGCAGCUUUGGGCUCGUGCGCGAGAUCGACCACGCCUGCUUCGCGGCGCCUGACCUCUCCACCGUCCGCGUCAUCCUUCAAGUCGAGCACCCUCGAGAAAUCUCCCGUGAGCUCCGGAUCUACUACGAUGAUUGUUCCGCCAACAUUGUCCCCAUCGAGAUCAUUAGGGUUUGGGAGUCGUCACACUCCAGCAACGCUAAUGGGAAGUACUUGCCUCUCUUCAAGCCCCCAAUUGGGAGGCCAAAUAAUGAAGACUAGGGACUAGAGCCUAUUAGACGCUCAUGCGCAGACCUAUUUCGUGUGUAGUAGAAAUGGACGUGUAUUUUCUCCAAUAGUAAAAAUGUUGGGACAUUCACAUUUGUGCCCCUAACUUGAACCCACUACUCAAAUUUACCCCUAACUUUUUGAUGUGCUCAAAUUUUCCCCUAAAAAGCAUUUUAAGUCAUAGGAAUGCCCUUCCAGCUGGUCAAAGUUGUUUGACCAAAACUUUGAAAAUUCAUAACAAAUUCAUAUGAACUUAGAAGAAUGCAAAAUAAGAUAUCAAAAUGCUCAUAAAAACAAAACCUAUAUGCACAUGUCAUUUAUGUUCAUGACAAAAGCACUCUUUAAAGCUUUUUAGGGUUUAUAACAUUAAAAAACAAUUUAGGGCCAAUUCAAAUAAAUGCACAUGUAGGUGAGGAACGUAAAUGACAUGUGCGUAUAGGUGAUGUUUUUAUGAACAUUUUGAUAUCUUAUUGCAUUUUUCUAACUUUGUAUGAAUUUGUUAUGAAUUUUCAAAGUUUUGGUCAAACAACUUUGACCAGAUGGAAGGGCAUUCCCGCGACUUAAAAUGCUUUUUAGGGGCAAAUUUUAGCACAUCAAAAAUUUAGGGGUAAAUCUGAGAGUGGGCACAAAUUAGGGGCAUAUAAAUGUCCCAAAAAUGUUUGCCUUUUGUGUCUUUUGUUCAUAUACUGUACCAACUAGUAGAAUGCUCGUGCGUUGCAGGCUUUUGAAACUAAAUUAAGAUGUUAAUAACGGAUUUUAUGCCCGUGCGUUACUAUGGGCUUUUGAAAAGAAGUUGAGAUGCUAAUGGCGGAGCUAGCUAAAAAAUCCGAGAACAAUGUCAUCUCAGCUAACACGACAAUCAACUAACACACUUCAUACUCUCAAAUCCUCCACGAACGUGCCCCAUCAGUGACCGAACAGGAGAGAGAAGGAAAAAGGUGACCAAACAACACCCCACAUAUCAUCCCUAUACAUACGAGUUGUCCGCAAAACCUUUAUUGACACCAAAUAUGGAUAGAGACCCGCCCCGUCAGUGACCGAACAGGAGAGAGAAGGAAAAAAUGUGACUCAACCACACCCCUCAUAUCAUCCCUAUACAUCCAAGUUGUCCGCAAACCCUCUAUUAACACCACAUAUGGAUAGGAUAUGUGGGCACGGGGACAUUGUCCACCUUUCUUUCUUUUCUUUCUUGCUCUUCAUCUCCAUAAAUCACAUGAAGUGAGGGAGAAAAUGAGAAACAUGACUGCAUGCCCAGACAAAAAGGGGCUCAAAACAGACACGGUCAGACACUGACCGGGCGCAUCCGCAGAUGUUUAGGGGGGGCAGAUCUGCUUAAUCUAGCAAUAGAUGCUCUCUUAUUGACAACUAAAGAAAAUUUGUUUUUUAUUCUAUAGCAUCAUGAAUACAAUUUGAUGGAUACCUAAUCCAAGUUCUAUAUAUAACUUAUUCGCACAACCCUUUUCCGCUAGCCAAUGAGUGGAUCCAUUAGCCAAGCAUCUCACCCAUACUAACAUGUACUCCUCCCUUGAUCCCAUGCACUUCUUUACCUCCUCAGUGAUAGGGCUAUAGAUAGAUCUAUCGAUUUCUGAGCUUUUUUUUACUUAGAAGUCACUUUUUUUGAGUCCGUCUCCAGGAUAAGCUUCGCCACGUCUAGUUCACGUGUAAGCUGAGCAGCCCAUCAACACGCCUGGAGUUCAGCAAAUUCAGAGUCCAUGGUGAAGGAGAAAAAAUGGCAUGUGCCUCCGCCUAGAAAAAAUGUUAUAAAAACCAACUAAUAGUUAAAUGGUUAGGAUAGUGGUGGUACCGACCAUGUGUGAGUGCAUGUGUGUAUUUUAUGGUGUGCAUACUGUUAUCCAUAUUUCUUUAAACUUCUGUCAAGACACAUAAAUUCAAAUACAGACAUAUCAAAAAAAUCUGGAGUUCGUGGGCUAUUCUCAUUCCCUGCCGGUCCGUUUUUCACGGGGAGUAUUAAUGCACACUUCCUAAUAUCUCAACAUUCCAACCCUGUAGUGAAAGUGCGUUAUAUCGACUAGAGGGGGGGGGGGGUGAAUAGGCGAUUUUUAUGAAUUCUUCACUGAGGAAUUUGCAGGUGAGGAAAUUCCUAAAUGAAGAAGUACUUGCAGCGGAAUAAGUACUCAGAAAGGAACAUAACAGAACACAAGCACAAUCAUCAUGAUGAAAUGAAGACAAGCACAGAGUACAGAAAGCGUAAACACAGGAUAACACAAGAUGAAGACAGACAGACUAAAGAAAUUGAACUGAGGAAAUUGAGAAAGUCUUCAGUCAAAAGUCUUCAAACAGAUAUGAACAGGCACACAACAACAUACAUGAGGAAAUGAAAGAGUUGAGGAAAUAGAACCAGUUAUCUUGGUGAAGACAAUGAUUUGGUAGACCAGUUCCAACUGCUAUCUCAGUUGUACAUCUGGUUGGAGCGGCUGACUAUUUAAACUCGAGGACACCCAGUCCCGGACACACAGUCCUCACCGUAUUCUCCUUGAGCUAAGGUCACACAGACCUCGCCCAAUCACUCAUGGUAAGUCUUCAGGUGACUUCCGAACCUUCACAAACUUGGUCACUCGGCGAUCCACAAUUCCUCUUGGAUGCUCUAGACCUUGACGCCUAACCGUCUGGUAGAAGCACAGUCUUCAAAGGAAACAAGCAUCGGAUCCAUGCAGGAUCAAUCUCUUCAGUGAUGCUCAAUCACUUGGAGUUUUGUAGGUUUGGGUUUGGGAUUUCCCCACUUGAUGAUUUUCGCUCAAAGUCCUCGGAGGAUGGGUUGCUCUUAAAUGACAAGUGUCAAAUUCUCUCGGAGCAGCCAACCAGCUAGUGGUUGUAGGGGGCGGCUAUUUAUAGCCUAGCGAGCAGCCCGACAUGAUAAGACAUAAAUGCCCUUGUCUGAUAUGACCGUUAGGUGGAUAGAUAUUUUGGGACAGUUGGCGCGUAGCACAGCAACGGUCAGAAUAUUUGACUCUCAAAUACUUCAGGGCAAUCAUGUUCCUCACUUUGCAGGCAAUUCACACUGGUGAAUUUCUAACUCCUUAGUCAGAACAAAUUCCUCAUAGAUCAAAAGAACUCUGUCUCUGUCACUAAAGAAUAUGACUAAACUAUAUGAGAUUUCCAAUGGCUUCACUCGAAGGGAUUGGUAGGUGUAGGAUUUUGAGUUGAGCAUCACAUGGAAAUUUUUCCUUAGUAUUUCCUCGACCCCUUUAACAGUACGGUGUUUCCUAUGACUCAAGAAAGAGAAAAUGAAACUAUAAAAACAAAAGUCUUCACGCUUCAUGUUCCUCGAAUGAAUACCAAGUCUUCAAGGUCACACCAAUUUCUUCACUUUCAAAGUCCUCAAAAAGUCUUCAGAAAUCCAAAGUCUUCAGUUGAAGAACUUCAUUUUUAAGGGUCGACUUUCUCUGUAAAUAUCAAACUCCUUGUAGACUUAUAUACCUGUGUACACUCACAAACGCAUCAGUCCCUUAACCUAUAAGUCUUCAAUACACCAAAAUCACUAAGGGGCACUAGAUGCACUUACAUGUAGACAUGAGACAGCUUUUACCAUUAUCAGUACCUGGAAGAAGAUGCCAUCUUUUUUAUAUAGAAUUAUGAAAUGAUUUUUCAAACACUUAUCAAAGAGAUGUCAUGCUUGUUUUGACAUAAGCUCACUGGUUGUUUGGCCCACAUAAACUGGCAACAUUCAAAUACACCAGACGACCUUCCAUUACGGAAAUCUGGUAGUAGAGGUGAACAUCUACAAGGCUAUAAAGCAAAAACGAACAAAUCGACUAUGAUACAGACAAAAAUCAAAGAAGCUGGCAACAUUCCAACCUUGUAGACAUGAGACAUUUUUUACCAUUAUCAGUACCUGGAAGAAGAUGCCAUAUUUUUUAUAUAGAAUUAUGAAAUGAUUUUUCAAACACUUAUCAAAGAGAUGUCAUGCUUGUUUUGACAUAAGCUCACUGGUUGUUUGGCCCACAUAAACUGGCAACAUUCAAAUACACCAGACGACCUUCCAUUAUGGAAAUCUGGUAGUAGAGGUGAACAUCUACAAGGCUAUAAAGCAAAAACGAACAAAUCGACUAUGAUACAGACAAAAAUCUAAGAAGCUGGCAACAUUCGCUGCUAGGAAACUAUACAGUGCUACCCAUCUUGAAGGCCGUGUUUGGUUACAUUGCCAAUCGAGCCUGGCCCGGCGAGCCUGGCUCUAGUGAGCCGGUUUGAGGGGAUGCAGGCAAAAAAAAAACAGAUGCACAUAGUUUGGUUGCCUGUAUGUACCUAGUUGCGUGAGACAACCAUUUUUGACCCGGCGUUUGGUUGCCCGCAUUGCAUUAGGCGCACAUAUGCAUGGUGUUUGGUUGCUACCUGCAUAAGGUGUUGUCACCACUUCUAACUAGUGGUGACCUUACCACACACAAUCUAAACAUAGUGCCCAGGGGCGGAGCCAGGAUUUGAACAUGAGGGGGGCGAUGGGUAUAAUGAUAGAGGAUAUUAAGGCCUCUUUUUUUCUUUGCAAGGGGAUAUAGUCUCAAAAGUAGUCAAAAGUAUCACUGAUAUGAAUGGUAUAUAGCAACAAUUGUUUGGUAAUAAAAAAUACAUUUUUAUUUGUUUAAAUGUAGCUCAACGAGUAACAUCAACGGAUAUGUGGAUAAUCUCGUCAGAUAUGAAAUAAAACUAUUGGAAGCGGCGAUGGUUUUGCUGUUAUUCCAUUGUAUGGAUAAUCUCUCAAAUAUCACUAAUAGUAAAUUUGAUUUCCAGAUUAUAAUCUUAUUGAUCUAACUAAUAAAGUAAACCAUUCCUCGCAAAAAACCAUUACCUUACAUGCAAUUCUACUAAUUCACCAAGAAUUAUAAUAUAUAUUUUGUGUUCUAUCAGACAAAUCUAGUACUAGUUUUCUUUUGGAUUGUGGCGUACCUUGAGGUUGAGGUAUGAAUGCAUGGUGCCAAGAUCAAUAUGCGAAGCAGCUGACCAGCCAUGGAUUCGAUUGAUGAUAAUUUUCGCAAAAAGUGGGCGGUGAGACCCUUAAGGCGGCGGCGCACGAACGCACCAAGCCAAUGAAAAGGAAACUGAUUACUCGAUCUCUACGGCUGCAUGUUGUCUGUUCCUAUUUUCCUGAUGUGUAAAACCUAACGAUUCUUCUAUGUCGGGCCUUUGGGCUGAAACGUUGGGCCAUAUAGCACCAAACUAGCACAUUAGGCUGCAAUUAUACGUAUAUAUUAACCUAACAAGAUUUCACAGGGGGGGCGAGAUGAUGGGGGGUGUCUGACCCCUGCUCGCACCCCCUGUCUCCUCCCCUGAUAGUGCCAACUAGUUAAACAAAUGAUAGUUCAUCCUAACUACUAUCAAAUGACAUUUCCAAUUAAUAAGUGCCAUUGGCUAAAUAGGGGAUAGUUCAUCGGUGUUGCUGCUACCAGAUCUUCCUCUUCCUCUUCUGCUUCUGCUGCUGCUUCUUCUUCUUCUUCUUCCUCCUCUUCUUUAAAUCCUGCACCGACCUCUGUUAAGCCACAUUGCCUCUGCCCACUCCAACCUUUUGUUCUUCCAAGCGUCAUUGUCAAAUGCCUCCACACCAUGGCCGGGGCUAACAACAUCAUCAAGCUCGACCUCUUCCUCCUUAGGCACUUGUUCAUCAAAGCCCCACUGGAGGAUCCAGUUAUGCAGAAUGCAACAAGCAAGAACAAGCUUAACCUGAGUGGGGUAUGGGUGGAAUGGCUUAUGAUCCAGGAUCUUAAACCUAUUCUUCAGAGCUCCAAAUGCCCUCUCAACAGUUACUCUAAGGCUGGAGUGUCUGAGAUUAUACAGCUCCUGUGCAGUCCUAGGAUAGUUCCUACCAGAGAACUCAUUGAGAUGGUACCUGGUUUUCCUGAAGGGUGAAAGAAUACCCGGCCGACAUGCAUAGCCAGCAUCUCCAAGGUAGAACUUGCCGUCGGGGAUGUUGAUCCCAUCAGGUCGAAUCAUGCUGUCACUGAGAAUGUUAGCAUCAUGCGCUGACCCCUCCCAGCUAGCCAGCACAUAUGUGAACUUCAGAUCAAAGUCAACAGCAGCAAGCACAUUCUGGCUUGUGUAGUGCUUCCUCCCCCUGUAUGCUGCAGACUGUGACCUAGGAACUCUAGUAGUGACAUGAGUACCAUCUAUUGCCCCAAUGCAAUCCUGAAAAUGGCAUCACAAGCCUGUGUUAGUGCUCAACUUGAACAAUACAAGCAUAUCAAGGCAUGAAAAGUGUAUGUUGCCAAUGCUCACCUUGAAGUAUGGAUACCAUCUUGGGCUUCUGCGAAUCUUGGGUGGAGUCUAGCCAGAUGGUCUCCUGAUCAUCUCUCCUCUAAGAUCCCCAAUAGCAAAAAGCACCUGCUUGAAGUACCUAGAUAUGGUCUCCAUUGAUCUCCUGAACGUGUUCUGAAUGACCUUGAACCUCUGGUUAUGGCCAACAACAUGGAGGAACAUGGCCACUUGCUCUUCCACACUAGUGUUGAUGUUAUCUUGUAGCAGCCCCUUGAUCCUGAAGGACUCGACAAGCCUAGCAAAUGGUGCUCUUUUCAUUCGAAGCAUCCAUAGAGCCUCAACGUCAUUGCAGUUGUAGAUGUAGUUCAGAUUUUGGAUCCUCUCCUGUUCUCGGAUAAACAAUGGACCAUAGCGGAUCAAAGGUCUCCCAGCAUGAUGAACAACUCUCUGGUGCAUGAACAUGACCCAUGCCUGAAUCACACUAAUUAGUGUUGCUGCCUGAAUUAUCAGCCUCAUCCAUGCGUCCAUAACCUAGUAGACAUUGAUGGUUCAUUCAGUGGGUAAUCGAUCCUACACCUAGCCUAACGGCCUAACCACCGACCUAACAAAGGGGGGAGGGGGUGUUGCUUACCGGCAUUGGAGACGAGGACGGCUUAGGGGGAGCCAUGGCACAGACAAGGUCGACCAGAUGGUGGCCAACAGCAAGGAAAGCACCAGAUCCGCCGCAAACACCGCCGCCUCUUCCGCUUCCGCAACCGCCCCCUCUAGCGCAGAUCUGAAAUCAUAGCCGCCGCCGAUGGUGAGGCAGUAGGGAAGAAAGGGGGGUAGUGGCUAUUGUGGGUGAGCGAGUGAAAGGGGGUGAGGCUAGAUUUGGCGCUGGGACGGCGCGCCAGAUUUCCAUCUCCCGCCAUCCCCCCUCGCCCUUGCCUCGCACGCGCCCGUGCGACCUCGCGCCGCACUCAGCAUGGCUCGCGAGAAACUGCCGAUCCGAGCGUUUCCAGCGAGCCAGGCUGUGGGCUGCUUUGAGAAGCGUGCGAUACAGGCCCAACAAUGAAACCAAGCAACCAAACAGGCCUCUUCCUUCCUGCGCGGGCCUAGUUGGGCUCGAUGCGGGAAACCAAACACACCCCAAGUUUUCCCCCCUACCUACAUCCGCACACCACCUCCUUUUGUUCAUGUUAAUUACGGCCCAAGGUGGAUGGAUGGAUGCAAGUGUUCACAUACAUCAGCAUAACGUCAUGCAUCAAGUGGAGAUCGGGAACAAAAUGGAAUAUAACAAACUAAAGACCGUGAGAGAAACUAAUUAGAUGGGUUUUAUGUUUCAUGAAUGUGCCAUGUCCAACUAACAUGUUUAUUCCAUUUUCCCCAUCAUUUCAUUUUUAUAUGGCAACCAAGAUGUUUUUGCUUAUCCGUGCCACAUAAUGUUUACAUUCCCACCCUCGAGCAAAAAAUUAUCUCUUCUUUUGUCAUUUAUCUUCUUUUGCCGCUUUGUUUUUCAUUAUGCUUGUCAAACAAGAAUUGCCUUGGCAUAUACCCUUGCAUAUUCUUGCAAGUGGAAUAUUUAUGAUGCCAUAUCAUUAACACAAGUUAAACAUUCCCAAUUCUAAACACCCGUGGAAGAAUUUUCGCCUACAGGAAAUGCCAAACUAAUUAAGGAAAAAAUAUAACAUACCAUAUUCAAAUGCAUAUUAACGAGGUGCAAGACCCUCCUUCACUAAGUAGAAAAUUACUUGUUAGGCUAAAAUUACCGAGAGCAUAACUUCUCUCCCUUGAUUCCAAGAUAAUUGAAAUCCAAAGCUUCUGCAAUUCCCAAUUCUAAGAUGAGAUUUUUUUGAUAAACUUGACUUUCUUUUGCACUAGUAUAUCAAUUUUAAUGAAGGAGAUGAAGGAAAUAUGCCCUAGACAAAGGGAACAACGUAUGUAUUGAGAUACCGACGAUCGAAUCUCGGGCAAGUAACAUACCGAUGACAAAGGGAACAACGUAUGUUGUUAUGCCAUUUGACCGAUAAAGAUCUUGAUACGUCUUCGUUGUAUCUAUAAUUUUUGAUUGUUCCAUGCCAAUAUUCUACAACUCUUACAUACUUUUGGCAACUUUUUAUACUAUUUUUGGGACUAACAUAUUGAUCCAGUGCCCAGUGCCAGUUCAUGUUUGUUGCAUGUUUUUUGUUUCGCAGAAAAUCCAUAUCAAACAGAGUCCAAACGAGAUAAAAACUGACGGAGAUUAUUUUUGGAAUAUUUAUGAAUUUUGGGAAGUGGAAUCAAUGCGAGAUGAUGCUCGAGGGGCCCAUGAGGCAGGGGUGCAACCCAGGGGGGUGGGCGCGCCCCCAACCCUCAUGGACACCCCGUAAGGCGGUUGUUGCCCUUCUUUCGCCACAAGAAAACUAAUAUCCGGAGAAAGUUCAUGUUCAAAGUUUCAAUCCAAUCGGAGUUACGGAUCUCCGAGAAUAUAAGAAACGGUGAAAGGGCAGAAUCAGAAACACAGAAACAGAGAGAGACAGAGAAACAUAUCCAAUUCUAGGAGGGGCUCUCGCCCCUCCCACGACAUGGAGGCCAUCGACCAGAGGAGAAACCCUUCUACCAUCUAGGGAGAAGGUCAAGGAAGAAGAAGAAGAAGAAGAAGGGGGGCUCUCCCCCCUCGUUUCCAGUGGCGCCGGAACGCCGCCGGGGCCAUCAUCGUCACCGCAAUCUACACCAACACCUCCGUCAUCUUCACCAACAUUGUCAUAACCUUCCCCAAUCUAUAUUCACCGGUCCACUCUCCCACAACCCGAUGUACCCUCUACUUGAACAUGGUGCUUUAUGCUUCAUAUUAUUAUCCAAUGAUGUGUUGCCAUCCUGUGAUGUCGAGUAGAUUUUCGUUGUCCUAUCUGUAAUUGGUGAAGUGCUAUGAUUAGUUUAAUUUGCUUGUGGUUAUGUUGCUGUCCUUUGGUGCCCAUCACAUCAGCGUGCGCGUGGAUCACACCAUAGGGUUAGUUGUAUGUUGAUAGGACUAUGUAUUGGAGGGCAAGAGUGACAGAAGCUGCAACCUAGCAUAGAAUUUGAUGCAUACGGGAUUGAAGGGGGACCAAUAUAUCUUAAUGCUAUGGUUGGGUUUUACCUUAAUGAACGUUAGUAGUUGCUGAUACGUGCUAAUAGCUCCAAUCAUAAGUGAAUAGAAUUCCAAGUCAGGGAUGACAUGCUAGCAGUGGCCUCUCCCACAUAAAACUUGCUAUCGGUUCAGUAAAGUACUCAAUUGCUUAAGGACAAUUUCACAACUCCUACCACCACUUUUCCACACUCGCUACACUAACUUUAUUGCUUCUUUAUUUAAACAGCCCAUAGUUUUUAUUUACGUGCUCUUUAUAUUUUGCAAACCUAUCCAACAACACCUACAUAGUCCUUCUAGUUUCAUACUUGUUUUAGGUAAAGCGAACGUUAAGCGUGCGUAGAGUUGUAUCAGUGGUCGACAGAACUUGAGGGAAUAUUUGUUCUACCUUUAGCUCCUCGUUGGGUUCGACACUCUUACUUAUCGAAAGAGGCUACAAUUGAUCCCCUAUACUUGUGGGUUAUCAAGACCUUUUUAUGGCGCCGUUGCCGGGGAGUUAUAGCAUGGGGUGAAUAUUCUCGUGUGUGCUUGUUUGAUUUAUCACAAAGUAGUUUUUAUUUUGUGCUCCUGUUUUCUAUCUUUAGUUAUGGGUAGGAAACGCAAAAUACCAAAAAAAUUAGUUGUACCUACUACACCAAUGGUUGAAGAACCACUCAAAAUAUAUCAAACUCCUGAAGCUUUUUACUUGGAUCAUCUUCGAUCCCUUUGUGCUCGUGCUGAAACCCCAACUAGCUUAGUUGAGGGCAAAUCUUUAGAUGAGCAUGAUUGUUAUGUGCGACACCGCAUAUCUGAAAAAGGGAAACUUUUACUGGAUCAAAUUCAUCGUUUGCAAUGGUGUGUUUGGGAUUUAUGUGAAAUAUAUGAUGUUACUUGUUGUUCUGAAAACCCUAAAAACACCUUCCCUACCAAUGUGAGUUUAGUGAUAAUGGAAUCGUAUCUUCGUAUGCUAAGGGUGUUUAUAAUUACUAUGAUGUUUAACAAAUUGAAGAAUUUGUUGCUUUUAAGGGUGCUUAUGAGAUUGCUUGUUUGAUUGAAAAGUAUGAUGCUACUCUUUACAAAUCUGAAAAAUUGGCCAUACUUAAAUAUUGCUAUGAUAAUUAUGCUUCUAAUGCCUAUGUUAAACCAUAUAUUGAGGACUCCUCCGCUAUCCAAGAAGAGACUAAUAUUUUGCAGGAGUCUAUAGAAGAAGAAAUUGAUGAAACUGUGAGCUCAUUGGAUGAAAAAGAUGAUGAGGAGAGCGAAGAACAAAAGGAGGAAGAGCAGAUUAGCUACCCGUUCCCACCUUCUAAUGAGAGUAACUCUCAAACUCAUACAUUAUUUAAUGUCCCUUCAUUCUUACAGAAGGAUGAUUGCUAUAAUGAUUGUUAUGAUCCCGUUGAUUCUUUUGAAAUGUCUCUUUUUGAUGAUGCUUGCUAUGCUUGUGGCCAAGAUGCCAAUAUGAAUUAUUCUUAUGGAGAUGAACUUGCUAUAGUUCCUUAUGUUAAACAUGAAGUUGUUGCUAUUGCACCCACGCAUGAUAGUCCUAUUAUCUUUUUGAAUUCUCCAAACUACACUAUAUCAGAGAAGUUUGUGCUUAUUAAGGAUUAUAUUGAUGGGUUGCCUUUUACUACUACACAUAAUGAUUUUGAUGAAUAUAAUAUGCAUGUGCUUGCUGCUCCUACUUGCCAUUAUUAUGAGAGAGUAACUACAUCUCCACCUCUCCAUGUUUCCAAUAUGAUAAAAUUGCAAGAAACUGUUUAUACUAUGCAUUGGCCUUUACUUUGUGUGCAUGAAUUGUUCUUUUAUGACAUGCCGAUGCAUAGGAAGAGAGUUAGACUUUGUCACUACAUGAUAUACGUUACUUUGUGCUCGCUACUAAAUUACAAAUCAUUGUUAAUUAAAAUUGGCUUUGAUAUACCUUGGGAUCCAGGUGGAUCCAUUACUUGAGCACCUUAUGCCUAGCUUAAUGGCUUUAAAGAAAGCGCUGCCAGGGAGACAACCUAGAAGUUUUAGAGUCAUUUAUUUCUGUUAUGUGCUUUUAUAAAGUUUAAAAAUAAAAAUAAUGUGCCAAGAUUUGCCUUUAGGAUGUUUACAUUGCUUGUUGGUUUGUGCGGUGCAAGACAGGAACUUUGUCUGUAGUGCACGACUUUACAUUUUUUACUGGAACGUCAAAUGGUUCUGAAAUUUUUUGCACUAUAUUUCUGUACAAAUUGUUUAUUUUUACUAAUUUUGUCAGAAUUGUUGGAUUACCAGAAGUAUGCUGAAUGUUCAUAUUACUACAGACUGUCCUGUUUAAGACAGAUUCUAUUUUUGAUGCAUACUUUGGUUGUUUUGAUAAAACUAUCGAUUUCUAUCAGUGGAUUAAGCCAUGGAAAAGUUAUAUUACAGUAGCUACAAUGCAAAAACAAAAUAUGAAUUGGUUUGCAACAGUACUUAGAGUAGUGAUUUGCUUUAUUAUACUAAUGGAUCUUACCAAGCUUUUUGUUGAGUUUUGUGUGGAUGAAGUGUUCGAAGAUCGAGGAGGUCUCGAUAUGAGGAGAAGGAGGAGAGGCAAGAGCUCAAGCUUGGGGAUGCCCAUGGAACACCAAGUAAAUAUUCAAGGAGACUCAAGCGUCUAAGCUUGGGGAUGCCCCGGAAGGCAUCCUAUCUUUCUUCAACAAGUAUCGGUAUGUUUUCAGAUUCGUUUCGUUCAUGCGAUAUGUGCAAAUCUUGGAGUGUCUUUUGCAUUUAGUUUUCACAUUUCUUUUAUGCACCAUGCGGGUAUGAGAUAGUCCAUGGUUGAUUUAUAGAAUGCUCAUUGCACCUCACUUAAAUCUUUUAAGUAUGGCUUUAUAGAAUGCUUCAUGUGCUUCACUUAUAUCAUUUGAAGUUUGUAUUGCCUGUUUCUCUUCACAUAGAAAACCGCCAUUUGUAGAAUGCUCUUUUGCUUCACUUAUAUUUGUUAGAGCAUGGGCAUAUCUUGUGUAGAAAGAAUUAAACUCUCUUGCUUCACUUAUAUCUAUUUAGAGAGAUGACAGGAAUUGGUCAUUCACAUGGUUAGUCAUAAAAUCCUACAUAAAACUUGUUGAUCACUGAAUAUGAUAUGUUUGAUUCGUCACAAUAGUUUUGCGAUAUAAAGGUGGUGAUAUUAGAGUCGUGCUAGUUGAGUAAUUGUUAAAUUGAGAAAUACUUGUGUUGAGGUUUGCAAGUGUCAUAGCAUGCACGUAUGGUAACCGUUGUGUGACAAAUUUGAAGCAUGGGGUGUUUAUUUGAUUGUCUUCCUUAUGAGUGGCGGUCGGGGACGAGCGAUGGUUUUUUCGUACCAAUAUAUCCCCCUAGGGGCAUGCAUAGUAGUACUUUGCUUCGAGGGCUAAUAAACUUUUGCAAUAACUAUAUGAGUUCUUGAUGACUAAUGUGAGUCCAUGGAUUAUACCACUCUUUCCUUUUUGCAAUUUGCUAGCCUCUACGGUACCGUGCAUUGCCCUUUAUCACCUCGAGAGUUGGUGCAAACUUCGCCGGUGCAUCCAAACCCCGUGAUACGAUACGCUCUAUCACAAAUAAGCCUCCUUAUAUCUUCCUCAAAACAGCCACCAUACCUACCUAUCAUGGCAUUUCCAUAGCCAUUCCGAGAUAUAUUGCCAUGCAACUUCCAUCAUCAUCAUAUACAUGACUUGAGCAUUCAUUGUCAUAUUGCUUUGCAUGAUCGUAAGAUAGCUAGCAUGAUGUUUUCAUGGCUUGUACAUUUUUUGAUGUCAUUGCUAUGCUAGAUCGUUGCACAUCCUGGUACACUGCCAGAGGCAUUCAUAUAGAGUCAUACUUUGUUCUAGACAUCGAGUUGUAAUAUUGAGUUGUAAGUAAAUAAAAGUGUGAUGAUCAUCAUUAUUAGAACAUUGCCCCAUGUGAGGUUAUCAAAAUAAAAGAGGCCAAAGAAGCCCAAAUAAAAAAAGAGGCCAAAGAAGCCUACCAAAAAACAAAAAAAAGAGAGAAAACAAAAAAAUGAGAGAAAAGGAGAGAAUGGGCAAUGUUACUAUCCUUUUACCACACUUGUGCUUCAGAUUAGCACCAUGUUCUUCAUAUAGAGAGUCUCUUGAGUUAUCACUUUCAUAUACUAGUGGGAAUUUUCAUUAUAGAACUUGGCUUGUAUAUUUCGAUGAUGGGCUUCCUCAAAUGCCCAAGGUCUUCAUGAGCAAGAAAGUUGGAUGCACACACACUUAGUUUCAUUUUGAGCUUUCAUACACUUAUAGCUCUAGUGCAUCCGUUGCAUGGCAAUCCCUACUCCUCACAUUGACAUCAAUUGAUGGGCAUCUCCAUAGCCCGUUGAUUAGUCGCGUCGAUGUGAAACUUUCUCCUUUUUGUCUUCUCCACACAACCUCCAUCACCAUAUUCUAUUCCACCCAUAGUGCUAUGUCCAUUGCUUGCGCUCAUGUAUUGCGUGAGGGUUGAAAAGGCUGAAGCGCGUUAAAAGGUAUGAAUCAAUUGCUCGGCUUGUCAUCGGGGUUGUGCAUGAUGGGAGCAUUUUGUGUGACGAAAAUGAAGCAUGGCCAAACUAUAUGAUUUUGUAGGGAUAAGCUUUCUUUGGCUAUGUUAUUUUGAUAAGACAUAAUUGCUUGGUUAGUAUGCUUGAAGUAUUAUUGUCUUAAUGUCAAAUGACAGACUAUUGCUUUGAAUCACUCAUGUCUUAAUAUUCAUGCCAUGGUUAGAUUAUGUGAUCAAGAUUAUGCUAGGUAGCAUUCCACAUCAAAAAUUAUCUUUUUAUCAUUUACAUACUCGAGGAUGAGCAGGAAUUAAGCUUGGGGAUGCUGAUACUACUAUUUUUGGGACUAACAUAUUGAUCCAGAGCCAAGUGCCAGUUCCUGUUUGUUGCAUGUUUUUUGUUUUGCAGAAAAUCCAUAUCAAACGGAGUCCAAACGGGAUAAAAACUGACGGAGAUUAUUUUCAAAAUAUUUAUGAAUUUUGGGAACUGGAAUCAACGCGAGACGAUGCUCGAGAAGCCCAUGAGGCAGGGGCACGCCCCAGGGGGUGGGCGCGCCCCUGACCCUCGUGGACACCCCGUAAGGCAGUUGUUUCCCUUCUUUCGCCGCAAGAAAGCUAAUAUCUAGAGAAAAAUCAUGUUCAAAGUUUCAAUCCAAUCGGAGUUACGGAUCUCUGGGAAUAUAAGAAACGGUGAAAGGGCAGAAUUAGAAAUGUAGAAACAGAGAGAGACAGAGAGACAGAUCCAAUCUCGGAGGGGCUCUCGCCCCUCCCACGCCAUGGAGGCCAUGGACCAGAGGGGAAACCCUUCUCCCAUCUAGGGAUAAGGUCAAGUAAGAAGAAGAAGAAGAAGAAGAAGAAGGCGGGCUCUCUCCCCUCGCUUCCGGUGGCACCGGAACGCCGCCAGGGCCAUCAUCCUCACCGCAAUAUACACCAACACCUCCAUCAUCUUCACCAACAUCGUCAUCACCUUCCCCCAUCUAUAUUCAAUGGUCCACUCUCCCACAACCCGCUGUACCAUCUACUUGAACAUGGUGCUUUAUGCUUCAUAUUAUUAUCCAAUGUUGUGUUGCUAUCCUAUGAUGUCUGAGUAGAUUUUCAUUGUCCUAUCGGUAAUUGGUGAAUUGCUAUGAUUGGUUUAAUUUGCUUGAGGUUAUGGUUCCGUCCUUUGGUACCCAUCAUAUGAGCGCGCGCGUGGAUCACACCAUAGGGUCAGUUGUAUGUUGAUAGGACUAUGUAUUGGAGGGCAAGAGUGACAAAAGCUUCAACCAAGCAUAGAAUUUGAUGCAUACGGGAUUGAAGGGGGACCAAUAUAUCUUAAUGCUAUGGUUGGGUUUUACCUUAAUAAAUGUUAGUAGUUGCGGAUGCUUGCUAAUAGUUCCAAUCAUAAGUGCAUAGAAUUCCAAGUCAGGGAUGACAUGCUAGCAGUGGCCUCUCCCACAUAAAACUUGCGCGGUCUAGUAAAGUAGUCAAUUGUUUAGGGACAAUUUCACAACUCCUACCACCACUUUUCCACACUUGUUAUACUAACUUUAUUGCUUCUUUAUCUAAACAGCCCCUAAUUUUUAUUUACAUGCUCUUUAUAUUCUUGCAAACCUAUCCAACAACACCUACGAAGUCCUUCUAAUUUCAUACUUGUUUUAGGUAAAACGAAUGUUAAGCGUGCGUAGAGUUGUAUCAGUGGUCGAUAGAACUUGAGUGAAUAUUUGUUCUACCUUUAGCUCCUCGUUGGGUUCGACACUCUUACUUAUCGAAAGAGGCUAAAAUUGACCGCCUAUAAUUGUGGUUAUCAGAUCUUUGUAGAAUAUGUAGGAACCAAUAUGAGCAUUCAGGUUCCGCUAUUGGUUAUUGACCGGAGACGUGUCUCGGUCAUGUCUACAUAGUUCUCGAACCCAUAGGGUUCGCACGCUUAACGUUCGAUGAUGAUUUAUAUUAUGAGUUAUGUGAUUUUAUGUACCGAAGGUAGUUUGGACUCCCGAUUGAGAUCAUGGACAGGACGAAGAGUCUCAAAAUGGUCGAGACGUAAAGAUCGAUAUAUUUUAAGGCUAUAUUUGGACAUCGGAAAGGUUCCAAGUGAUUCAGGUAUUUUUCGGAGUACCAGAGAGUUACGAGAAUUCGUAUUGGGCCUUAAUGGGCCAUACGGGAAAGGAGAGAAAGGCCUCAAGGGGGGCUGCACCCCUUCCCCAUGGACUGGUCCGAAUUGGACUAGGGAAGGGGGCCGGCCCCUUCCUUCCUUCUCCUUCUCCCUUCCACUUAUCCUAUUCCAUGUGGGAUGUGGAAUCCUACUAGGAUUAGGGAGUCCUAGUAGGAAUCCACACUUUGGGCACGCCCUAUGAGGGCCGGCCUCCUCCUCCCCCCAUCCUUUAUGUACGUGGCCAGGCGGCACCCCAUAGACACACAAGUUGAUCAUUGAUCUCUUAGCCGUGUGCGGUGUCCCCCUCCACCAUAAUCCACCUUGGUCAUAUUGUUGUAGUGCUUAGGCAAAGCCUUGCGCCGGUAGCUCCGUCAUCACGCCGUCGUGCUGACGAAGCUCUCCCUUGACACUUUGCUGGAUUGUGAGUUCGUGAGACGUCAUUGAGCUGAACGUGUGCAGAACGCGGAGGUGCCGUACGUUCGGUACUGGGAUCGGUCGACCGUGAAGACGUACGACUACAUCAACCGCGUUGUCAUAACGCUUCCUCUUACGGUCUAUGAGGGUACGUGGACAACACUCUCCCCUCUCGUUGCCAUGCAUCACCAAGAUCUUGCGUGUGCGCAGGAAAAUUUUGAAAUUACUCCGUUCCCCAACACUGGCAUCCGAGCCAGGUCUAUGCAUAGAUGUUAUAUGCAUGAGUAGAACACAAAGAGUUGUGGGCGAUAAUAGUCAUACUGCUUACCAGCAUGUCAUACUUUGAUUCGGCGGUAUUGUUGGAUGAAGCGGCCCGGACCGACAUUACGCGUACGCUUAUGCGAGACUGGUUCUACCGACGUGCUUCGCACACAGAUGGCUGGCGGGCGUCAGUUUCUCCAACUUUAGUUGAAUCGAGUGUGGCUAUGCCCGGUCCUUGUUGAAGGUUAAAACAACACAUACUUGAUGAAAAAUCGUUGUGGUUUUGAUGCAUAGGUAAGAACGGUUCUUGCUCAGCCCGUAGCAGCCACGUAAAACUUGCAACAACAAAGUAGAGGACGUCUAACUUGUUUUUGCAGGGCAGGUUGUGAUGUGAUAUAGUCAAGACAUGAUGCUAAAUUUUAUUGUAUGAGAUAAUCAUGUUUCGUAACAGAGUUAUCGACAACUGGAAGGAGCCAUAUGGUUGUCACUUUAUUGUAUGAAAUGCAAUCGCCCUGUAAUUGUUUUUACUUUAUCACUAAGUGGUAGCGAUAAUCGUAGAAACAAAAGUUGGCGAGACGACAGCGAUGCUACGAUGGAGAUCAAGGUGUCGCGCCGGUGACGAUGGUGAUCAUGACGGUGCUUUCGAGAUGGAGAUCAAAGGCACAAGAUGAUGAUGGCCAUAUCAUAUCACUUAUAUUGGUUGCAUGUGAUGUUUAUCCUUUAUGCAUCUUGUUUUGCUUAGUUCGACGGUAGCAUUAUAAGAUGAUCUCUCACUAAAUUUCAAGGUAAAAGUGUUCUCCCUGAGUAUGCACCGUUGCGAAAGUUCAUCGUGCCGAGACACCACGUGAUGAUUGGGUGUGAUAAGCUCUACGUUCACAUACAACAGGUGCAAGCUAGUUUUGCACACGCAAAAUACUCGUGUUAAACUUGACGAGCCUAGCAUAAGCAGAUAUGGCCUCGAAACACUGAGACCGAAAGGUCGAGCGUGAAUCAUAUAGUAGAUAUGAUCAACAUAGUGAUGUUCACCAUUGAAAACUACUCCAUCUCAUGUGAUGAUCGAACAUGGUUUAGUUGAUUUGGAUCACGUGAUCACUUAGAUUAUUAGAGGGAUGUCUAUCUAAGUGGGAGUUCUUAAGUAAUAUGAUUGAUUGAACUUUAAUUUAUCAUGAACUUAGUCCUGAUAGUAUUUUGCAAAUUAUGUUGUAGAUCAAUAGCUCACGUUAUAGCUUCCCUAUGUUUUUUAUAUGUUCCUAGAGAAAAAUAAGUUGAAAGAUGAUAGUAGCAAUGAUGCGGAUUGGGUCCGUGAUCUGAGGUUUAUCCUCAUUGCUGCACAGAAGAAUUAUGUCCUUGAUGCACCGCUAGGUGACAGACCUAUUGCAGGAGCAGAUGCAGACGUUACGAACGUUUGGCUAGCUCAAUAUGAUGACUACUUGAUAGUUUAGUGCACCAUGCUCAACGGCUUAGAAUCGGGACUUCAAAGACGUUUUGAACGUCAUGGACCAUAUGAGAUGUUCCAGGAGUUGAAGUUAAUAUUUCAAGCAAAUACCCGAGUUGAGAGAUAUGAAGUCUCCAACAAGUUCUAUAGCUAAAAGAUGGAUGAGAAUAGCUCAAGCAGUGAGCAUGUGCUCAGAUUGUCUGGGUACUACAAUCACUUGAAUCAAGUGGGAGUUAAUCUUCUAGAUAAGAUAGUGAUUGACAGAGUUCUCUAGUCACCAUCACCAAGUUACUAGAACUUCAUGAUGAACUAUAGUAUGCGAGGGAUGACGAAAACGAUUCCCGAGCUCUUCGUGAUGCUGAAAUCGACGAAGGUAGAAAUCAAGAAAGAGCAUUAAGUGUUGAUGAUUGACAAACCACUAGUUUCAAGAAAAGGGCAAAGGGAAAGAAAGGGAACUUCAAGUAGAAUGGCAAGCAAGUUGUCACUCCCAUGAAGAAGCCCAAAGCUGGACCAAAGCCUAAAACUGAGUGCUUCUACUGCAAAGGAAAUGGUCACUGGAAGUGGAAAUGCCCUAAAUAUUUGGUGGAUAAGAAGGAUGACAAAGUGAACAAGGGUAUAUUUGAUAUAUAGGUUAUUGAUGUGUACCUUACUAGUGUUUAUAGUAGCCCCUGGGUAUUUGAUACUUGUUCGGUUGCAAAGAUUAGUAACUCGAAUCAAGAGUUACAGAAUAAAUAGAGACUAGUUGAGGGUGAAGUGACGAUGUGUGUUGGAAGUGGUUCCAAGAUUGAUAUGAUCAUCAUCUCACACUCCCUAUACUUUUGAGAUUAGUGUUGAACCUAAAUAAAUGUUGUUUGGUGUUUGUGUUGAGCGUAAAUAUGAUUAGAUCAUGUUUAUUGCGAUACGAUUAUUCAUCUAAGACAGAGAAUAAAUUGUUAUUUUGUUUAUAUGAAUAAAACCUUAUAUGGUCAUACACCCAAUGUUGAUGGUUUAUUGAAUCUUGAUUGUAGUGAUACACAUAUUCAUAAUAUUGAUGCUAAAAGAUGCAAAGUUGAUAAUGAUAAUGCAACAUAUUUGUGGCACUGUCGUUUGGGUCAUAUCAGUGUAAAGCACAUGUAGAAACUCCAUAAAGAUGGACUUUUGGAAUCAUUUGAUUAUGAAUCAUUUGAUGCUUGCGAACCGUGCCUUAUGGGCAAGAUGACUAAAACUCCGUUCACCGGAACAAUGGAACGAGCUAAUAAAUUAUUGGAAAUAAUACAUACCGAUGUAUGCGGUCCGAUGAGUGUUGAUGCUCGUGGCGGGUAUCGUUAUUUUCUGACUUUCACAAAUGAUUUGAGCAGAUAUGGGUAUAUCUACUUAAUGAAACUCAAGUCUGAAACAUUUGAAAAAUUCAAAGAAUUUCAUAGUGAAGUGGAGAAUCAUCGUAACAAGAAAAUAAAGUUUCUAUGGUCUGAUCAUGGAGAAGAAUAUUUGAGUUAAGAGUUUGGCCUUCAUAUAAAACUAUGUGGAAUAGUUUCACAACUCACGCCACCUGGAACACCACAGCGUUAUGGUGUGUCCGAACGUCGUAACCACACUUUAUUGGAUAUGGUGCAAUCUAUGAUGUCUCUUGCCGAUUUACCACUAUUGUUUUGGGGUUAUGCAUUAGAGACAGUUGCAUUCACUUUAAAUAGGGCACCAUCAAAAUCCGUUGAGACGUCGCCUUAUGAACUAUGGUUUGGUAAGAAACCAAAGUUGUCGUUUCUUAAAGUUUGGGGUUGCGAUGCUUAUGUGAAAUAGUUUCAACCUGAUGAACUCGAACCCAAAUCGGAGAAGUGCGUCUUCAUAGGAUACCCAAAAGGAAACUAUUGGGUACACCUUCUAUUACAGAUUCGGAGGCAAGAUAUUCGUUGCUAAGAAUGGAUCGUUUCUAGAGAAGGAGUUUCUCUUGAAAGAAGUGAGUGGGAUGAAAAUAGAACUUGAGGAGGUAACUGUACCUUCUCCCUUAUUGGAAAGUAGUUCAUCACAAAAAUCAGUUCUCGUGAUUUCUACACCAAUUAGUGAGGAAGCUAAUGAUGAUGAUCAUAAAGCUUCGGAUCAAGUUACUACCGAACCUCAUAGGUCUUCCAGAGUAAGAUAUGCACCAGAGUGGUACGAUAAUCCUGUUCUGGAAGUCAUGUUACUAAACCAUGAUGAACCUAUGAACUAUGAGGAAGCGAUGAUGAACCCAGAUUCCGCGAAAUGGCUUGAUGCCAUGAAAUCUGAGAUGGGAUCCAUGUAUGAGAACAAAGUAUGGACUUUGGUGGACUUGCUCGAUGAUCGGCAAGCCAUAGAAAAUAAAUGGAUCUUCAAGAGGAAGAUGGACGUUGAUAGUAGUGUUACUAUCUACAAAGCUCGACUUGCUGGAAAAAGGUUUUUGACAAAGUUCAAGAUGUUGACUACUAUGAGAUUUUCUCACCCAUAGCGAUGCUUAAGUCUGUCCGAAUCAUGUUAGUAGUUGCUGCAUUUCAUGAUUAUGAAAUUUGGUAGAUGGAUGUCAAAACUGCAUUCCUGAAUGGAUUUCUUGAAGAAGAGUUGUAUAUGAUGUAACAAGAAUGUUUUGUCGAUCCAAAGGGUGCUAACAAAGUGUGCAAGCUCAAGUGAUCCAUUUAUGGACUGGUGCAAGCCUCUCGGAGUUGGAAUAAACGCUUUGAUAGUGUGAUCAAAGCAUAUGGUUUUAUAUAGACUUUUGGAGAAACUUGUAUUUACAAGAAAGUGAGUGGGAGCUCUGUAGCAUUUCUAAUAUUAUAUGUGGAUGACAUAUUGUCUAUUGGAAAUGUAUAGAAUUUCUGGAUAGCAUGAAGGGAAACUUGAAUAAGAUUUUUUUUAAUGUAAGACAUCAGUGAAGCUGCUUACAUAUUGGGCAUCAAGAUCUAUAAAGAUAAAUCAAGACACUUGAUAAGAUUUUUUUAAUGAGCAAAUACAUUGACAAGUUUUUUUUGAAAGAGUUCAAAAUGGAUCAGUCAAAGAAGAAGUUCUUGUCUGUAUUACAAGGUGUAAAGUUGAGUAAGACUCAAAGCCCGACCACGACAGAAGAUAGAAAGAGAAUGAAAGUCAUUCCCUAUGCCACAGUCAUAGGUUCUAUAAAGUAUGCUAUGUUGUGUACCAGAUCUAUUGUGUACCUUGUAAUGAGUUUGGCAAAGGGGUACAAUAGUGAUCUAGGAGUAGAUCACUAGACAACGGUCAAAAUUAUCCUUAGUAAGGACUAAGGAAAUAUUUCUUGAUUAUGGAGGUGAUAAAAGAGCUCAUCGUAAAGAGUUACAUUGAUGCAAGCUUUUUCACAAAUCCAUAUGACUCUAAAUCUCAAUCUGGAUACAUAUUGAAAGUGGGAGCAAUUAGCUAGAGUAGCUCCAUGCAGAGCAUUGUAGACAUAGAAUAUUUUCAAAAUACAUACGACUCUGAAUUUAACAGACUCGUUGACUAAACAUCUCUCAUGAGCAAAACAUGAUCACACCUUAGUAAACCCUUUGGGUGUUGGUCACAUGAUGAUGUGAGCUAUGGGUGUUAUUCACAUACAGAUGUGAAUAUUUGUGUUAAAUCACAUGGUGAUGUGAACUAGAUUAUUGACUCUAGUGCAAGGGGGAGACUGAAGGAAAUAUGCCCUAGAGGCAAUAAUAAAGUUAUUAUUUAUUUCCUUAUUUCAUGAUAAAUGUUUAUUAUUCAUGCUAGAAUUGUAUUAACCGAAAACUUAGUACAUGUGUGAAUACAUAGACAAAACAUAUUGUCCCUAGUAUGCCUCUACUUGACUAGCUCAUUUAUCAAAGAUGGUUAUGUUUCCUAACCAUAGACAUGUGUUGUCAUUUGAUGAACGGGAUCACAUCAUUAGGAAAAUGAUGUGAUGGACAUGACCCAUUCGUUAGCUUAGCAUUAUGAUCGUUUCAGUUUCAUAUCUACUGCUCUCUUCAUGACUUGUACAUGUUCCUCAGACUAUGAGAUUAUGCAACUCCCGAAUACCGGAGGAACACUUUGUGUGCUACCAAACAUCACAACAUAAAAGGGUCAUUAUAAAGGUGCUCUACAGGUGUCUCCGAAGGUGUUUGUUGAGUUGGCAUAGAUCGAGAUUAGGAUUUGUCACUUUGUGUUUCACAGAGGUAUCUCUGGGCCCUCUCGGUAAUACUCAUCACUAUAAGCCUUGCAAGCAUUGUAACAAAUGAGUUAGCUGCAGGAUGAAGUAUUACGAAACAAGUAAAGAGACUUGCCGGUAACGAGAUUGAACUAGGUAUUGAGAUACUGACGAUCGAAUCUCGGGCAAGUAACAUACCGAUGACAAAGGGAACAACAUAUGUUGUCAUUACAAAAAAAAAUACACUUCCGUGAUGAUACGUGUUUGUCACAGUAGGUCGCGUUUUUUGUCAUGCAUGUACAUCCAUGACAAAUUUAUGACAGAAUCAAGAUAGUCAUACUUGUGCUGUCGUAGAAGUGUUCCAUGACAUUACCAAAAUUAUCAUCACGGAAGUGUCCACUUCCAGGACGAUAAAUCGCGUGUCACAGAAGUGCUUUCGUCAAGGGUGACCGACACGUGGCAUCCACCGUAACGGAACGCCGUUAAGCUGUCGGGUCGGAUUUUGGAUCCGAUAACCCGUUAAUAGCCCCGACCAAUGGGAAAUUUCCACUUGUAAAUUCUGAUUGGCCGAAGGGAACACCUGUCAGCUCGUCAGUGGGCCAGAUGUCGCCCGUCAAUUGGAGGAGACAUGCCUAUGGUACGUCAACACGUGGCUGGGCCCAACAAAGGCCCAUAUAGGUUAAAAAGACCGGCCCAGUCAAAGGCUCGUAGAUCUUAAUCAGGUACUAGUGGGCCAGCCCAAUAACGGCCUCCUUAAUAAAGGCCCAUUUACGACCCAAAACCAGAUCUGGCCCGUUAAUUGUUCGCCCAAUAUUUGGGCCCAUUUACGGCCCGAAGCCAAAUCUGGCCCGUUAAUUGUUCGGCCAAUAUUUGGGCCCAUUUGCGGCCCGAAGCCAGAUCUGGCCCGUUAAUUGUUCGUCGAAUAUUCGGGCCCAACUAUAGCCCAGUGACUUUCGACCCGUUAGAGGCCUGAUGUAGACAUGGGCCCAUUUCAGCCCGGUCUGACUUUCAGCCUGGGAAUGGCCCGUGCUGUCCAUGGGCCAUAUAUGGUCUGACCGGACAUCGGGCCCACUAACGGCCCGUGCUAAAGGUGGCAACAGUUAAGCCCAACGUGACUUUGGGCCUGUUAAAGUCUUGUCGCGUAAUUCGGCCUAUUGAUGCAUGUACUAAGCUUUUGGCCUCUUAAAGGCCCAUGAUAUCAGUGGGCCAACUAAGGCCCGAGAUAUGUUUCAGCCUGGUAAUGGCCCGUGAGCUAACUGGGCCCAUAACGGCCCGGUCUACAUUUCGGCCUGCUGAAGGCCCGUCGACGACUAGUGAAAAUUGAGGCCCAACAUGCAUUUUGGCCUGCUAAAGGCCCGUGGUUUCAUCUCGGCCGUAACAGGCUAGUACAAUAUUUAGCCUGUUAAUGGCCAAACGCUACCUGGGCCAAACUAAGCGCUGGGUCGACAAAAGGCCCAACUAAAAUAUAGGCCGGUGUAAGUUUGGGCCUGGCGCAAUGUGUGAAGACCCCAAUCAUUCGGGCCCAAGAAAGACGCAGGCCGGACCAAUUGUGGCCCGCUAAAAACCUGGCCCAUUAGAGUCGAAUGUUUUGGCCCGGUCGACUACAUCUGAUUUUUUUCAGAUAGCGAAUGAUGGCAGUAACUAGUAGGAAUUAAGAACAAACCUACUCUAUACAAUAAAGAAAUUACGACAUAGUAACUAAGAAUAAACCUACACUAUACAAUAAAGGAUUUAAGGUAUAUUACAUCCACUAGGCAUCGAAGUUCGCCACCAGUGAUCAUAAAGCGCACGAAGAAGCGGAUUACAAAAACUGGGCACCAUUGCAGCGUAACAAAAUAAUACUGAACCGAGACCACUUCCAAGACAGUUCAAGAAAGGUUAGCCUUGCGGGGGAACUGCUGCACAAGCUGCUGAGCAAGGCUGUGAGACCGGCCUAGCAUGUCGGUCAUAGCUUCCAGGUGUAGCUGUUUAGCGAUGAGGUUCUCAUUGGUGUUCUCCGCAAUCUUUCUUAGAGAUAGGACUUCAAGUCGAAGUUGAGUUGCAGAAUGCCUUUCUGCUCGAACCUGGGACUGAAGAAGUUGAACUGAUUCAGACAACGAAUUCUGUGAGCUUGUCUGACUGUUAGUCUCAAGUAACUUGAACACUGCUUCAAGACAAGACUUUGGGGUUGUCUCGCUAUCUUCAAGAUGUUUUUCCUUCUUUGUUGCAAUAUAUGUUGGGUUUAUCUCACAGCCUUCAGCAGACUUGUGCAUGCCAUCAGGCAUAUCACCCUGAAACAAAGCAGAGAGAUGACAGGUUUUGCACGUGUAUAAACAAAGAUGAUAACUAUUCUGUCAAUUCUAUCCAAUUUCAAAUUAGAAAAUAAAGAGUAAGUUCAAAAUAUCAAUAGCAUAAUUUGGCAUUGUUCAUAAUGCGGGGAGCUUCACCACACUGCUGGAUUACCAUGUCAACAUAACAAGCAUAGAUGAAGGGCAAAGAAAAUCAUUGUAUCUAUUUUGGAUAAUCUGCAUGACAUGUUGUUCAUAUCAUCAGCCAGAUCAGUAAGAUAAAACAGGAGAUGACAAGGUGCAAACGUGGGCUGCUUCACCACACACUGGAUUAUAGAUCCACAAAACCAAGCAUACAUAUAGGGAGUAUUAAGUAAUGUGCAUGGUAUGAAUAAGAAAUUUGGUUUUACAAGUAAAACUUAGAACUUACGGUUCUUACAAACAUGCAUUUUGGUAGAAACAGCAAACUAAACAGCAGUAAACGAUAGGGAGUAUGAGCAAAUUAAACAGCAGUUGAGGAUAAAGGCUUUAGAAGGACUGACUUACAUCAACAGUUAACACCCGCUUUAUAAUGCCCUUCUCCAUGUCAAGGGAAGGAUAACUCAAGAAUUUCAGCACAGAAUCUUCUUCAUAAGCAUUGCUUGUACUCUACAUUUUGUAGAGAGUAAAUAUAGAUAUGAUAAUACUGGAAGGGAGAGAGGAUAAUGAAGGUAAGAUGCAGAUUGAUGCUACAUAAUCAACUACCAAUCCCUGGAAGUACAAGUGUUACAGGACAAAAUGUACUGACAAGGGCAAUGGGCUACACUUCUGCACUGGCAUUGUCUGUGUAUUCUACUUGUUGGUAAGAUUAAAUAUAGAUCUGAUCUUUUUUAGUAAAUGGUGGGUGAGGGAGAUAAGAUGCAGAAUGCUACAAAAUGAACCAAUCCCUCUUCCCAUAAUACAAGAGUGUUUUGAACACUGGUGUACUAUACAAAACGUUCUUAUAUUAUGGGACAGAGGGAGUAGUUAUUAAUGUAUGUAUAGUUAUAGACCACGUUCAGUCCUUACAAGAGGACUGCAGAGCUAAACCUCUUCAAAAGUAUUGGGUUGAUUCUAAAUUUGUGUAAGAGUCCAUACGGAUCUUAUAAUGUCCACCAAAUGGACGAUUACGAGGCUAACACGUGCAGUGAUGCUACAUAAUCAAACAGCUAUGAAAGUAAGUAUGGUUAUACAGGGCAAGAGGUACUCACAAGAGCAAUGCAGUAUGCAGUAUAGUUGCAUGAUUUUGUGGUCCCUUGAGAACGAAUGUUCUUCUGCUAACAGUUUUCGUACAAGUGAGACAUUAAGGCAAAUGCAGAAAUGUAGUUCAAAUUGUGAUGUGAUAUCAUAGAUAGUACCUUACGCUACAGCCGAGACCAAUGUGUAACAAGAUUAUUCCAGUCACCGUCAGAUAAAUGUAGCACCGGAGACUACAGAAAUUUCAUUCAGAGGCUUGCCAUCGAAGUGCGCUUGCCUCAGGUAGGAACGAUACUUCAUCAACGAGUGCUUGAAAAGCGCAACCAACUCUUGCUCGUCAUCACAAUCCAGUUUGCUCCUCGCCUAUUUAAAAGAAUGAAAUCUUGUGUCUUCUGUCAGCAGAAAUAUAUGCAGUAAUGACCAUGAAUAACAUUAGUACAUUACUUACGCGUAAGUUGCGGAGGAAGACUGGAAAUUGUUCUGUGUCUGCGGUAUAAUCUUUACAUGAAGGAAAGAUGCGCACAAAGUUCCUGACAACAACAUAAGCUUCAUCUUCUAAACUGGGAAGAAAUGGAACAGGGGUCCUAUUUGCUGCAAUUGGGGUUCUCUCUGGUUCAAAAAGGAAUUUGGCAACUGGAUUUGGUGUACUCUUUGCUGGAAUGGGGGUUUUGCGUCGUACAGCUGGUGCUAUGUCAACUAGCAUAAUCAUACUGUUUGCUGCAGUUGGGGUCUGCUGAGUUGGGGCAUCAGAAAUGACCAGUGUAGUAGGGCUAGAGUCUGCUAGAGUUGGGGUAUUUUGUGGGUCAGGUGAUAUUGCAACUACACCUAAUGGGCUAUUUGAUUUAUCAUGUGCCACUACCUUUUCCAAAUACUUUGCUUGUGCUCCUCCACGAUCAGCAAUCGCCCUCUUCCUUUUGAACGUCUGAUACACAAGAACAACAUUUGAAUGGAUAAAUAUGGUAUGAUGACAGAUGGAAUAUGUACUGAAAAUGGAUAGGCGGGGCGUAUUCACAUACACGAUGUGUAAACUAAGCUAAUGGCAGUUCAACAAAGUAGAAGCAAUGCAAAGCAUCAGUUGCAAGAUAUGUGCGAGCAAUGUAACCUUGGAAAGUUAGAGCAAGUACCUUGAUGGGUGAAUAAGAUAGGGCAUCUUCCUCUGACUCCUCCACUAGGGAGCUACAUUGACUUAGGUCUCCCUCUAGCUCAGAAUCACUGUUAGGAUCAUAUUCUGAGCAUGAAUCUGUAGGUGGAGAGCGUUUGCAUUGCAUUGCAUCCAGACUUGAUUUCGGUCCCUUAAUGCCAAGUUUGACAGCCAUGGCAUUGUUCUGCUUUAUUCUUUUCAUGCACGCAAGCUCAUAAUCAUUAUGAUGCUGUUCAGAAUCUGAGAUUCAUGAAAACAUAAAAAGUAGUCAUAUUAUCUAUGGAAUGCAUUGCGGAUUCAACUCGGAGAGUGUCUCCCUAUAAACCCCUGCAUAUGCAGAGUUCACCUCCCCAACCGUGCUGACCAGACCACACACAGAAAUACAAACCCCUUAUGUCUCUAUAACAGGCAGGCACACAUUUCAAAACUGAAGUAGGAACAUUAGAAUCAUAUGAAAUUCGUAUUUGAACAAAUAAACUAAGCAAUUAUGAGUGGCAUAAUGUUUAGCUUCAAGGGUGGAGUGUUGGUAGUGCGACACAAAGCAAGUAGGCAGAUUGUAUUCCAUGUAAAAGAUCGAAACCUAUGUAAAAGCUGGAAAUGGCACUUUCUUUCUAUAUAAUGCAGUGUUCGUUACCCACACAUGAUGGAAGAGAUCACAUAGAGAAAUACUAUUCACUCAUGUCUACAGUUCCAGUAUUUAGAAACAGGGUGGUCCACCCUAAAAGAAUAUUGACAACAAAUAUGACAAGGCAAGCAUAGAUGUAGUGAGUCAAUCAUUUACUUGUGAGCUUAUUAGGACAAGUAUGCAGAAUUGUAACUGCAGUAAGAGGCCGUCCAAAAUCUGAAUGAAGAAGUUUGUCUAGCACUUAUUGUUUGCAACUAAUCAACGUAGAUAAUUGGAUAUUAUAUCAAAUGAGUAAGAAGGACAAGUAAGAUUGUCAACAAACCUGGCUUGCAGUAGUAAUCUGGGUCAAUGUCACUACGACCAACAAUCCAAAAUGACUAGUUUCUGUUUCGAGGGCCGGAAUUUUGAAAACCCUAUGAACUUUAGAGGUACUAAAGAUUACCGAAAUACAUCUGAACCAUUAAAUGUAGUAGCACUGAGCACACAACAAACCCUAAUGACAGUCCUGCCUAAUGAGUAAUGAAUCAAUUAGAAAAUGGGUGAUGAGGAGUGGCUGCUGAGUGUUGAGGACGUAUCUCAGGAUAAAUCGGGUUGGCUUGGUGGGUGCUGCAUGCCUGAGCCCUGAACGGACUGGGAAGGUAGGCAUGGCGGCGGGCCCGGGCAGCGGUGACGCUGUUGGGCGAGUGGCUCCUGGCCUCCUGUUAGUCUGGCGUCUCCUCCUAGAGUCAUGCCUUCCGGGGACGGCAAGUCGUCGGCGAGGCAGGUGGCUGGGGGUGAGUAGAGAUCGGAAGCGCGCAACAGAACAGAGGGGAAUCGGGGCCUGGGACAACACAAAAUCCCAGGGUGGGCCAGCCCACCAUGGGCACCCUGUAGAGAUACACACCCGAGGGGCGAACAUGCAUUUUCGAAACUAAUUUAUGAACAUUUAGCUGACCAAUUAAACAACUCUGUUUUAAUAAUAUCAGAUUCGUAUUUGAACAUCUAAGCUUGUUUAGCUUGAUGGGUGGAGCAGUGCUAUUAUGACACGAAGCACGUAUUCUGAUCGUAUAGUGAUCAUAAAAGGGGGAAACUCUAAGCAUAUUUUUUUAGCAAAAGAGGGUUUCCCCUCUGAUUUCUAUUAAAGAAACCACCACGGAACCAACAUGAUCAAUUAAACCCUAAGCAUGAUCAAUUAAACCGUAUUAUGGUUGUGCCAUGGCAGAUUUGAAGCUGCAAACUGGAGAAAUGAUAUUUAGCAUCCAUUGUUUGCUUCGAACUAAGAACUAAAUUCUAAGAGCUGAAAAGAAAGUAGAGUAACCAAGUUAAGAUCUAUUUUCUGGUUGAGAUCAAAAAGUUGAGGAGAUAUGAAGUACCACCUCUCUUGCGGCACCGUGUAGGCAUCGGGGGUGCGAUGGCUGUCGGUGGCAUUGAAGCAUAUCUGCGACGGUAGACGGGUGCAUCGGGGGAUAAGUCCCAUUGCGGUGGAAGAGAUGGUCAUGUGAGCGGCCCCGACAAAGAGGACGACGGCGUCGAUGAAGCGAGAGGACGCGAUGCAAGGCUAUUUGUCCGUCGCCGUGGAUGAUAAAUGUCCAUCUCUAGCAGUGGACGACGUGGUCUUGGUAGGCGCUCCGGCAUGGUGGAGGACGGUGGCGACGGAUGUGGUGGAGGACGACGGCGAUGGAUGGGGUGGCGGACGGAGGCUGGUGUGGGGAUGGGGUCUUCUAGCGCGAACGGUGUAUGAAUGGGAAAAUGGAGGGAGAGGUACGGGGAACCAUGUUUUUGGGACGCGCCUGUCUCAAAUAUGGGAAAGUUACGAACUUAGCCCCCGUUUAAAAUUUGGACGUCUCGUCGGUUGGGGAUAGGACGGUAACCUCGCAUCUCGCCAAUAUUUUCCCAGAGCGAUUUCGGGCGAGGAGAGGGUGGUUGGCGCCCAUGGUUGGCGCCCAUGGUGUAUGAACGGGGCUGACAGGUAGGGCGGUUGUGUCACGUCUGAGUGAAGUUACAAACCUGCCCCUAUUGAAAAUAUUUGCCUACAUCGAUUUCGGCCGAGUCAAGUUUGUUUUGCCGCCCAUCGUGUAUAAAUGGGGAAUGGAGCGAGAAACAGAGGUCUUUCAGAUGAGCUUGAAUUAAAUGUGUUUUGCCGCCCAUGUUUGACGCCCACCGUGUCGGAAUGGGCUCAGAGGCGAUCGUGUCACGUCUAAUUGAAGUUACUAACCUACCCCUAUUUAGAGCAGUGGAAAUCGGGCCGAUGGAUUGUCCGUGUAAUGGGUAGACAGUAAUUUCCAUCUCCCAAACACUUGGCUUUGGGCAGCUACGUGGGAGUGGACAUUUUGUUGCUUCUCUCGAAUUUUGGGACAAUAAGCAUCCACGUUUACCCUGGCAACUAAAUUCGAAUCCACUUUGUAUUCCUAUAUGAAUCUUUAUAAAUCAUUCUAUGUGUUUUUAUAUAUCUUCAAAAGGACGACAAAGAUGUAUUCCACUGUCAUAUAUGAAUAUGGUUUACAAAUGUCGAUACUCAAAUUCAGAAACUAGAAUCAAGUUUAAGGUGAAUUCGAAUAUUUGGAACACUUCAUGUCCAACUCAAAUGUCACACACAACAUAAUGUGUGGUCCCAUUUAGAUAUGUACACAAGCGAUGUAUGAAGAUUCAAAUACCGAGUCAAUCAACCAAGAAUGUACAGAACUAACAGAUGCAUAAACACUUAUAGAGUAUAUGGAUCAAUAAUAUCAACUAACAUACAUAAGCCAGGCCGCUGUACUUUUUUUGGCUACAACAUCAUCCUUUUUUUAGCCAGCAUCUUGGACCUUUCCGAUAAGUGCCACUUAUGGUCCAUCUAUACUACUACUAUUGCCGAAUGCACAUUCAGCCCGAUUGGCAUAUUUGUAGAUCUGGCACAACAAUUCAAUUAAUACAGACUUGUGCUCAAAUAAAAUUACAAACCAAAAAACCAAAGAUAUAUAUAUAUAUAUAUAUAUAUAUAUUACAAGAUCUCUAAAACAAAUGGUUUGAUUGAUUACAUGAACAGACAACACAAAGGUUAUUCAACGAUGGAAAGAACAUUUCACCUAUGAUUUACCAAGUAGGAAUUUAAUUUCCUUUUUUCCUUCAGGACCUUAACAAUCUGGUCAGUCUCAGCUUGCUUAGUUUUGAAAUCCACCAAAUAUUUAAUGGUUGUGUUGUUUGCUUCCUCAACAUGUCAACUUCAUCUCUAAGUGCAGAAGCAAAAUCUCUUUCUACCACUAGUUUAGCCUCUAGAGCAUCAGCAGUUGGCAAUUCAUAAUGCACGAUUGGGCCGGUGCCACUGCUGUGGGAUGAUGCAACGUCCAUGGGGACCUCGCUCUUUGAUCUUGGGCUAACCUGUUUUUCCAUUAAAGUUCUGAUUGGAUUCAGAAAAGUUGAAGUUAGCAAAACAUCUCAACUGGGAGUUAUAACAGCAAACCAGUUAAACAAACAAGGAAUUAAAGAGUUUUAAUUGGAUGCUAAAAAGUACUCCCUCCGUCCCAUAAUGUAAGACGUUUUUUAACACUAUGCUAGUGUAAAAAAACGUCCUAUAUUAUGGGACAGAGGGAGUAGUUAUUAACAUCAUUGUAACCCGCUGUUGCAGCAGCAAAGCAGUUAAACAAACAAGUAGAUAUUUAAGUUAAGGCAAACAGGUAAUUCUUAACAGUAAGUAUCAAACACAUAGAUAGGCGCAGUCUACAAUAUGAUUAACAGGUUGUGCCAUUAUGUAAUCAGUAGCAAACUAAAUUAAGCCAAGCAACGUAAUUGAACAAUUUUGCAAUAAGUGGCUAACUAAAAUUCCGAGAAGCAGGUAACUGAACUUAUGCUAGUUCUUUGUACAGGCACACUGCAACUUCUUUUUCGCUUACAAGGUUGUACAAAGGAGUCCAUGGCAUCAAUUGCUUGGAUACGCAGUCCCAAUACUUCUUUCUUCCCACACUGCAUGGGUAAGUCGAAUGGUUAAUCUGGUAAGAUGGUGCGUCCUUGAUAUGUUAUAUGAGGACGUGUAGUCAGACUAGUUGUAGCCAAACACAUCACACUGGCUUUUACUGUAUAUUUCAUGCGAUUACUUUUGGCAUAUCGAGAUCUAAGCAAUCUACAAUAGGAUGAAAAGACUGGCAUCCUUCACACUAUUGGCGAACUCAGUUCAUAGAAACAAGCAAUUCAACCAUUCUGUGGAUAAAUCAAAAGCGCCACUGGAAUAUUUUUCACUAUCCAAUCAUACACGCAAAAAGGGGCGACGCCACCAUAGGGGCUGGUAUGGGCGACCGCCUCAGGUGGCUGGAAAGUGUGCACCUAGUUUGAGUCGUCCAGGUUGGACCAAGCUAGUUUUGUUCGUCCCAACGCACGAGCAGGCAAUGUAAAAAAUGAAGAAAAAUAUUUCAAUUUGGAUGGGCCAAUAACAUAGGUGCAAGGCAGGCCCUAUAGCAGGCUCGCGGCCCAAACAAGCGCCCCCAUAUCGAUCGACAGCAGGAAAAAUCCCAAUUCAUUCGCUCCAGCCUCCAGUCUGGUUCGCUCCUAACCUAGUCGCCGCUGGACAGACCGACACAGCACUUCCUCGCGCCCUCGUUGGAGGGCGGUCACCAGGCUUCAAGCGAACAGAAGGACAAGAAGAUGAAGAUCCAACCCUGGGUGUAACCUGCGUGGGAGGCAGCGGCGGCAGCACGGGCAUGGCAUCGAGCUUGCGCAAAUGGACAGUCGCAGCUUGCAAGAGUAGCAUGCGCAACGAGCAGGUACAUCACAUCCCUGAUUAUAUCUAAUUCAACUCUUCAAUUUCUGGCAAUAGUUAAACUUGACGGUGUUGUAAAACUGCUUGUAUGUAGGAAAUCUAUGAGAAAAUUAAACCAAUUUCUACUUAUUUUAUAACUCCCCCAAUCAAUACUGAACUGAAUGAAUCUGAUGUAUCUAAUCAAGUUUCCGGUGCAAACAUACAAGCUCAUGUUGUUCUUGAGCCUGAAGUGUCUAAUGAACAGACUGCUAAUGAAGGAUUUGAUGCAAACAUUUUACAUGCUCCUGGUGAUGAACAUAUAGUGUCUAAUGAGGGAUCUAAUGCAAGCAUUUUGCAAGCUCAUUGAAGGAUUUAGUGUCUAAUGAUGAUCUACUAUGUUGAGAGAGACAGAGAUUUGCAGGCAUUGAUGACAAGCAAAUUAUAGUGCAUUUUCAUAGCUUGAGGAAACGUCGAGGCCAUCUACCAGAAAGUCCCCGUAUCAUGACAACAUAGCAUAAAUACUUUUCUAAUCUGUUGUUUGAAACUAUUGGCAUACUUGUGCAGGAUAGAUAUAUUGAUAUGCAGUUUGCGCACUGGUUAUACGUGCAAUUACACUUCGACAUUUUCAGCCAGGGAACGAAUAAUUCAAGCAGGUACAGACCAUGUUUGUAGUCCUUGUACACCAUGUUGCAUUUUAUGUUUUUUGGUGCUUGCAUCAUUUAGUGUUAAUAAUCUGAACUACUUUGGAUCAUUAACUGGUUUUCAAAGUGCAUGUAGCUUCACAUUUCUCGAGUUGUGUUGAUUUUCGGAGUGCAAGUGCCUUCAUAUUUUUUAAGUUAAAUGUUCGCCCAUGGUAACUUGGAUCGUGGAUCAGCCACAACACACAAAUCAUACACGAAUGCCAGUAUGAAUUAAAUGAAAUGCAGGGACUUACACUAGCUCGUUGUACAGGCUCACUACAGCUCUGCUUGCGCUUGGGAUGUUCCAUGUACAAGUCCAUGUUACCACUUGCUUGGAUGUGCAGGCCUUGUGCUCCUUGCAUCCCCCUCUGCAUUUUUGACAUGGCGAAUGGUUGAUCAAAUAAGAGGAAUCGACCUUGAUGUUGUACCGGAGGACAGAUACUUGCAAGGUUAUACGGGUGUGCAGGAUGUGUACCAGAUCCCGUAGCGCCUUCAUGCUUCACUAAAAAAUGGAUUUGCUUGUUUCAGAUGAUAUCUCCCGAAGAAAUAAGAGUUAAAGUCAGAGUUGCAUAGGCGUGUAAGCUAAGAGAGCAGUGAAAGGAUAUCCAAACAUCGACGGAACAGUGCACAAGGGAGUGAUGUGUCGAUAGCUAGUUCGGGCCGGCAUUUGGGCAUGCUCGCCUAGCUAGAGUGCGGGUCACUUCAGAGCCGUUGAGGGUGAUGCGCUGGCGUUGGCUGGCUGUGCACGGAUGCAGAUCUUGAGUGGCAGCGGAGCGCUACGAUGUGGUGGACGAGACCAUUGGUGAAGCCCCAACGGCCUCGGGGGGCGGAGGUGCGAUGAUGUGCUCGGUGAAGUAGCCCCGGUAAGCUGGGAGACGGCGUCGGUGAAGCGCACCUGAUGCGGUGGAACUCGGUGUCUGUGAGGCACGUCGGUUGCGGCGGCCGACAUUGUCGAUGGACCACCUGGUGCGGUGGCCGAGGGCGUAGAUGAGGUAGCUCCGGUGCGGUGGUGAAGCGCGACCGUCGUCUUCGUCGUCUUUGGAAUGGAACAAAUUUCGACCCACAAAUUAAAGUGCUACAAACUACACACCAAGGGCCCACAUGUCAUGAAACAAAUUUGGACCCAUAUACAAAUUAAAAAAUAAAAGACGAGGAUCGAACAUGCGACCGGGCCUUCAAGCCGCACGUCAAUAGGCAACAUACGUAGAAUAGCAAUGUUUGUUGUACACCCUUUGUUCACAUAAUGUUUUUAUAUUACCACAGCCUAAUUAAUGGAUAACAUGUAAUAUUAUUUUUAGUACUAUUCGCCUUCACUUACUGGUGGGUUCCAUGUGUGCUCUCUCUCUCUCCUCCCCUUCUGCGUUUAGACGCACGGGCAAACAGGAAGAACUCGCGGGCGAUGUUGCCGUUGACCAUAUCUGGACGCGUUCACAAGUCACGGCACCAGUUUCACGUACUAGCAGCACUAGUCAGUGUGUACGUGCAAUGCAUGUUAAUUUGGAAGUAUAUUAAGUGCAUGCGGAUAUUAACUACUACGAUAUUAUUUGCGUGUUGUCAUGUGAUUAGCACUAUUUUUGGCAUGAAAUUAACUGCACGCUAAACGUGUUGAGCGCUCGACAUUGAAUCAGUCUAGGUCCUUGGAUGACAAGGAAUACAUGUGGCUUGAUGACGUUUUAUAUUUAAUUUGAUACGGCUCUAGCAGAACAUUCAAUCGAUCAAAGCAUACAUUUUGUUCAGUCUGACUCCGACUUUAAAUUAUACGACGAUCGAUAUAAAAUAAACGGAAAUGAUAAAUGUUCGAAUUUUAAGCAUGGCAAUCCGAACAUUUUUCAUGGAAAAUUUAGAUUGCGCGGCGGCGGCGGGGGCGUCUCGCGGUGGGAAGUGGCUCCUCUGUCGUGCUCUGUGUGUAGUCGGGCCACUGACCGACGGUGACGACGCUGUCUUGCGCCGUUGUUGGCAUACUCCUGGACGUUGGCCUAGCUUCAAGGAAGGCCAAAAUGUUCUAGACUUUGGAGCGAGUCAACUGGCGGGAGGAGGCGACUGGCGUUGGUGCAAGGAAGCGGUCGAUGGCGGCCAUCCAUGCCGCUGAGGGGGCACUAGCACCCGCGCGGGGACAGGCGCUAUCAACGGGCACCAGCACGGGCGCGCACGUCAGUGCACGCGCAUGCGCAUGCGCUGGCAGGUGCACGGGCACCGGCACGGGCGUGCGCGUCAGUGCAUGCGCAGGCGCAUGCGCUGGCAGGUGCACGGGCGCGUGAAAGUCGGCGGGGACCUGGUGGAACCCCGUGGCAUCAAGCUCGACGACAAUGUGCGUCUCCCAGCCCAUCAAUGCCACAGGGAUGGGUACUGGCGCAGUCGGGGCAACGGGAGCCGGAACGGGAGCGGGGACAGGCGCGGCGUCUUCCCGCAAGGCCAGUUCAAGCUCGUCCCAAAGCGCCUUAUGUUCUUGAGACUCCGGAUGGGUGUCUUCCUCAUGAAACUGGAACACUAAGGGCAGACCAUCAUGAUGCGGCAUGGCGUACAUUUAGGUCAGGCUAGUUGGAGGUAGACGAUAGGAGAAUCGGAGAGGAAGAGAGAGGAUUGUAGCAAUACCGGGUAGUGCGGGGUUGAUUUUAAAUGGUGGCGCCGGCAACAUUAAAAGUGGGAGCAGUUGGGACGACGGUGGGCGGCGGAGCCUGGUCAAAGGGCUCGCCUCCCGGUGAGUCUGCACAGUGGUCUGCUCGCAUGCCUCCCUGACAGCCGGUGCAGCGGUCUGCUCGCACUCCUCCCAUCGACUCACACGCUUGCUGGGACGGCACCUGCCGAUGAGAAGCGGGGACUCGUGGCGGCACGUAAAUGCCCACGGUUUCAAUAGUGAAAGCGUUCGCCUUAACGUGACAGGUCUUUGUUCCAAAAUACCUUGGCUCUUCAUUUGUGCAACUUCUCAUAAGCAGCUUGUCUCGAAUUGAAGAAAAAACUUAUGAUGUAAUAUUUGUGCCAUAUCACGUGACCAUUCUCAGUUUCAAGAAUUUGUGCUCACUUUUGGAUUUUCUGAAAUUUAAGAUCCAGGAUACGAAACAAUAUCAUAACCUGCAUCAUGCAAUAAAUUUUCAAGCCGUACAUCUAUCAUGUUGUAUUUCUUAAGAAUGGAUUUGGUCAAACAUUUUGCUUAGUUAAACCUCCUUUCCAGUUUAUAGGGCUCAAUUCAAAAAUCUCACCAACCAAGGUAGAUGGUGAGUGGUGGAACAAUUGUUGUAGUUUGCAAAACCACUCAAUUAAUGCACUUGUUUUCCUCAAAAAUUGUGUUUACGAAUGCAUUAAUUGCAAUGCAUGCAUGAGUAAAGUACAUGCAUUGGUCAAUUUUCUCUUAAUUCUUGCAUGUAAUGAUUUAUUGCACCUUGAAAUCUGAACAUGUGAUGGGGAACAACCAAAUUGAGACUUAUAAAAUGGGAAAACUAAAAUUUUGAGAUAAGCCCUAUAAACUGGAAAGGAGGGAGUAAAAGGAUAAUCCCCGCGUACCAGUGCAUUGCCUGAUAUAUUAACUGAAGUACUAGGCACGAACAAACAGGCUCAAUUCUGUGCUCAUCCUGGUGUAGUAGUAGUAGUAGUACUAGGCAAUGCAGUUGACGGGUGACCUUGACGAGCGGCGACCGAGGGAAUUGAACCGUGAUCAGCACGGUAGGUAAUGUUGUCUAGUUACUAAAGCAUCCCUCCGUUGUUCAUCGGUAGUCAUUAUGGACCGGGGACAUGAGCGGAAUUUCCUAGGGCUGGAAUUCUGGCAGCCAGAUAUUUCGACUUGAAACGCUGAGGCUCGACUGGUUGGGAUUUCCCAAUGUGCGUACCACGCACGCCAUCAAAGGACACGAGCCCGUUUUUUUAGGAUCAACACGAGCCAAGGUCUGGCUGGUACGUCGUUGGGUCCUACCAUUCGAGAAUACGGAAGGAACCUUUUAAAUUGCCGAACGAAUCUAUGUGUAUUACAAUACCCGUAUUUUCCUUGCAAAUACUAAUCUCAACGUGGUAAUUGAUUUAUGAUGAGUUGUUGAAUUAGAGUGAGUUUGUGAUAUAGUGAACUCAACGUGGAUUUCACAUUUCAUGGUAUCCCUAGUAAGUUUUCCAAUGCAAAUUCAAAUUUAAAAGAUGAACAAUAUGGAGGUGAGAAAACUUUGUAUGUAUCAAGCAUAUGACCACAGACACACACACACACAGAGAGAGAGAGACACACGCAUGAACACAACAACAAUCCAAUAAGUAUAGUGCAUCUAUUUUUCCAACCCAUGCAUGUAUGACACGAAUUCAAAAAUACUCCUUCUAUUCCUAAAUGAUAGUCUUUUAGAGAGUUCAACAAGUGACUACAUACAGAGAAAAAUGAGUGAAUCUAGACUCUAAAAUAUGUCUAUAUACAUCCAUAUGUGCCAGUCCAUUUGAAGCCUCUAAAAAGACUAAUAUUUAGGAACGAAGGGAGUAAAAUGUAAGACAUCCAUGGUCCUCAGUUCAAUAUUUAAAAUGAACAUGAAACUGAAACAUGAAUAUUAAGUCUAGUACUAUAGUACAUGCAAAUGUUGUGUUUAGGCGGAGCUAUGAUUGUCGGGGGUCAACCCCUCGACCUUAGAUAAAAUUGUGGAGCUCUGUUUAGGGUUGUUUAGAUUAACUUUGUCCCCACCCUCCCAACCACCGAUUGGUUGUGCACGCCCCACCCCUCCUCCCUGGGAGAAUAUCAUGUGCCCCCAUACCUUAGAUGCUAUAUGCUGAUACGAGUUGCUUGGAGCUUGUAGAUCUGAGAUAUAGCAGCUCACAUGAUGUGUCUUAAAUUUUUGCAGGAAACCUUGAUGAGUUUGAGAAUUGCACACAAUUUGUACAAAAACUACUUAGAUGCCCUUUGAUCCCAUAUCCAACAACCUUGAAGCUCGUAUCACCGUAGCAUCUAAGAUGAAGGAGGACAUCAUAUUGUCCUGUAUGUAAGAAUAUCAUGUGCUACCACACCUUAGAUGUUUUGGUGAUACAAGCUCUUCGGAGGCGUUGGAUUUGUGACCCAACACCUCCUCGGUGGUUCAAAUGGUUUUUUGUAGAAAAGCCCCAAAAGAGUUGGGCCACUGCUUACAAGCACAAAGACUGCUCAAAUGCCAUUGGAUCUCAGAUCAAAUGACCUCCAAGCUCGUAUCACCAUAGCAUCCAAGCCGCGAUAGCACCUUAUGUUUUCUCGCACGGGAGAGUAUGAGGUGCUCCCGCAUCGUAUAUUCCAUGUUUUCUCGCACGGCCCACAGUAGGAGGUUUGAAUGUUUUUGCAAUAUACGGCUGAUAGAGUUUGGGAAAUGCGCAGAAAGUACAAGUACUAUGCAUGUGCCAUCUGAUCACUGAUCAUACGACCUAGAUGCUCACAUCACCGUAGCAGGUAAUUAAGCUACGGGGAGCACCUAAUAUGAGAACCGGGGAGCCGUUGGAUCGAAGAUGCUGCGGCACACCAGAGGCCUGAAUGUUUUAUUUGCAAAAAAACUUUGGGGAGUUUGGAAAUUGCGCAUAAUCACAAAGACUACUCCCUAGCCAUUGGAUCUCACUUCCAACGGUGUAAAAACUCGUAUCACCAUAGUAUCUAAGCUGCAGGGUGGAUGUGAUAUUCUAUGCCGCUAUCAUUCUUGUUCGUAAACUUGCAAAAUACGUGUAACUCGUGCCGUUACUUGUCUAACCGUGCAAAGUGUUUGUUCAAAAAAAACAUCCUACACUGAAAUAUCGGAACAACACACGGGGGUCCCACUUGUCAUUAAUCAAAUUUGGACCUAAAACUAACAAAUCUGAUAGACGAGAUUCGAACUGGUAACCUGGACUAGAAAGCGUAAGUCGAUAGCCUGAAAAAACGAACGGUUGUUGGCUUUGUCCCAUAACUUGAUUUUAUACAGUACUUGUGUUGAGUAGAGUAGAGGGAGUGCCUCGUCAACACUUGCAUGACCGUUGUCUCACUUACUGGUGGGUCCCAAGUGUGUGAUCUCAAUCUCUCUUCUCUCCAUCGUCUAACCUUUGCACGGGCACACACGAAGAGCGGCGCUAGCUUGCCGUGGUGUUAUUACAACUAAAAAAGCUUGGAAAAUAGAAGAAUCGCCUAGAACAAGAGACGUUGUGGCUGGUCAAGACGGAGCUAACUGUGCCACGUUUGCAUGAUGAAGUUGUGUGGCUAGUGGGGUGUUUUCGACCAACCGGCUGGGUCCCGAGGUCGAACCAUAGGUACUACGUCUGAUACAGUACAUUUUUACACGCACAUUUUUCCUCCGUGCCGAGACGUGGCACACCCUACCGCGCGGUUUUGGGGUCCACCCAGGUCGUGCACGCAUAUAUUCUUCCUGACGUGGGAUGCCCUACUGCACGUUUUCUGGGUCCUCCUCGGUCGUAGUGCCAAAGCAAGUAAAUGGGUCGUCAAAUCACGAAAGACCACCUUUCCCGCCGAGUACAUCAGUGAAGCACGGUGGCUAGCUAGUUGGGCUAGUUCGACCGAUUAGCUAGGCCGCCACCAUAUUUGUUUUUUCACCCCUUUUUUAUCUACUUGCCAGCAGGUAAAUUUAAAUGUCCACCGCGGCGAUGCUCUGGUGUUUGGGUGCAGCAGGAUUUUUAAUUUUUUGAUUGACGGGAGCAGGCGCGGCAGGAUUUUUAAUUUUUUGAUUGACGGGAGCAGGCGCGGCAGAAAUUAGUCACGAUGACUUCGCCUGUAAAAACCCACUGCUCCCUGAUGUGAGAAGUUGUCGACUGGUGUUUUACCGUGGUGAAAACCAAAAGAUUCCCUGCUCCUCGGCUGGAUCUCUCCGCCUUCCCGUAGAUUGCAUUGCCUCUCAGCCGUAUCGCCCCCUUUGCUUCCUCUCCCCUUUGCUUCUACCUGGUGCCAUGGUGGCGCAGCAGAUCACGGAGUCCGAGGUGAGGCGCCUGACACAGGAGCUCCAUGCCAAGGAUGCGGAGCUCAUGGCCAAGGACGUGGAGCUCCGUGAGCUCAAGGAGGAGAGGAGUGCCAUGCUCUUCCGUUAUGUGCGGGAGUUCAGAGAGCUUCAACAGCAGCAGGCGUCCACCACAAAGAUGCUCGAGGCGUCGGCGGCGUUGCUACAGAAAGCGGGAGAUACAAUAGGCCGUCAGAGGAGCCGGCUGGAGCACGAGCGGGCCGAUCGUGAUGAGGUCCAGGAUCGCCUCAGCCACUUGGUGAACCAAGUUGCCACGCACGUGUUGCGGCUGCGCGAUGCCUACCGUCGCGCCAGCACGACGAUGCCGGCCAUCGGGCUAAACCCGUUCGACCACCCGGUCGACUUCAACGAGCUGCGGCUUCCUGACCUGGUCUCCUUCUUCACCUAUAUCUCUGAGGAGCUGAGCUGUCUCCGCGCGAUGGUGGGGGCUGAGCUAGACAAGGAGGGGUUGCAGGCUGCCGUCGCCGUUGCCGGGCGAAUCCUUUCAGGGCUCCGUCACCGGAAUCCAUUCGUGCCAUUGGACGCCGUCUUUGAUGAGCUGGCUACCGUUGACCGGGAGCGGGCUCUACGGGCGGUUGCACCCUGCAUCACCAACGUCGUGCGCCUCGAGAAGCAGAGGGACUUCGGUGGUGUUUAGGUGCCCUCUGCAUGGGCAUGUCCAUGUCUCAGCGCAACAUGACCGUUGGAUCAAACUCAGACGGUGCAGAUCAGUCACUGUAGCACAAAGCGUGUGGUAGUGUUUGGUUGCAUUCUCAUCUCAACAUAGUUGUUUCCUCUUCGUGUAUUUUUGUCAACCUACUAGUAUGGACUCAUGCACCCUUCAUGGUUCAUGCACUCUGCCAAACACCCAAAAGUGGGUCGAGAAGGGAACUUUUGCUCCCAUCCCGUGCACCCUUCAUACACCCUGUCUAACACUAUAGGAUGUACUUCAUAUGGUUCAUGUUUCGUGGAGUACUGUAGCACCGUACUCUCCGUGCGCUGUGGACCUAGUUCUGUUAACAUUAAUCUCACCGUUCAUUCUCGAUCGGACAGUCGAAAAAGCGGUACUAUGUUACAUAUAGGAGUAGUUGACAUGCGCACAACAUCAUUUGUUAUCGUCAUAUCUUACUACACUAGCAACAAGAUUGUGUAGUACUGACGUAUGAACCACUGCACAUGCCUAGUAGUAGGAGCACUGUGUAUGUUCAAGUGGCUGCCGUGUUUCGCACUCCUCCGUUGUAAGAGUGGAAACGCUUGGUGUAACCAUUUUUUUCUUCAAAAUGAAAAACAGUGGACACGCUCUACCGUGUGGAUCCUCCUCCAGCCAUGCACUAAAUUACUCACUUUCGCCAAGUGUGGGACGGCCAACACCUAGGUCCACCACCCAUGCACUAAAUUACUCCAUACUAGAGUGACGAUAGACUACCCCGAUCGAACUACCGCAGUAAUGCCCGAUGAGCCGUCAAAUCACAAAAGCCCCUCCUUUCCAGCAGUAAGUUGGACGGACGAAGCAACCAUCAUUUCACUCUUCUCUCUCAGCUUCCUCUCUUGAAGAAAACCCCCACUCGCUUCGCUUCUCCCUCAUCUCGUUCCUCCUUUCACUCUUCUCUCUCAGCUUCCUCUCUUGGAUGGACGCCGGAGCACUGGCCGACGUGAUGUCUAUGGCUCUGGCCAAAACCGUCGAGGCUCAUGGUACGAAGAAGCACAAGCACCCCGCCGAGACUACCGCAGACAAGCUCAAAGCCAUCGCCCUGUCCAAGGCCCCCUCUCCGGGAUCCCUCAUUAAGCAAGUCCAGGUAAUGUCUCUUGUUGACGAUCUUUUUCUCGAUCUUGAUCGUGAUUUUUCAUCUAACACGCAGUACUAGUACUGGUAGUACAACUUUUUGGGUGAUCUUGCAUGUGAUUUUAGUGUGCCAAAUGACGGUUCUAAAUUCCUCUUUUGACCAAAACAUGCGAGAGGUUGACACUGAUUUCUUAUAGAUUACUUUCAACUACUCCCUCUGUCCCAAAUUUCUUGUCUUAGAUUUGUCUAGAUACGAAUGUAUCUAAUACUAAAAUGUGACUUGAUACAUCCGUAUCUAGAUAAAUCUAAGACAAGAAUUUUGAGACAGAGGGAGUACUUUAUGAACAUCAAUGCUACCUUUUAAGAGGGUAUAUUUGCCUCAGUAACUUGUGUUAUGGAUAUUGCAUGUAAUCCCUCUGCUCUCAUGCCUUUGAAGACAUGUUCUAGUGUCUUUGUUCACUCAUUUCUGUGCAUAUAUGUAGUCAUAUAUGGAGUAUAAUAUCGAAAAUCAUCUUAUAUUUCUGAACGGAGGUAGUAAUAAAAUAUGGUUUCUGUUUGAAUUAGAACCAGGUCCGCGGUGGAGAUGAAGUUCUCAAAGUCAUGUCGUGUGAACGGGAAGACCUGAUGAUGAGUUCUACUGCUGAACUAUCCAGCUGCUGUGUCCUUGUCGCCACGUGUCCUGAACUAGUGUUUUCCUAUAGCACUGUGGCCAGGCGUGUUCUCGAGGCUGUACUCGACCACAACAAUUUCCUGGUUGUGCCUUCGAUUAUGAAGGGUGUGGUUCUUGUAAAGCUUCCCAACAAAUCUGAUGCAGCCUGUCUUCAUCAUCAUGUUUAUGAGUGGAAAGACCACUCUGUUAGGUUCUCCAAGGUUGACAAGAUGGUGAUGAUGCAUGUAGACAUCUCACACGAAGUCCAUGGCCUAGUCAGUUAUGCGGGGUUCAUUCCGUAGGUCGGUGGCAAGAAAUAGUCUAUAGAAUUUAGUUAGUGCAACUUUGCUUGCCUGUAGUAAGUACUAUUGUUCAGUACUUGAUUUGUGUUUGUGAACCCUGUAUUGUUUAUUAGUACUGCCACUUUUGGUGUGUGGUCAGUCCUGAGAACGGUCUAUGUUAAUGUCUGUCCACUCAAUUCAGUCUGUACAUUUUGAAGUAUCCAAAUCAUAUUUUUAGUGAGGACGGUUUAUCAAUUAUGGUUACACUCCAAUAUCUAUAUGCAUUGCAGGGUUUAUCGCACCCACAAGGAUUUCCAGUCCCAUGGAUGUUCGGUCCAUACAAAUUGUCACGACCUUUGGACUGUCCUGCUUUUGGGAGUAAGCAGGGCCCCUGCAUGCCACGCGUAGUUGGACGAUCAAUCUUCUGUUUAGUACUUCAACAUAGUGAUUUCCUGGUAAGGAUUCACUCGUGUCACAUCAAGUAAAUCUUAUUGAUUUACUGUCUAAAUCUUAUUGAUUUAUUGUCAUGUCUUCUUUCUUUUCCUGCAAGUUUACGAUGCAAGUUUUGCCAUGUGACAUUCAUCACAGAAUAAACCGUUUGGUUUGCUCUACGAUGGCUAUUUUUGCAGGUUUCACUUCUUAUGUCGUGUCAGUAACGAAGGCAUUGUCCAUCACUUAUAUUACUGGAAAAAAUUGGAUCAAUAUGUUGUCUGAGUACAAGCUAAAUCCUAUGAUGAACUGCAGUUUGGUUUAACAAAAACGCCACAGUUAGUCCUUCUCGCGUUUAAAAGAAAUGAAGAAAAAAACUGGAUCACGGUCACGGAUCCUAGUCAAGUUAGAAAGCUGAUCAUAGCAGACCAGACACGAUUGCCGCUGUCUCGCACAGAUCGAGCACCGGCAGUUGCUCUAGCACUGACAGCGGCAACAGCUCAGUAUGAUCCAGCUGAGGAUUGAGCACCGACCGCGUCAGCGGAUCAGUCUGAUCUACCGGAGGAUCGGGCAUCGACACCGGCACCAUCUAUGGCAGCAGCAGCGGCUUCGGCACCUGCACCAACACUUGCACUUGCAUUUGGUCCGGCCCGUGCAGUUGCACCGGCAAAAGACUAGGCUACAGUUUGCACUUCAUAUACCAAAGUCCUUACAGAAACUGACAUGUCCACCUUCUUGGUAAGCAUUGGCCGCCCAAGUGCUUCGUUCUUUUUUUCUUUCCAUGGUGUUUCACAUGAUUCACUGUGUUGAUCUAACUGUUUGGGUAUGUCUUCUUGUUUGCAAACAGUGAAUUCCUAGAGCAACGAGGGAGUCGUUCAACAAUCCGGGCGACCGCAGCCAAGUUUCUCUUACCAUGCGCAGCCUUGGUGUGAAUGAACCUGCUCAAUAUACCGUAAGUACAAAGGAUGGUCGCAUGAUGAUUGAUGCUAAAGGAUGGUCAAGGUUCAAAUCUAAAUCAUAUCUUGCGGUAGGGGAUGAUGUCAAAAUCGAACUUUCUCGGCAAGGAGAGCUGGUCCAAAUCAACUUCGAAAUUCUUCAGUAGCAGCACGCAACUACCGAACUGAUCUAUCCUCUGAGAGAUUUUGAUGUAAUAAUCUGGCAUGGUGAAACAAGUGUCCUGUGUGUAUAAGUAGUACGAUAGUAUUAUUUAUCACAUGGUAUAUCGUUGAUAGAAUUGCAACUCUGAUUGUUGGUUAGGAACUGUCGUUCGAUUCAUUGCAACAGCUAACGUGCUUUAUUCAAUUUUGUGUAUUCGCCUUGCGACAACAUCUAAAACCAGCGCAGUACCGAUCGCUUGCAAUAUGAAAAGUGCUGAGGUAGAACACAUGGGCCCCCAAACAUGCAGGGUCGGCCUGCAUCCCAAAGUCCAGAACCGUGAGCCUAUCUGAGUAUUAUAUUCUCAGCUGAACCCCCAUAAAAAAAGCUGAACCCCCAUAAUGCCCGUGCGUUGCAGAGGGAGUAUAUUUCUCGGCAAGGUGAGCCUGUGAUAUAAAAGAUUUGUAUAUUUCUUUACAAAUGGAGUAUCUCUCUGUCAAAAAAUAUAUUUAUGUGUAACUAGUUACUCCUGUCUUUCUACUUCCUUUCGCUGAUACGUGGGGCAACCAGAAACGGGGUCCACGUGCCAUAUGCACAAAUUAGAGCGCACAACUUCACGGUAGACACACCCCGGUCAUAGCGCCGCAGUAAUGCCCAAUGGGCCAUCAAAUCACAACCCCCCUAUCCAGCUUUAGCAGUAAGCUGGACGGACGAAGCGGCAAUAUUUCACUGGGCCUGAAUCCCCUUCUCCCUCAUCUGCUUGUUCAGAGAAAACCCCCGCUCGGCGAUUGCAUAGGGUUUUCUCAUGGAGAACUAGGUAGGAAUUUUUCAUCCAUCCCCGAUAAAUCCAAGUCCCUUGGCCGCAGGUAAUCCUAGGAUGGCAGCCGCCACCGUUGAUGCAUUUUUCUUCGUACUGAAUCUAGUGUGUUUCAGUUGCAGUGCCCAAAGUGCGAGUACCCUACAGAUUUCUGCGCCUUCGGCGAGACGCCACACUUGUUCCUUCUCAUCCUACCACAACAUUUUGAAACGCGCACAGUAUGUUCCUAGAAUCCUCUUCUCUAUCCGGGAGGGUGGGUUUUUUUUGAACAUGUUGUGUUCUCAUAUUAUUUUUCCUGCAGUGUAUUAUUUGCUCUGCCAGAACACAUGUACUCAAGAUGCUCGGCCUUGCCAUAACUGAAUACACUAGUUUAAUGUCACAGUGAAGACAAGCCAUGGGUAUUACUUCUGAGUUGGGUUCAUGAACCAAGAAGAUCGCUGCUUUUUUUAUGGCCGAACUUGGAUAAACUUUCUCAAGUGUUACAGACUGAAAGUUGGCGCAAGAAUGUUGAUGGAAAUAGCAGAACCUGGUCUCAUCUUCACUAUGAUCUUCCACCCCAACGUCGUUCCAAUUGUUCAUCCAUGUUAGUUUUGUAUCUGGUUCUUGCUUGUUGCCUCGAUUACUUCUUAAUCCACCUAUUCUGUCUAACUAAUCACAAUUUAACUUUAGAAGUAGCAACGAAUCUCUCACGAAGAUGCUACUUCUAACUAAUAUUUUCUUAUAAUUGGUGGCACGUGUAGGUUUUUUCAGAGUUAAGCAGUCUGCUCGUUUGUUACUCUGUAAUAACUCGGCUGUUACUAAUGGCACUGAAGUUGACUGGAUCGACAUCCACAAGUUCCUACACUUUAUUGAUCGUCUUGAGGUCCUUGUGGGGUGUUUCAAUGGUGGAAGGCCACGUGGGAUAUGUGUGCCACUGCUGCACUCGUUGAACAGGUCCAACUGUGUCGAGAAACUUAUGGUACGAGUUGUUUUCUGUUAUAUAUGUUGUUCAUAAACUAUUGCUUAUACACAGUUUUACAGUUGCGAUCUUCUUGAAACAGGAACUGCCCAGUUCUAUUGUUCCUAUACAGAUGCCUGACCAUGGUCGGGUCAGACUUGCGCUUGGUCACAACAUGAUGUUUAUGUCGACCUACUCAAUUCCCCUUGGAGGUGAAAAGAUACUUAUUCGUGGGUGGUCUAAAAUAAUGAAGGCCCGUCCAUCUUGAAGAAUAGGACAGAAGAUUAUGUUCAUGCUUUUCCAUUGCUCUAAAGCGAAUAUCUUGUUUAUUGACCACGUUGCGAGAUGAAGCCGCUUUCAGAAGGUUGUGGAUGCGCGGGGUGGCACGUGGGCCUUGUCCUAGGGCUUGGCGGCCUCACCCUUGGUUAACUGUAGGCAAAGUAGCACUAUUCGAGGCGUGCUUUGUACGGUUGAACUUGUAUAUGUACUCAUACUGCUUUUAGCUUUGGUUGUUAAGUGCCCCUGGUGGUUUCAGUUAAGGUUGUCAAGUACUCCUACUGCUUUUACAGUCUGUCGUGUUUCUUCAGUCCUGUCUUCCUCCAGCCGCCAAAACCAAACUAGCGCCGGCGGGGCCGCCUGCUUCCGCCUCCCACAGCUGGCUGCACCUCAGCGCACACAUCGCCGCCCCACCGUCUCCUAAAUCGUUAAUGCCGACGUCCUCCGCGCGCUUUGGUGCGCUCACCGCGGCGCCGCCCUCUUGUGUUGUCAACAUGGUCAACAAACAACAGGAAUCGGCAGAAGUACAUGGAGAGGAUGACAGUAGGGGCCCACCACGUCAGCGUAUGGACAAAAUAAAAUGCUUCCUCCUAGUGUUUUCCUGACAUCUGGGACCCACGACAUUGUGAGCGUAUAUAGUCAAUAGACAAGAGAACAACACAAGAUCAGCUGACACCUAGGACGUAGCUACUCAAGCAGUAUUGUUUUGUUUGGUAUUGUUGAGACGGAGCAGGGUUUGAACUGGGCUGUGGCCUGUCUAGCCCAGGCUUAUAUUUUAUGUUCACCAUGUGACCAGCCCAGCUAUUUUUUCUUUGUGAAAAUGAGCCCAGUUUAUUUUUUCUGAAGAAUACCCAAUCCAGGCCUACUUAUUUUUCUAUGCCCUGAUGGGCUGCAACUCUUUCAAGAUGCCUGCAAAUCUUGAAAGUAAUAUGAAAUGGGUUGUAAAUAUAAAAACAGAUGACAAAUUGGCAAUUACUUUAUAAUUUCUAAAUUUUUUUCACAUUUUUAGAUUCCUAUUUCACUGGGCAUUAACCUAAUUUAAAUAUAUCUUCAAAGUACUUUAAGUCUGGCUCGACAUUUCGGUAUUAAAAAUAGUUUGGAACCCACAGAAAUAUGCGAAAUUGGCCCUGGCCAACCAAAAAAACGACUGCAAUAAAUUGCAUAAGAAGUUGCCAUGAGCUAUAUAUAAAUUAUUAAAAAAAGAGGGAGUGGUCUGACUUGUGGGCCUGUUUAGUUGACGCAUAUGCAAGAUUUUUUUAGUUAUUAUAUAUCACGUCAACAAACGAUUCUAGCAGAUGUAACAGUUGAAUGUCAAUCCAACGGCCGUCGUGUUUCUUCAAUCUCUGAUCUUCUUGCUCCAGCCGCCAAAGCAGUGCUGGCGGGACCGCCUCCCGCCUCCUGGGGCCGGUUGUGCUGCCGCGCAGGCCUCAGCGCCCGCUACUACUCCCACCGCUGGCCAGGGCAUCCCUCUACUCACCCACACCCCCUAUUAUUCUGCGGCGCCGGCAACCUCACACCGCAGCCGAACCGGUGAACCCUCGUACUCCUCUUCGCGCGGGCUUCCACUGCCGCGUCUUCCCCGGCUCCAUGUCGUCCCCUUCCUAGGCCUCGCCAUCGUCCACCGCCGUGGUGCUCUCGGCGCGGCGUGGUCAAUGUGGUCAACGUCCGACUUCCAUUGGAAGAGUACUGUACGUGGAGAGGCUGACAGUUGGGUCCGCGGCAGCCGCAAGGAAGUGCCUCCUUAUUACACAAAAAAUAAUUAUUCCUCCACCUGAUAGCAGGGACCCACCGGACGAGCCACCAGUAUUUCGCGUAAAAAAUGUUUCCCCCUGACUGCUGGGACCCACAAGACGAGCCACCGUAUUUCGUGAAAAAAACAUUCCCCCCGCUGUCAGCUCAGACCCACCGGAAGUGCCUCCUUAUUACGCACAAAAAAAUGAAUACCCCCUGCUAGCUGGGACCAACCUUGGUGGGAGGCUGACUCGUGGGCCUACUAAGUUGACUGGGAUGGAGGCCUUUGUCAACUUUAGUCAAUAUAUGAACGAUUCUAGCUCCAGUGACCGUAUGAUGUCCAUCCAACGGCCGUAGUGCUUCUUCAACCUCUGGUCUUCUUGCUCCAGCCGCCCAAAGCAGCACCGGUCGUGUCGCCUGCUCCUGCCGCCCGUGGCCGGCUGUGAUGCCGCAGAGGCCUCACCACCCCUACUACUACCACCGCUGGCCAGGCCAUCCCACUACGCACCCACACCCCCUGUUAUUCUGUGGUGACGGCAGCCUCACACAAUAGCCGAACGAGUGAACCCUGAUACUCCUCUAUGCGUGGGCAUCCACUGUCGCGUCUUCCCCGGCUCCGCGCCAUCCCCUUCCUAGGCCUUGUCGUCGUCCACCACCCUGGUGCUCUCGGCGCGGCGUGGUCAACAUGGUCAAGGAAUAGCUUCCAUCGGAUGUGGACUGUACGUGGAGAGGCUGACAGCUGGGUCCACAACCACAGCAAGGAAGUGCCUCCUUGUUACGCGCAAAAUAAUUAUUCCUCCACCUGACAGCGGGGACCCACCGGACGGGCCACCGUAUUUCAUGAAAAAAACGUUCCCCCCUAUCUGCUAGGACCCACCAGCUACAUCUUCGCACUCAAGGAAGUGCAUCCGGAAAAAAAAUGAUUCGCCCCCCUGACUGCUAGGACCCACCAGCUACAUCUUCGCACGCAAGGAAGUGCUUCCGGGCAAAAAAAAUGAUUCGCCCCGUGACUGCUGGGACCCACCAACUACAUCUUCGCACGCAAGGAAGUGCGUCCGGGCAAAAAAACAAAACGAUUCGCCCCCCUGACUGCUGGGACCCACCAGCUACAUCUUCGCAGGCAAGGAAGUGCCUGACAGUCGGGACCCACCUGGUCGAAGCGUACGUAGCGUUGUCAUUCUGGUCGCGAACGUGUACGUACAUACUGGUCGAUGUAGAGGCGCGCACGUGUUGUAGUAGAGGCACGCAUGUGUCGUAGUAGAGGCGCGCACGUAGCAUGUACACGUAUGUACAUCGGCGAGGGUGCAAGAAAGAAAAUACGGCCACAUACGUACAUACGGGCAGGGUCUCGAACGCCUACUCGCGCAUACGUACAUGGCUGGGUCGGAACGGAGAAACAGCGUCGUCGUCGUGUUCAUGGGGAGCCAACCGGCUGGGUUGGAAUGGAAUGCGUGCUCGUGUUCAUCGGGAGGGCUUGGACGGAACAGGCAAUGGAAACGAGGCCUGGUGUACUGCACAACGGAGGAAACAGACCUCCUACGUCUGUUGAUCGGGAGGGGUGUGGCGUACCGCAAAACGGAGGAAACGGACCUCCUACGGUCGAAACGGGGGUCCUAUUGAUCGGGAGGGGUGUGGCGUACCGCAAAACAGACAAAACGGACUUGUGUUGGAGCGCUACGGUCGAAACGGGGGUCCUGUUCAUCGGGAGGGGUGUAGCGUACCGCAAAACGGGACACCACGGGAUACUGUGCAUCUCCACCGUCGACCUCCUCCAGCCUCCACGGGCUACCGUCGACCUCCUCCUGCCUCCACGGGCUCCUGUUCAUCCAGCCUCCACCGCGCGCUACUCCAUGAGCUACUGUUCAACCACCCCUCCACCGUUUGCUGUUCAUCCAGCCCUCCACCAUCUACUGUUCAUCCAGCCCUCCACACCACGGGGUCUUGUUCAACCACCCCUCCACGACCACCCCUCCACCAUCUAUUGUUCAUCCAGCCCUCCACACCAUGGGGUCCUGUUCANNNNNNNNNNNNNNNNNNNNNNNNNNNNNNNNNNNNNNNNNNNNNNNNNNNNNNNNNNNNNNNNNNNNNNNNNNNNNNNNNNNNNNNNNNNNNNNNNNNNNNNNNNNNNNNNNNNNNNNNNNNNNNNNNNNNNNNNNNNNNNNNNNNNNNNNNNNNNNNNNNNNNNNNNNNNNNNNNNNNNNNNNNNNNNNNNNNNNNNNNNNNNNNNNNNNNNNNNNNNNNNNNNNNNNNNNNNNNNNNNNNNNNNNNNNNNNNNNNNNNNNNNNNNNNNNNNNNNNNNNNNNNNNNNCGCUCACUGCUCAUCCAAUCGAUUGGCUUCAGUUAGCAGCAGUAGCGAAGGAAUCGCUCCAUCGGGUUCAGUUAACAGCCAUCAAUCGAUCGCUCGGGUUCAGUAAUGCGUAGUCUGCAGUGCAAUCGCUCGGGUUCAGUUAGAGCCCAACGCCUCGCUCGGGUUUAGUUAGAGCCAACGCCUCGCACACACGCGCGUACGUGUAUGAGAGAAAUGCGCAUCGCUCGGCCCCCAACUUCCCACCGUAACCGAAAACUCCCCGAAAUUUUCCUCCCCCUCGCUUCUACCAUGGUUUUUUCUGUCAUGGACGGCCCAAAGAAUGUCAUGCAGCUGCGUCUCCGGCCUGCCCAGGACGAAAAGCCCAUUUUCUGUCAUGAUUUUUUGUCAUAGAAGUAGGAGCCCACCACAUCUAUGAUGAUACCGGGUUUUGUCACAAUUAUCGUCAUAGAAGUGUCAUAUGUAUGACAGAAAAAAAAUUCGUUCGGCCUAAUAUGUCACGGAUGUGUCUUUUUUUUGUAGUGUGUUAUGCGGUUUGACCGAUAAAGAUUUUCGUAGAAUAUGUAGGAACCAAUAUGACCAUCCAGGUUCUGCUAUUGGUUAUUGACCGGAGAAGUGUCUCGGUCAUGUCUACAUAGUUCUCGAACCCGUAGAGUCCGCGCGCUUAAUGUUCGAUGAUGAUUUGUAUUAUGAGUUAUGUGAUUUGGUGUACCGAAGGUAGUUUAGAGUCUCGGAUGAGAUCAUGGACAUGACGAGGAGUCUCGAAAUGGUCGAGUCAUAAAGAUCAAUAUAUUGGAAGGCUAUAUUCGGACAUCGGAAAGGUUCCAAGUGAUUCGGGUAUUUUUCGGAGUACUGGAGAGUUACGGGAAUUCGUGUUGGGCCUUAAUGGGCCAUACGGGAAAGGAGAGAAAGGCCUCAAGGGUGGCCGCGCCCCUUCCCCAUGGACUGGUCCGAAUUGGACUAGGGAAGGGGGCCAGCCCCUUCCUUCCUUCUCCUUCUCCCUUCCACUUUUCCUAUUCCAUGUGGGAGGUGGAACUCCACACUUUGGGCACGCCCUAUGAGGGCCGGCCUCCUCCUCCCUCCAUCCUUUAUAUACGUGGCCAGGAGGCACCCCAUAGACACACAAGUUGAUCAUUGAUCUCUUAGCCGUGUGCGGUGCCCCCCUCCACCAUAAUCCACCUCAGUCAUAUCGUCGUAGUGCUUAGGCAAAGCCUUGUGCCGGUAGCUUCAUCAUCACUGUCAUCACGCCAUCGUGCUAACGAAGCUCUCCCUCGACACUCUGCUGGAUCGUGAGUUCGUGGGACGUCACCAAGCUGAACGUGUGCAGAUCAUGGAGGUGUCUGAUAACCCAUAAGUGUAGGGGAUCGCAACAGCUUUCGAGGGUAAAGUAUUCAACCCAAAUUUAUUGAUUCGACACAAAGGGAGCCAAAGAAUAUUAUUGACUAUUAGCAGUUGAGUUGUCAAUUCAACCACACCUGGAUAACUUAGUAUCUGCAGCAAAGUAUUUAGUAGCAAAGUAGUAUGAUAAUAAAGGUAACAGUGGCAAAAGUAAAGAUGAUAGUUUUGUAGGAACUGUAACAAUAGCAACUGAAAAGUAAAUAAGCGAAACACAAGAUGUGAAAAGCUCAUAGGCAUUGGAUCAGUGAUGGAUAAUUAUUGGAUGCGAUUCCUCAUGUAAUAGUUAUAACAUAGGGUGACACAGAACUAGCUCUAGUUCAUCAAUAUAAUGUAGGCAUGUAUUCCGAAUAUAGUCAUACGUGCUUAUGGAAAAGAACUUGCAAGACAUAUUUUGUCCUACCCUCCCGUGGCAGCGGGGUCCUAGCGGAAACUAAGGGAUAUUAAGGCCUCCUUUUAAUAGAGAUCCGGAACAAAGCAUUAGCACAUAGUGAAUACAUGAACUCCUCAAACUACGGUCAUCACCGAGAAGUAUCCCGAUUAUUGUCACAUCGGGGUUGUCGGAUCAUAACACAUAACAGGUGACUAUAGACUUAUAAGAUAGGAUCAAGAACACACAUAUAUUCAUGAAAACAUAAUAGGUUCAGAUCUGAAAUCAUCGCACUCGGGCCCUAGUGACAAGCAUUAAGCAUAGCAAAGUCAUAGCAACAUCAAUCUCAGAACACAGUGGAUACUAGGGAUCAAACCCUAACAAAACUAACUUGAUUACAUGAUAAAUCUCAUCCAACCUAUCACCGUCCAGCAAGCCUAUGAUAGAAUUACUCACGCACAGCGGUGAGCAUCAUGAAAUUGGUGAUGGAAGAUGGUUGAUGAUGACAACAGCGACGAAUCCCCCUCUCCAGAGCCCCGAACGGACUCCAGAUCAGCCCUCCCGAGAGAGAUUAGGGCUUGGCGGUGGCUCCAUAUCAUAAAAUGCAAUGAAACUUUCUCUCUGAUUUUUUUCUCCGCGAAACGGAAUAUAUGGAGUUGGAGUUGAGGUCGGUGGAGCCUCAGGGGGCCCACGAGAUAGGGGGCACGCCUAGGGGGGUGGGCGCGCCCCCACCCUCGUGGACAGGGUGUGGGCCCCCUGGUCUUGAUUCUUUCGCGAGUAUUUUUUAUAUUUUCCAAAACUUGUCUCCGUGGAUUUUCAGGUCAUUCCGAGAACUUUUGUUUUCUACACAUAAAACAACAUCAUGGCAGUUCUACCGAAAACAGUGUCAGUCCGGGUUAGUUUCAUUCAAAUCAUGCAAGUUAGAGUCCAAAACAAGGGCAAAAGUGUUUGGAAAAGUAGAUACGUUGGAGACGUAUCAACUCCCCCAAGCUUAAACCUUUGCUUGUCCUCAAGCAAUUCAGUUGAUAAACUGAAAGUGAUAAAGAAAUACUUUUACAAACCCUGUUUGCUCUUGUUGUUGUAAACAUGCAAAGCCAGCAUUCAGGUUUCAGCAAAUAUUAUGAACUAACCAUACUCACAAUAACACCUAGGUGUCACAAUUACUCAUAUCAAUGGCAUAAUCAGCUAACGAGCCAUAAUAAUAAAACUCGGAUGACAACACUUCCUCAAAACAAUCAUAACAUGAUAUAACAAAAUGGUAUCUCGCUAGCCCUUUCUGAGACCGCAAAACAUAAAUGCAGAGCACCUUUAAAGAUCAAGGACUGACUAAACAUUGUAAUUCAUGGUAAAAGAGAUCCAAUCAAGUCAUGCCCAAUAUAAACUAAUAAUAAUGAAUGCAAAUGAUAGUGUGCUCUCUAGCGGGUGCUUUUUAAUAAGAGGGAUGAUGACUCAACAUAAAAGUAAAUAGAUAGGCCCUUCACAGAGGGGAGCAGGGAUUUGUAGAGGUGCCAGAGCUCAAUUUUAAAAUAAAGAUUGAAUAACAUUUUGAGCGGCAUACUUUCACUGUCAACGCAACAACUAUGAGAUGGCUAUAUCUUCCAUACUACAUGCAUUAUAGGCAGUUCCCAAACAGAAUGGUAAAAGUUUAUACUCCCCACCACCAACAAGCCUCAAUCCAUGGCUUGCUCGAAACAACGAGUGCCUCCAACUAAUAACAGCCCUGGGGGAGUUUUGUUUAAUUAUAUUGAUUUGCCUUGAUCUUUUUGGAUCAUGGGACUGGGCAUCCCGGUUACCGGUCCUUUCUCGUGAAUGAGGAGCGGAGUCCACUCCUCUUGAGAAUAACCCACCUAGCAUGGAAGAUAUAGGCAGCCCUAGUUGAAACAUGAGCUGCUCGAGCAUACAAAACAGAAUUUCAUUUGAGGGUUUGGAGUUUGGCACAUACAAAUUUACUUGGAACAGCAGGUAAAUACCGCAUAUAGGAAGGUAUGGUGGACUCAUUGGAAAAACUUUGGGGUUUAAGGAGUUUGGAUGCACAAGCAGUAUUCCCGCUUAGUACAGGUGAAGGCUAGCAAAAGACUGGGAAGCGACCAACUGAGAGAGCGACAACAGUCAUGAAUAUGCAUUAAAAUUAAUUCACACCGAGUACAAGCAUGAGUAGGAUAUAAUCCACCAUGAACAUAAAUAUCGUGAAGGCUAUGUUGAUUUGUUCAACUACAUGCGUGAACAUGUGCCAAGUCAAGUCACUUAGUUUAUUCAAAGGAGGAUACCAUCCCAUCAUACCACAUCACAAUCAUUCUAAUAGCAUGUUGGCACGCAAGGUAAACCAUUAUAACUCAUAGCUAAUCAAGCAUGGCACAAGCAACUAUAAUCUCUAAAUGUCAUUGCAAAUAUGUUUACUUCAUAAUAAGCUGAAUCAGGAACGAUGAACUCAUCAUAUUUACAAAAACAAGAGAGGUCGAGUUCAUACCAGUUUCUCCCAUCUCAAUUAGUCCAUCAUAUAUUGUCAUUAUUGCCUUUCACUUGCACGACCGAACGAUGUGUAUAAUAAUAAUAGUGCAUGUGCAUUGGACUAAGCUGGAAUCUGCAAGCAUUCAACUCAAGAGAGAAGACAAAGUAAUAUGGGCUCUAAGUUAAAUAAACAAUCAUGCAUAUGAGAGCCAUUAAACAUUUUCAAUAUGGUCUUCUACUCUCGACCCCAAAGGAAAGAAAAGAAAAUAAAACUAUUUACAUGGGAAAGCUCCCAACAAGUAAGAAGAAAAACGAGAAAUCUUUUUGGGUUUUCAUUUUAAUUCUACUACAAGCAUGGAAAUUAAACUAACUAAAUUUUUUGGUUUUUCUUAAGGUUUAUCAAACACACAAGAAGAAAACUAAAAAAGAAAAUUAAACUAGCAUGGGUAAUACAAUGAAAGAGUAUGAGCACCGACAACUAGAAUUGUGUGUGAACAUGAAUAUAAAGUCUGUGAGAAAUACGUACUCCCCCAAGCUUAGGCUUUUGGCCUAAGUUGGUCUAAUGCCACGGCCGUCUCCUCCGGAUCCCAGUGGUAAGAUGAUGCUCGAUAAGGGUCCAGUGCAGGUUCCGGCUCAGGCUCAGGUUCUGGAGUGGAUGCUUGGCCUCGAUGAGCGUACACUGCUUCCGGUGUGACAAGAAAAUUAUAUGCAAUCAAAUCGAAUAACAGAGGCGCAGGCAAAAUAAUAGUCUCAUUGUGUUUCUUAUUAAAUCUUUGGUUAUAUAAGAGCAUCUUAUCUUCGUUGUCAACAAUGAACUCAUGUGCUACCAUGUUCUUGUAAUCUAAAAUGUAAGGAGGCAAUUUUGUCUCCUCUUUCUCAUGGUGCCUAAUAGGUAUCUCAAAAUGUCUAGCAAGACGUGCAGCAUAGAUACCUCCAAAGAUGGGGCCUUUUGUACGAUUCAGGCUUAGCUGUUCAGCGAUAACGGCACCCAUACUAAAACUAUUAUCUCCGAACAAGGCAUGGUGAAGAAUAAUAAUAUCAGGAACAUUGAAGUUUCCACUAUUUCCACGACCAAUCAAGCAUCUACUAGCAAAUAUGGCAAAGUAGUGUAAAACAGGAAAGUGUAUGCUAGAGAUUCUCGCAUCGGAACCCUUCUUUGGAUCCCCUACAGUGAUAGUGUUAACAAAGCCAUCCACAUCCCUACGAUGUGGUUCCUCUAAUUUUCCCUCAAAGGGUAUCCCACAUACCGCGCAAAAAUUACGUAAAGACAUUUCCCUGAAUUCAUCAUAUAAAUGAAAUGAUACUGAAGGCGGUGACCUUAGGAUAAUAAUAAAAGUUUUGCACGAAAGUAUUGGUGAGUAAGAGAUACUGAUCGAUUCGGUCGUGGAGGAAAUCGGUGAGGCCUGCAUUCUCGGUCAAAGAAUAAAAAUCUUCAUAAAUUCCAGCUUCUCUCAAGAAAUUAUCGCAUGGUCAUUCACACGGCCGUACUUCCGCUAUGCGAGGAAGAUUAUACUUGGCCUUUUCCUUCUCUUUAGCUUGUUUUUCCUGGGGGGGGGGCCUUGGCUAGAAGAGCCCCUCAAAAAUCUCCUUAACAUUUUUCUGAAAAAUUCUGAAAUUUUAGUAACUUCAAAAAUAAAAGUGAAUAAAACUAAACAAGAUUGAUAGCCACUACUCCUACAAUUGCCUAGAGCCUAUAUCAUGCAUUAGAAUUACUUGGGACCUCAUAAAUUUAACAUGCNNNNNNNNNNAAAGGGUAUCCCACAUACCGCGCAAAAAUUACGUAAAGACAUUUCCCUGAAUUCAUCAUAUAAAUGAAAUGAUACUGAAGGCGGUGACCUUAGGAUAAUAAUAAAAGUUUUGCACGAAAGUAUUGGUGAGUAAGAGAUACUGAUCGAUUCGGUCGUGGAGGAAAUCGGUGAGGCCUGCAUUCUCGGUCAAAGAAUAAAAAUCUUCAUAAAUUCCAGCUUCUCUCAAGAAAUUAUCGCAUGGUCAUUCACACGGCCGUACUUCCGCUAUGCGAGGAAGAUUAUACUUGGCCUUUUCCUUCUCUUUAGCUUGUUUUUCCUGGGGGGGGGGGCCUUGGCUAGAAGAGCCCCUCAAAAAUCUCCUUAACAUUUUUCUGAAAAAUUCUGAAAUUUUAGUAACUUCAAAAAUAAAAGUGAAUAAAACUAAACAAGAUUGAUAGCCACUACUCCUACAAUUGCCUAGAGCCUAUAUCAUGCAUUAGAAUUACUUGGGACCUCAUAAAUUUAACAUGCAAGCUCAAGAACAUGGUCACCUUUGCAGUAAAAUAUUGCAAUGAAUAAAGCACUAGAGCAAAAACUAAUUGGACCAAUAGAGGAGUCACAUACCAAGCAACAAUCUCCCAAAGCAGUUUUGUGAAUGGAGCUUUGAGCAAGGAGAUCGAAAUCGCAGCAAAAUGAGCUAGAACUCGUGCUUGAGCUGGAUGGGGAUUUUUUUGGUAAGAAGAUGGAGUGUGUGGGUGCUAGCAUAAGUGGAGGGGGCCCAUCAUGGGCCCACGAGGCAGGGGGCGCGCCCAGGGGGUGUGGGCGGGCCCUCCACCCUCGUGGCCUAGUGCUUGCCCCUCCUGCAGUGAUUUUAGUGCCUAAAAUCCUUAAAUAUUCCACAAAAAAUCAUACUAAAUUUGCAGGUCAUUUGGAGCACUUCUAUUUUCGGGAUAUUUUUUAUUGUACGGAUAAUUCAGAAAAUAGACAGAUAAUACUAUUUUUGCUUUAUUUAUUCUAAAUAACAGAAAGUAAAAAGAGGAUAUAGAAGGUUGUGCCUUCUAGUUUCAUCCAUCUCAUGAUCAUCAAAAUGAAUCCACUAACAAGGUUGAUCAAGUCUUGUUAACAAACUCAUUCCGAAUAACACGGAACCGGAGAAAUUUCGAAUAACACUAAGUUACCUCAAUGGGGAUAUGAACAUCCCCAACAAUAAGAAUAUCAUAGUUUUUCUUGACAGUAGGGAGAGGAAAUUAAAAACCUCCAAUAAUGAUAGUUGGAACUUUUCCAAUAGAAUUGAUGCUAUGAACUUGGGAUUGUUUCCUCGGAAAGUGUACCGUAUGAUCAUUACCAUUAACAUGAAAAGUGACAUUGCCUUUGUUGCAAUCAAUAAGAGCCCGUGCAGUAUUCAAAAAGGGUCUAUUAAGGAUAAUCGACAUACUAUCGUCCUCGGGAAUAUCAAGAAUAACAAAGUCCGUUAAGAUAGUGACAUUUGCAACCACAACAGGCACAUCCUCACAAAUACCGACAGGUAUAGCAGCUGAUUUAUCAGCCAUUUGCAAAGAUAUUUCAGUAGGUGUCAACUUAUUCAAUUCAAGUCUACGAUAUAAAGAGAGAGGCAUAACACUAACACCGGCUCCAAGAUCACAUAAAGCAGUUUUAACAUAGUUUCUUUUAAUGGAGCAUGGUAUGGUUGGUACCCCGGGAUCUCCAAGUUUCUUUGGUAUUCCACCUUUAAAAGUGUAAUUAGAAAGCAUGGUGGAAAUUUCAGCUUUCGGUAUCUUUCUUUUGUUUGUAAUGAUAACCUUCAUAUAUUUAGCAUAAGGGUUUACUUUAAGCAUAUCAGUUAAGCACAUACGUAAGAAGAUAGGUCUAAUCAUUUCAGCAAAGCGCUCGAAAUCCUCAUCAUUCUUUGUCUUGGAUGGUUUAGGAGGAAAGAGCAUGGGUUUCUGAACCCAUGAUUCUCUUUCUCUACCGUGCUUCCUAGCAACAAAAUCUCUCUUAUCAUAACGUUGAUUCUUUGAUUGUGGGUUAUCAAGAUCAACAACAGGUUCAAUCUCUACUUCAUUAUUUUUGCUAGGUUGAGCAUCAACAUGAUCAUUAUCAUUAACAUUAUCACUAGGUUCAUGUUCAUCACCUGAUUGUGUUUCAGCAUCAGAAACAGAAAUAUAAUUGGGAUUCUCAGGUGUGUCUACAACAGGUUCACUAGAAGCAUGCAAAGUCCUAUAGUUCUUCUUUUUCUUCUUUUUAGAAGAACUAAGUGCCUCUAAAUUAUUUCUCUGAGAAUCUUGCUCGAUUCUCUUAGGGUCGCCUUCAGGAUACAAAGGUUCCUGAGUCAUUCUACCAGUUCUAGUAGCCACUCUAACUGCAAGGUCAGGUUUAUUAUUUAAUUCAUCAAGCAAAUCGCUUUGAGCUUUAAGUACUUGCUCAGCUUGAGUGAUAACCAUAGAAGCAUAUUUGCUAAUGAGUUUAAGUUCACCUUUAACUCUAGCCAUAUAAUCACUCAAGCGUCCUAUCUCGAAAGCAUUAUUCUUUAAUUCUCUACCAACAUAAGCAUUAAAACUUUCUUGUCUAGCCAUAAAAUCAUCAAAUUCAUCUAAGCAUGGGCUAUGAAAUUUAGUAGAGGGAAUUUCAACUUUAUCAUAUCUGUAGAGAGAAUUAACCUUUACUACCUGUGUCGGGUUAUCAAGACAAUGUGGUUCUUCGACAGGUGGUAUAUUAAGACCAUGUAUUUCUUCUAUAGGAGGUAAAUUCUUAACAUCUUCAGCUUUUAUACCUUUUUCUUUUAUUGAUUUCUUUGCCUCUUGCAUAUCUUCAGGACUGAGAAAUAGAACACCUCUCUUCUUCGGAGUGGGUUUAGGAAUAGGCUCAGGAGUUGGCUCAAUUGGUUCAGGAAUUGCCUCAGGAAUUGGCUCAGGAAGAGUCCAAUUAUUUUCAUUAGUCAACAUAUUAUUCAAUAGUAAUUCAGCUUCGUCGACUGUUCUUUUCCUGAAAACACAACCAGCACAACUAUCCAAGUAGUCCUUGGAAGCAUCAGUUAGUCCAUUAUAAAAGAUAUCAAGUAUUUCAUUUUAAGAGGAUGAUCAGACAAAGCAUUAAGUAAUCGGAGAAGCCUCCCCCAAGCUUGUGGGAGACUCUCUUCUUUGAUUUGCACAAAAUUAUAUAUUUCCCGCAAGGCAGCUUGUUUCUUAUGAGCAGGGAAAUAUUUAGUAGAGAAGUAAUAAAUCAUAUCCUGGGGACUACGCACACAGCCAGGAUCAAGAGAACUAAACCAAGUCUUAGCAUCACCCUUUAAUGAGAACGGAAAUAUCUUAAGGAUAUAAUAAUAGCGAGACUUCUCAUCAUUAGUAAACAGGGUGGCUAUAUCAUUCAACUUGGUAAGAUGUGCCACAACAGUUUCAGAUUCAAGGCCAUAAAAAGGAUCAGAUUCAACCAAAGUAAUAAUCUCAGGAUCAACAGAGAAUUCAUAAUCCUUUUCAGUAACACAGAUAGGUAAAGUAGCAAAAGCAGGGUCAGGUUUCAUUCUAGCAUUAAGAGAUUGCUGCUUCCAUUUAGCUAAUAACUUUUUAAGAUCAUAUCUAUCUUUACAAGCAAAGAUAGCUCUAGCAGCUUCCUCUUCCAUAACAUAACCCUCAGGAACAACAGGUAAUUCAUAAUCAGGGGGAGAACUUUCAUCAUCACUAUCAUCAAUAAUAGCAUCUUCAAUAAUUUCAUUCUCUCUAACCCUAACAAGUUAUUCAUCAAGAAAUUCACCUAAUGGCAAAGUGGUAUCACGCACAGAAGUAGUUUCAUCAUAAGUAUCAUGCAUAGCAGAAGUGGCAUCAUCAAUAACAUGCGACAUAUCAGAAUUCAUAGCCGUAGCAGGUUUAGGUGUCGCAAACUUACUCAAAACAGAAGGAGAUUCUAGUGCAGAGCUAGAUGGCAGUUCCUUACCUCCCCUCGUAGUUGAGGGAAAAAUCUUGGUUCUUUCGUCUUUCAAGUUCCUCAUAGUGAUCAACAGAUAUAAAUCCCAAGUGACUCAAAGAAUAGAGCUAUGCUCCCCGGCAACGGCGCCAGAAAUUAGUCUUGAUAACCCACAAGUGUAGGGGAUCGCAACAGCUUUCGAGGGUAAGUAUUCAACCCAAAUUUAUUGAUUCGACACAAGGGGAGUCAAAGAAUAUUAUUGAGUAUUAGCAGUUGAGUUGUCAAUUCAACCACACCUGGAUUACUUAGUAUCUGCAGCAAAGUAUUUAGUAGCAAAGUAGUAUGAUAAUAGAGGUAACAAUGGCAAAAGUAAAGAUAAUAGUUUUGUAGGAAUUGUAACAAUAGCAACUGAAAAGUAAAUAAGCAAAACACAAGAUGUGAAAAGCUCGUAGGCAUUGGAUCAGUGAUGGAUAAUUAUAUCGGAUGCGAUUCCUCAUGUAAUAAUUAUAACAUAGGAUGACAUAGAACUAGCUCCAGUUCAUCAAUGUAAUGUAGGCAUGUAUUCCGAAUAUAGUCAUACGUGCUUAUGGAAAAGAACUUGCAUGACAUCUUUUGUCCUACCCUCCCGUGGCAGCGGGGUCCUAGCAGAAACUAAGGUAUAUUAAGGCCUCAUUUUAAUAGAGAACCGGAACAAAGCAUUAGCACAUAGUGAAUACAUGAACUGCUCAAACUACGGUCUUCACUGAGAAAGUAUCCCGAUUAUUGUCACUUCGGGGUUGUCGGAGCAUAACACAUAAUAGGUGACUAUAGACUUGUAAGAUAGGAUCAAGAACACACAUAUAUUCAUGAAAACAUAAUAGGUUCAGAUAUGAAAUCAUGGCACUCGGGCCCUAGUGACAAGCAUUAAGCAUGGCAAAGUCAUAUCAACAUCAAUCUCAAAACAUAGUGGAUACUAGGGAUCAAACCCUAACAAAACUAACUUGAUUACAUGAUAAAUCUCAUCCAACCCAUCACCGUCCAGCAAGCCUGCGAUAGAAUUACUCACGCACGGCGGUGAGCAUCAUGAAAUUGGUGAUGGAAGAUGGUUGAUGAUGACGACGACGACGAAUCCCCCUCUCCGGAGCCCCGAACGGACUCCAGACCAGCCCUCCCGAGAGAGAUUAGGACUUGGCGGCGGCUCCGUAUCGUAAAACGCGAUGAAACUUUCUCUCUGAUUUUUUCCUCCGUGAAACAGAAUACAUGGAGUCGGAGGUGAGGUCGGUGGAGCCUCAAGGGGCCCACGAGACAGGGGGGUGGGCGCGCCCCCACCCUCGUGGAUAGGGUGUGGGCCCCCUGGUCUUGAUUCUUUCGCGAGUAUUUUUUAUAUUUUCCAAAACUUGUCUCCGUGGAUUUUCAGGUCAUUCCGAGAACUUUUGUUUUCUACACAUAAAACAACAUCAUGGCAGUUCUGUUGAAAACAGCGUCAGUCCGGGUUAGUUUCAUUGAAAUCAUGCAAGUUAGAGUCCAAAACAAGGGUAAAAGUGUUUGGAAAAGUAGAUACGUUGAAGACGUAUCAGUGUCGUACGUUCGGUACUAGGAUCGGUCAAUCGUGAAGACGUACGACUACAUCAAACGCGUUGUCAUAACGCUUCCGCUUACGAUCUACGAGGGUACGUGGAUAACACUCUUCCCUCUCGUUGUCAUGCAUCACCAUGAUCUUGCGUGUGUGUAGGAAAAUUUUGAAAUUACUACGUUCCCCAACAGGAGAAACCCCCUUGACUCCAAAAAUAUAUAUUAUAUACUAUAAGUUACUAUUUACAUGAUUUUUGCCUUCAAUUUUAUUUCCUUUUUUGCCCUAAAGUUAGAGGGUUUUUUCCUUCGCCAAUUUUUUUACGAGUACAAUAGAAACAUUUUCAAUUUUCAUGACCCUUUUUAAUUACUAUAUUUUACAUAUAGGGUGUAUAUACACCCAGGAACCAAACGUUCCUGUCCGCCUGCGCUCCUAUCACCCCAGGUCUCCACCCUACUUGUGUGGCUUUGCCGCUUUAAAAGGUCUCCCAGUGCAACUUUUGAGUUCCCAAGCGAUUCGAGCUAUCCAGCUGACACCGGUUUAAACUGUUUUUGACAUGUCAAAAAGAGAUUAUUUGAAGUUUUCAGUAUUUAUUUGGAAUUUAUUGUUCAUGAUGUACGGUGGUAUGGGAGUAGACGAGCUCUAGUUCCAAAAUGCUGUGUCCGCUAACAAAAAUGCCAAAUGGAGGCCAAGCUCCACAAAGAUUAUAAUAAUAAAAAGAUCAAAGUUAUACUUUUACAUUUCAAUUCUGUUUAAAAAAAUUACACAUAUAUCCAGAGAUAAUAUGUAUACGUGUGUAAACUUUAUGAUGAAAUAUGUUAAAAUGUGAGUUAGACAAAUAAAUAAGGCCUUUUGGAGGAAUUUCGCAUGAAUUCUAUAGGAUACGAUUCUUAUAGGAUUUUUUUUCUUUAGAGCCCUUUGGUUCAUAGGAAUUGAUUCCUAUUCCUACAUUGGAUUGAUUCCUAUCCUCCACAUUUCGAAGGAAAAUAAACAUGAGCCUAGUCUCAAUGAAAGCAUUCCUAUGAUGUGAACCAAAUGAAAUCUCUUUUCCUAAUACUACUCAUAAAAUUUCAGAUACAUUUCAUCUCAUUUCAUACAAGUUUCCUAUUCGUAUGAUAAUCCUAUCCUAUGAACCAAAAGAGGCCUAAAUAUGUGGCUUUUCAGCACAUGUACUACUGUUCAUUCUCGGAGUCCAUAAGGUAUUCCAUUAUGAAAUUUUACACACAUAUGCAUUACUCCAACCAUCCAUAUAUAUUGGGUCUAAUACGUUUUUCGAGGGUAACUUUGACUACAUGUUAGAGCAGUAAUAUAUAACAUGCAAAUUACACAAAGCACAUCGUCAAAUUCAUACCUAAAAAGAGCUUCUAAUGGUAUAAUUUUCACAUUAUAUAUCUCCUUCUUUUUGCAGGAAUAUUCUAUAUAGUAUUAAUAUUAUCAAUAGUCAAAGGAAAUCCUGAAAAAUGUAUUAGGCCCUAUGGAUGAAGGAAGUACAUCCUUAUAUACGCGUGUCUUUAUGUAUAAAAAUUUGCUACUGAAAAUUUUGAAUUUUGAAUAUUUCAAAAUAAAGGCCUAGAGGGAGCUCACUUCGCGGUGCAGCCAUUAGUCGAGCGGGUCAUCCUCAUCCAUCCAGCCAGCAGCCCAAGCUACACGCUUCCGUGCAAGAGAGCCUUGCUCCUGUCAUUUGUCAAGCGACAAGACUGGACACUGACGAAUCAGUCCGCAAUCGAGCAGUGUUGCGUCUUUGAGAAAUUGAUUCACUCGUACGUGUACACGCCACAAUCUCGCAGGCAGGCACAGCACAGAGCAAUGGUCUCUCCUCCAGCGCCAUAGCCUUCUCUCACAAGCAACAGUAGAAUCUGAAGUCAAAUGCAUGCCCUCCGCUGCCAUCUGUCCGACCCGACCUGUCUUCUAGGCCAACGGUGGAAAUAAAUCCGCGUCCAUUCAAAUUUAGGUUCGUGCCGGUCGGGCGCCCAACGCGAGGCCGCAUCUUGUCCCUGUGCAUGCAAACGUGAUAACCAAGAAUGUUGGUCGUGGCCGCGACUCACACUAGUUCACGCCGACCGGCAACACAGCCGGCGGCGUACAAUCUCAUGCCGACAACAAAGCUAGCAGCCGGCACAGGAGCCAACCUUCAAAAAGACAUGUUUCACGCCGACAACAAAGCCAGUGACCAGCACAGGAGCCGGCCCUCAAAUGAACAAGUUUUUUACGCCGGCAACAAAGCCAGCGACCGGCACAACAGCCAGCCUUCAAAAUGAACGGACAUCGGCCACUGCCUGAAGCCUCACCUAGUUCAGGCCGUCACGGGCGAACAUCUCCUUAUGCCGAUUCGCGGACCAAGCCUUCCUCUCCGGCGACAUGUUGGCCCUGCCCACGCUCAUGAACCGGAGUGCCACCUCUUUAGUUUUGGUGUCCGCCAUGGUGGCCUCAAUCUCGAGCUUUUUGAGUUGAGCGGCCUCCUCGGUGUCAAGCUUCCUCCUCUCUGCGGCCUCCUCUAUGGCAAGCUUCUUCGUUUGGAGCUCUAGAUAUAUCUUCAUUUGCUCCUCCUUUCCUUUGCUCCUCCUCUUGUCCCUCACUUCCUUUUGGCCCAUCAUGUUCUCCAAAGUGCCUUGCAAGGCGAUGGAAGAAGCAUCACGCCUCUCAUCGACCUUUGAGUUUGUCUUACCCCUCGGCCUCUUGAGCAAGUCUUCCUCAUCAGCCACGGCCUUCUUCCCUCCUUUCUUAUUACGAGCGGCAUACUGGUCAUUGAACUUGGCACAAUCUUUGAUGAACUCCCAACAUUGCGUGAGAGUGAAUGGCUUGUUCUUGUGUCGGGUCUAGAAUACUUUCAAAGAUUGAAAUGCCUACACAAUCAUUGAUGACUAUGCUAAUGUAAUAGCGAAGGACACAACAUUUAUGAAAAUGAAAAACAUGCCAACAUGAAUGGACACAAAAUGAAAAGGCAAGAGGUUCAUACCAAGUCACCAAGGCCAAGGCCACUCACGGGACGGGUUUCGAUGCUCUCAAGUGUGGAACAAUACUUGUUGCACUCUUGUUGAAUGACCCCGAUCUCUUUUGGAUUGAGUCGAUGUUGCGAGUGCUCUCAAAUUGAUAGGGGGCAAACUUCCUUCACUCAUGGAAGGUUUUAUGAACCCUCCCCCAAAAGAUGGCACCUCUUUUCUCAGCACUUCUUAUCGGAUCUUCUCCUAUCUCAGUUCAACUCUCGCAAAUCAAUUUGUCCUCUUUUGGGGUGUAUGACCCCGGGCGAAUACUUCGCUUCCUCUUUUGUGCCUUGGCCCUUUGGGUGAGCUCAUCGAUAAACACCAAUGGCUCUUGCAAAAUGUCGAGCUCUUCUUCCUCAUCUUCACAAUACAAAUCAUCAUCUUCAUGCCAUGAGUUGCCAUGGUCGUCUUCCUCUUCAUCAUGGCCAGCAAAAUCAGUGUCCUCACACUUGCUGCAACCGUUCUGGCUCUGGGUCUCGUCGGGAUCGAAAGUCUGGCCUUGGCCAAGGUGCUGGAAGGCCUCGCCAUAGGCUUCCUCUCCACGGCGAUGAUGGAUUCCUUCUCGUCAAUGUCGGCAAGAAGCCGCGCUUGACGCUGGGCGUCGGCCUCGACGGCAUAGGCCGCAGCCGCCUUCAUCUCCUCCGCCUUUGCCCGUCGGCCCCUUCUCUUUGCCACUUCGAAGUCGAGGAAGGGGGUCUCCUCCGGCUUGCACUAGGAUCGAGGCUUCCUAGGACCCUUGGGACCUUUCUUCUUCGCCGCGGGGUGCGCGGCCGAGGCCGCAUCGCCGGGGUUUGUCUGGUCGCCGUCCAUGGAGGAGGGAGGGGAGGGGCGCGCGGGAAGGUUUGGACGAAAUGGAAGGGAAGUGGGACGGCUAUGUCCCCGACAGGCGGGCUAGGUGAGGACAAGGUCGCGCGUCCCGCCCGUCUGCGUGCUGUUCGUUUGGCCGCAAACGCAGCCAACUUUAGGCGGAAAUGGGUCGAAAGCAGACCGAAAAUGGACAUUUGUCCGUUUGCUCCGCGCGUUGGCCGCGGUUUGUGUCCAUUCACCCCCAAACGGACGCGGGCUGGUCAACAUGCAUUGGAGUUGCCCUUAGGCAUCAUUUGGUUUGGAGAAAUUUUAUAAGAUUAGAUUCUUAUAGGAAUUUUUUUAGAGCCCUUUGGUUGAUAGAAAUGAAUUCCUAUUCCUACAUAAGAUGGGCUUCUAUUCUCCAUAUUUCAAUAAGUAAAUAAAUAAACAUGAGUCUAGAGUCAAUGGAAUUCCCUAUGAUGUGAACCAAAUGACAUCGCUUUUCUUAUUUCUACUCAUAGAAUUUAAGAUACAUGUCAUCUCAUUUUCUAUAAGUCUCUUAUUCCUAUGAUAAUCUUAUCUUAUGAACCAAAGAAGUCUUUAAGGCCUUCCACUAUGUGUUAGGUGCCAAAACUAUGAAAAGUUUGCUACCGAUACAUCGAUGCCAGAUACAGAAUAUUUAGCAUCACCCACACAACGUUGAGAAUUAAGCAUCGAUUGAAAUUCGCCCCCACAUAUAUAAAAUAGUAUAGACCAGACCAAGACACCCCACUGCCAGCGCCUCUCCUUUCUGGCUCACUGCACUCUUCCUAACCCACUGCACGUACAACGCGCUUAAUUUAUUUGGUCGAAGGAUUUGGCUUCGGAGCAUGUAGGUGCUCCGGUGCCCAGAAAUUCUUAUUUGGCAUCGGCUUAGCAACGUAGGGCAUCGGUGCCAAAUGUUCAAAAAGCAAAUUUGGCAUCACUUUUGGCCUACAUAGUGGAAGGCCUAAUAGGUAAGACAAAACCUAGGACUACUGUACACAAGCUAGCGCACCUCUCCCUCCUCUACUCCGAUGAAUGACGUCUUCAUUAAGAAAGGGGACCAUGCCAGACCUACCUCAUGAGGGACUCUCAACGGUGCUAGAGCGACGCGAGAGAGGAAGAGUCGAAUGCACUCAGUGAAGAUAUUGCAAAUUCAGUUAACUUACAUGCAAUUAUAUUGCGCUAAAAGAAAUAAAAUCAUAAAAUGCAUGGUUUUUAAAUGCAAAAUAUUGAUUUUCUUUUACAAUACAAGGAAAAAUAAGAUUGAAGUCUAUGAGCAUUAGAUCACCUGCGCAACCACCACGGCGACUCCAACGCGUGACCUCAAAUCGUCUGGCCAGGUCCUCUUAGGGGUAAACGGACAGAACAGGCAGCCCGAUGCGUUGGAGCAAACGGACCAAUAUCCUUUUCGUUCCGCUCUCUACCCAUUUCUAGCCUAAUUUGGGGAUGUGUUUGCGGUCGAACGGAGACGAGCAGACGGGCGCGACGCGUGCCUUUGUCCUCUCCCUUGUUCGCCCGUCGGCAACACAUGCACCCCUUUUUCUAUUCCCCUCCCCCCCCCACUCCAGCCGCACCCCGGCCGCACUCCUCUCUCGUCCCUAGCCGCCACCGCUGCAAAUUUUCUCGGCCAUGUCGCUGUCCAGCACGGCCGGGCGCUCGCCCCUACCCUUGUGGCAACCCCGUUUUCUCGACACCCGACCUGUCCACCCCCAGCCGCCUGAUUUCAGCGCAUCCGGCGACCGGAUUUGGAGCGGAUCCAACUGAAUCUGAGAUCGCCCUAUCGUUGGAGGCUGCGUUGUGCCAUGGCCUGGCCGGGUACCGGACCGCACAGCUCGACAAUGCCCCCAGGAUAUAUGCAUGCAUUGACUCCGCCUCUAGCCGUUCGAAUCGACCCCGUCGUCAGUUCGUCGACAAAUAGUCGAACGACCGUCGUCCGGGCUCGGUGCUGGCCCAAAGGCUCGUGAGCGCACAGUUGCUGCUUGUAAAGUGUGACGAUUGUCCAUAGAAGGUCGUGCACAUUGGGUCUACAAUGCCGGAACAUUCUGGAUGUGUGUUCGUCAAAUGCAAAAACUAUGGGUAUGUGCUAGUUUAGCUUCGGUUGUGUUCCCCUAUUCGGUGCAUAUUGCUCAAACUCAAAUUUUUAUUGUGUAAGAAGGAUUCGACUUUUGAUAUUGGGAAGAAGAAUACAUUGAUUUAUUGAUAGAACAAAAUUUGAUAGAUAUUCGUGUACUUGUUGUUAGAAUAAAGACUAGAGAUGAGACUAAAUGUGAACAAGCAACGUCUACUUCUUUAGACUCAAAGAAGAAAAAAGCCGAAAAGUCCAUUCUGCACCCGAGCUCAUAUGCUCCCGCAUGAACAGUAAAAUCGAAAAAAGUUCAAAAAAUUCCAAUUUUUUUUGAGACAAACAUUGACAAAAGUUCUAAGUGCCUGCAAAAAUUCGUCAUGAAAUCACAUUCCUAGAAGGCGUGGCAAAAAAAACAAAUUCAGUGCUUCAAAAUGCGUUUGAAAGUAGCUUUUUCAGAGUACUUUUUUUGUUUUUUUUUGCCACGCCUUUUAGGAAUGUGAUUUCAUGACGAAUUUUUGCAGGCACUUAGAACUUUUGUCAAUGUUUCACUCAAAAAAAUUAGAAUUUUUUAAAUUUUUUUUUAUUUUUUUGGUUUUACUGUUCAUGCGGGAGCAUAUGAGCUCGGGUGCAGAUUAGGCGCGUCCGAAAAAAGCAUGCUAUUGCCAUCCAAAAACGAAUGAAAUCCGGACAAUACGGUUUGGGGUCGUGCGUUUGCAACCCUGCCCGUGUCUUCGUUGCUCCAAACCUCGCUCCAUGAACUUCCGACUUCCGAGGCAAUUCCAGUUUUCGGGCUGACACCGCCUUUUAAACGCGCCAUUACGGCGCAGCACCAGCCACCUCCACUCCUCGUGUUGAUCCAUUCCCGUGCCUAUUGCCCUUAAAAACGACCACCCAUCUCCCUCCCGAGCCCCGACCUCAUCGACAAGCUCCACUCAACCGCUUCUUCCCACUCCACCCCUCCCAACCUCACUGGUACUGCUAGCUUCCACUCCAUUGCUUCUUUCCACUCGCCUGGUAUCCAGCGCAUCACCAUCAUAAAUCAAGAUGGCGUAUCCGUUGAUGCCGGAGGGCGCGACGGCGCUGGAGAUCCCCACCGACCGGCCGGCCUUCUACGAGUGUUUCAAGUCCUUUGGCGUCCCCGCGGCCGCGACCGCGUUCCGCCUGGUCCCUCCGCCGACGGAGACAAGCGCGUCCCGCCCAGAACGCAUCACCAUCGUCCAUCUACAUGCCUCCUCCCCCUCCCGAGAUGGUCUACUUCGCCAAGCGCUUCGCGUACGCCUACAUCACCCCGGCGACGGCCCCGUGCCGCGCCGACCCGGGCGCCUUCAUCCGCCGGGUCUUCCGCACCCUGGCGCUCGACCUCCCGCAGAGCUUCGAGCUCCUGCCGCCCGGCCACGGCGCCGACGCGACGGUGCGCUUCCGCACGCCCGACGACCGGGAGGCGGCCAUGCGCCGGCAGCCGUUCGAGCUCGACGGCGCCACCGUGAAGCUGGUGCGCGAGGGGGAGACCAGCAACUGCUCCCGCGCCAGGAACGACUACGUCGCCCACGUCGCGCUGCACGACUACCCCGUCGAGCAGCGCACCCAGGAGGAGAUCGGCGCCAACUGCGGCAGGUUCGGGUUCGUCCGCGAGAUCGACCCGGCCUGCUUCGCGGCGCCCGAUCUCGCCACCGUCCGCGUCGUCCUCCAGCUCGAGGACCCCCGAGAGAUCCCCCGCCACGUCCGGAUCAGGUACCAUGGUGGCUCCACCAGCGUCGUCCCCGUCGAGAUCGUCAGGCUUUGGGACCACGCGCACUCCUCCGACGCCCAUGGACAGUAUGUUCCUCUCUUCCAGGCCCCGACUGCGGCGGCUUGACAGGCACGAUCAUCAGUUGGUUUGGUUGUUUGCUGCUUGAUGAAUUUGGCAUUCCCAAUCCCAGCAGCAAGCAGGUAGUAGUAGUACGUAGUAUUUACGUAGGUCAAGUUCUAAAUUAGUAGAGCCGUAGCCGGCUUUGGUCGCAGUAAUGUCAGUCACUUCUCCUCUCCGUAGCUAUAUUAUGCCUGUGCGUCUGUUUAAGCUUGGUGAGGAGAGCAACUGGUUCACGCCUUGAUUCUGUACCCUUCAAGUUUGAUGUUUAAUUAAGAUUUUACCUUUUCUUUCUUUUUUUU
rnacentral:lncRNA from 1 species